rnacentral:lncRNA from 1 species
UUUUUUUUUUUUUUGAUAAAAGAAGGGCUUCCCCCUUCCGAUUUUCAUUAAUGAAAACCUAAGCAUCCACACUAGACAAGCUACGACAGGAAGCAAACGCGAAAAGAGCUUGUAGUUUGUGCUGUAAAACUUGUAAUCCUGGAAAACCACAAGGUUUUCGUAGUAAUUCUUUGCACUUGGACAUUUGCAGUCCUGGGGAAGUACACUCUGUGUGCCCUCCACCCUUUGAAACGAAGGGUUUCUGCUCUCUGGGAGCAUAUGGGAAUUCCUGAGCUCAGCAACGUCGAUAGUUGAGCCAUUGAUACUUUCUUGGUAAAACUGAAUUUCUGCCUGAUUUGUGCAGAAAGCCAGAAACGCAAGGAAAUGGUCUAAUUCUUGCAGCAACUGAGGCAAAAGCCGUCUCCCUUCCCCAAAACAUAUGGAUAUGCGAAUUCACUCGUGUCUCUGGGAAAAAUAUGUGAGCGUGUAAAGCGUGCAUACUCAUGUUUCUGGCAAAAGGAGAAAUAAAGACUUAAUGAUCUUUAUUUAUAGCUCAAGAAAUUCGACAUAUGCACUCCGGGGUUGCGGAAGAUGUAGAGAGAGGGAGGGAGGGAGCAUGGCACACUUGGGGGUUUCAGAAAAAGAAAACUGAACGGAGAAAACUAUAGGAUUUAUUAGAAAAGUUUUGAAGGAUUGUGAAAAGCAUGGCACAAAUGCACUGUGGCGCUUUAUUCAGCAGAAACCUUUAUUUUUCUUGCUUUAUUAAGGUUAUUUUCUGCAGAAGAGACAUACACAGCUGGUGCUGCCCUCCGACCUCCAGCACGUUUUUUGUUUGACACGGGUGCCGAUGACUUGCUGAAAGAAUCGAGAAGAGGUGUCUAGAGGGGGGGAGGGGGUUGAAUAGACUUUAAUCAAGAAAAGUUGCAGUUUUUAAUUCUUUAGGUUCAUAUGGAGUAUUAGCACAAGUUUAAACAUUCACAAUACAUAUCAAGCAAGCAUGCAAGCAUACAAAGAGUAUAUGAGCAGCGGAAUGUAAAACAAUUGCAUAUGAAGGUAAAGGGAGGAGUUUGAGGGAGCAAACACAAUGUUGACACGGAGAUUUUUGGCGUGGUUCCGAUAGGUGGUGCUAUUGUACAUCCACGUUGAUGGAGACUUCAACCCACGAAGGGUAACGAUUGCGCGAGUCCACGGAGGGCUUCACCAGCGAAGGGUCCACGAAGAAGCAACCUUGUCUAUCCCACCAUGGCCGUCACCCAUGAAGGACUUGCCUCACUAGGGUAGAUCUUCACGAAGUAGGCGAUCUCCUUGCCCUUACAAACUCCUUGGUUCAACUCCACAAUCUUGUCGAAGACUCCCAAGUGACACCUAGCCAAUCUAGGAGACACCACUCUCCAAGAAGUAACAAAUGGUGUGUUGAUGAUGAACUCCUUGCUCUUGUGCUUCAAAUGAUAGUCUCCCCAACACUCAACUCUCUCUCAUAGGAUUGGAUUUGGUAGAAAGAAGAUUUGAGUGGAAAGCAACUUGGGGAAGGCUAGAGAUCAAGAUUUAUGUGGUUGGAAUGAAAUAUCUUGACCUCAGCACAAGUGUAGGUGGUUCUCUCUCAGAAAAUAUGUAUUGGAAGUGUAGGCAUGUUCUGAUGGCUCUCUCCUCGAAUGAAGAGUGGGUGGAGGGGUAUUUAUAGCCUCCACACAAAAUCUAACCCUUACACACAAAUCACCAAACUCAGUGGGACCGAAUCAUGAAACUCGGUCAGACCGAUUUAGUUCAAAAUGUGAACGCUGGGAUUCUCGGUGGGACCGACAUGUCAACUCGGUGGGACCGAUUUUGUUAGGGUUAGGGCAUAAAGUAAUCUCGGUGAGACCGAUUUUGGUAAUGGACUAACAGAGAGUUGGUCAGGUAAACUCGGUGGGACCGAUUCGCUCAUCUCGGUUGGACCGAAGUGUUACGAAAGGGAAACAGAGAGUUUACAUUGCAAUCUCGGUGGGACCGAUCGCUCAUCUCGGUUUGACCGAAACGUUACGAAGGGAAACAGAGAGAUUACAAUCCCAUCUCGGUGAGACCGAGAUCCCUAUCGGUGAGACCGAAAAUACUAGGGUUUCUGGCAGUGGCUAUGUUAACUGAACUCGGUGGUGCCGGAUAGAAAUAAUCGGUGGGGCCGAGUUGGAUAUUUGGUGUGGGACAUAUGUGGAUAUGAGAAAGUAGUGGAGGGUUUUGGAGCAUAUCACUAAGCAUUUUGAGCAAGCACCUCAUUAAGCAACACCUCAUCCCUUCUUAAUAGUAUUGGCUUUUCCUAUAGACUCAAUGUGAUCUUGGAUCACUAAAAUAGAAAAUGUAGAGUCUUGUGCUUUGAGUUUGAGCCAAUCUUUUAUCCUUAGCAUUUUGAAGGGUCCACUCUCUAAUUCAUGCCAUGCCAACCAUUGAGCUUUCCUGAAAUAUUCAUCUUGGAAUAGUAUUAGCUCAAUGAGCUAUAUGUUGUUAGGAAUUACCAAAACCACCCAGGGAUAGUUGCAUUCUUGCCACCGAGUCGUCCCACUCGGUCACACCGACAGGGUCAGUUUAUAUAUACGGACGGGCCAAAAUUUGAAAAAAAUUCCGAACCUCCUCGCCCGCGCAUAACCUACUCUGCCUCCUCGGGUCUUCGGAUCGUCCUCUCAUCUCCAGCGACCUACCGUCGCUGGUCUCCGCCGCCGUCAACGGAAAUCUUCACCGCCGUUGCCGCCGUAGCAAGUUCGUCGUCGAACUAGGGUACGAACUUGAUCAUUGUGCUAAUCCUUAACUCCGAUUCUUAGCACAUUGCUUUACCAUGAUUCUUGCCACGAAUGAAAUCAUCCUGUCCAGCGAAAACAUCCCGUAGACUAGUUUUGAUUUGAAAAUUUAGGGUUAGGUCUCCGCCGAAUUCAUCUCGGACCGACCGAGUUGUAGAAAUCGGUCUCACCGAUUUUGGCUUAGGCCAGAGCACACGCGUUUUCGGUCUGACCGAAAAUUGCAAAUCGGUGUGACUGAGUUCAAUUCUCUGUGAAACCCUAGCAGUCUCGGUGCCACCGAACUGUGACUCGGUCUGACCGAGUUCACUAGUUUAGGUUCCAAAAACUGCUUCGAUAUCACCGAGUUUACAAACCGGUAGAUCCGAAAUGCUUUUUGUGAAGAACUAAAACUAAGUUUUUGAGUCAAUUAUUUUUGCAAAACUCAUGUACUUUGUGAUGCUCAUCUACUCUACCUCAUCUAUAAUCCAUUCACAGGGUCUGCUGAUAGUUUGCCUGCACGAUGUCUGACCAAAGUGAUAGCCAGAACAAGUCUGAGGAGCAGGUUCAACUGAGUGAGGGCACUAGUCCCUCCAGUUCAUCUGAUGAUGGCAGUAGGAGCACACCAAGUAACUUGCCAAAGGCAGCCACCAGAACAAGAAAGAAGAAGACCUCAGAUUCAGAGGAUGAGGAUUAUGCGGCUGUUGAGGAAGAAGUCAGCUCCAAGAAAAAGGUGCUGAAAAAGGAGUACGACUCAGCUGCUACAGUCAAGCCAGGGAUGCAUAAGAAGGCACCAGCAAAGAGAGUCCCCAUGUCUAAGGCCAAAGCAUCCACUGCUGAAGCCUCCAAGCCUUCUGAAGAGGCGGUUGGAGAAGGCAGGAAAAGGAAGGAAAGGGUCAAGAAGACCACUGCCAGAGUGCUUGGCAGAUCAUCAAUUAUGAGAGACGAUGAUGAAGAGGAUGCUGCACCAACACCCAAAGCUCAAAAGCUCAUGGGAGAUGCAAUCAGAUUAGGGGCUGCUCCAUCUAAGCCCAAAGCCGCUUCCAAGGCAGCUGCUCCAGCUCAGAAGCCCAAGAGAAGCACUAGAAACAUUUCUGCUGAGGAAAAGAAUAAGGCCCCAAUGCCUGAAGCUGCCGAAGAAGAUGGAACUCAAGUGCUAAGGAAUCUGAAACCCAAGAUCCCUGACCACAAUGAUGCACAUCCAGUUGCAGAAAACAUGAAAACCAGGAAGGAUGCAGGAUUGAGAAUAUGGAGAGAGUCUGAUCCAUAUGCUAUCAGGAGAAGAACUGCCGUGGACUACAGGUUUCACACUAAGGAACAUCAGGACUUCUAUGAGACAGUGUUGCUUGACAAGAAGCCCAUUGUGUGUGACAUGAAAUGGGUAGACUAGGAGUACAUCCAGAAGAACGAAGAUCACUAUCCUGGAGUGUAUAACGGUUUUAAGGCAUGUGGAGUUGAUGAAUUUGUUGCACAAAAGCUCACCAAGUGGAAUGAUCAGCUGAUCAUGCAGUUCUACUCCACUGCCCAUUUCUAUCCAGAUGGGAAGAUUGUAUGUAUGUGUGAGGGUACUAGGUACCAAUCCACGGUUGAUGAGUGAGCCAAGCUUAUAAAUGCUCCUGAGGAACAUGAGGAUGACUUGGAUGUUUAUGCAGAGAAGAAGAAAGACCACAACACUAUGGCCAACGUGUACAAGAAGAUCCCAGAUGCUGCCUUGGAUACACACAAGUUCGGACCUGUCCACUACCUGUUGUCUGGUAUGCCUACCAUAAACUGGAUAUUAAAGCACACACCACUACCCAAGUCAGGUGAUCACAAGAUGAUCAGAGGACAUGCUAUAAACAUGCUACACAUAUUUGAUGUCCCACAGAAGUUCAAGGUCAUGAGCCUGAUUGUUGAGACAAUCAAGAUGACUGCUGUUGAUCAGAAGAGGAGUUGUGGGUAUGCUCCACACAUUUAGGAGCUCAUUAACUCAAAGAUGGGCACCGGCACAUAUCUUUUGGACAAGGAACACCUGUCCAUCUAUCCUGAAUUUGAAGACAACACUGUGGUGAUGGAUGAAAAUGAACCAUCUUCAGCUCAAGCACAUGAGAAGAGAGAGAAGGCAAAGGCAGAGAAAGCUGCAAAAUGCCAACUGUUGAAGAGGCAUCUCAAGUGUUCUUGAAAUACAAACAAGAUCAACUUGGAUAUCCGAUCCAAUCCACCCUGAGGAUUGAGAAGGGCUUGGCCACCCUGACUAAGAACCAAGAGAGUUUGGAGAGGAUCGUUGAGCAGAAGUUCUAUGAUCUGGAUGUCAAGGUAACUGAGAUCCAAACUGUAGUUGAGCAGCUACAGGAGGAAGCAGAGGAGAGGAAGGGAAAGUCUACUACUAAUGCUUUCAAGCGAGUGCCACGAGGUCCAAGGUCUGCUGCAGUGCCUGUGACAGAUACUCGAGCUUCAGUGUCAACACCAGCAGCCAUGGCUCUAGUGCCACCUCUAGCACCCACUCCAUCAGCUCCAACUACUUCAUCGGAAGCCUUCGUCCUUGGAGUUCUCUCUACACCACCUCCUGAAGAUCAAGCCUGAGAGUCGUUUAGCACUAUGCAUUUUUGAACUUUUUGGUAACUUGUUGUCAAAGGGGAAGAAAAAUGUAUAGAUCAUAGGCUUCGAGAGAGAGUGUUGUUUUUUAUCUCUCUUGCUAUUUUGGUUACUUCUUUAUUGAGUGCUUGUGUGAGAUACUUUAUGUCCUUGUGAGAUACUUGUUGAUCAUGUGUUUGAUCAUAUGCUACCCUUAAUGUUUGGUUGAAUGAUGCUAUCUUUUAUAUCUCUUAUAUGAUCAUUCACUUGCUUGGUGAUGAGUGCAUGCUUUUAAUCUCUAUCAUUUUGAGCGCUCCACCAAGAUGCAUGUGACAUGGAAGAGUAACCCAUGAUCCUAAUCGAUUGUGCAUUUGCAUUCAAAAGCAAAUUUAAAUAAUGCACAAAUUUAGGGGGAGCUCUUGCUUAUCACAUACUUCUCAAAGCGACGAUGUUUUUCAAUCUUAUUUAUCAUUUGUCGAAGCUUUGAUCUAUAUGUUGUCAUCAAUUACCAAAAAGGGGGAGACUGAAAGUGCAACUAUCCCUGGGUGGUUUUGGUAAUUCCUAACAACAUAUAGCUCAUUGAGCUAAUGCUAUUCCAAGAUGAAUAUUUCAGGAAAGCUCAAUGGUUGGCAUGGCAUGGAUUAGAAAGUGGACCCUUCAAAAUGCUAAGGAUAAAAGAUUGGCUCAAGCUCAAAGCACAAGACUCUACAUUUUCUAUUUUAGUGAUCCAAGAUCACAUUGAGUCUAUAGGAAAAGCCAAUACUAUUAAGAAGGGAUGAGGUGUUGCUUAAUGAGGUGCUUGCUCAAAAUGCUUAGUGAUAUGAUCCAAAACCCUCCACUACUUUCUCAUAUCCACAUAUGUCCCACACCAAAUAUACAACUUGGCCCCACCGAUUCUUUCUAUCCGGCGCCACCGAGUUCAGUUAACAUAGCCACUGCCAGAAACCCUAGUCUUUUCGGUCUCACCGAUAGGGAUCCCGGUCUCACCGAGAUGGGAUUGUAAUCUCUCUGUUUCCCUUCGUAACGUUUUGGUCAAACCGAGAUGAGCGAUCGGUCCCACCGAGAUUGCAAUGUAAACUCUCUGUUUCUCUUUCGUAACACUUCGGUCCAACCGAGAUGAGCGAAUCGGUCCCACCGAGUUUACCUGACCAACUCUCUGUUAGUCCAUUACCAAAAUCGGUCUCACCGAGUUUGUGUAAUCGGUCUCACCGAGAUUACGUUAUGCCCUAACCCUAAUGAAAUCGGUCCCACCAAGUUGACAUGUCGGUCCCACCGAGAAUCCCAGCAUUCACAUUUUGAACUAAAUCGGUCUGACCGGGUUUCAUGAUUCGGUCCCACCGAGUUUGGUGAUUUGUGUGUAAGGGUUAGAUUUUGUGUGGAGGCUAUAAAUACCCCUCCACCCACUCUUCAUUCGAGGAGAGAGCCAUCAGAACAUGCCUACACUUCCAAUACAUAUUUUCUGAGAGAGAACCACCUACACUUGUGUUGAGGUCAAGAUAUUUCAUUCCAACCACAUAAAUCUUGAUCUCUAGCCUUCCCCAAGUUGCUUUCCACUCAAAUCUUCUUUCUACCAAAUCCAAUCCUAUGAGAGAGAGAGUUGAGUGUUGGGGAGACUAUCAUUUGAAGCACAAGAGCAAGGAGUUCAUCAUCAACACACCAUUUGUUACUUCUUGGAGAGUGGUGUCUCCUAGAUUGGCUAGGUGUCACUUGGGAGCCUCCGACAAGAUUGUGGAGUUGAACCAAGGAGUUUGUAAGGGCAAGGAGAUCGCCUACUUUGUGAAGAUCUACCCUAGUGAGGCAAGUCCUUCGUGGGCGACGGCCAUGGUGGGAUAGAGAAGGUUGCUUCUUUGUGGACCCUUCGUGGGUGGAGCCCUCCGUGGACUCGCGCAACCGUUACCCUUCAUGGGUUGAAGUCUCCAUCAACGUGGAUGUACGAUAGCACCACCUAUUGGAACCACGCCAAAAAUCUCCGUGUCAACAUUGCGUUUGCUCCCUCAAACUCAUCCCUUUACCUUCAUAUGCAAUUGUUUUACAUUCUGCUGCUAUACUCUUAGAAUUUCAUGUGUAGGUUGAUUACUUGUUUGUGCCAAGUUGCUAAAAUCUGCCAAAAACUAAAAUUGGGAAAAGGCUAGAUUUUUAUUUGGUCAAGUAGUCUAAUCACCCCCUCUAGACAUACUUUCGAUCCUACACUUGCGCCUGCGACCAGCACAACGCCUUGCACAAGGCGUCGAAACAGAAUGGCAUCGUCGAAACCCGGUAUCUGCAAUCCUCUGCACGCAGACACCACAUUAUUACAUUAAAAGUAAAAGGAAACAACACAUUAUUGCAUUACAUGUGUAAUUGUACCACAUUAUUACAUUAAAAGAAAAAGUAAACAACACAUUAUUGCAUUACAUGUGUAAUUGUAAAUGUCCACGCAUCGGUUAACUAUUAGUUUGGUCUCUCAUAACCUCACACCGCGAGCAAAGAAGAGAAAAACAUGCUAGACCCUAGAUGUGGGGGAGGAAGAAACUCGUAAGGGGCAUGUUUGGUUCUCUACAUGAAUUUGGGCCUCCUGCAUGUGUGGUUCGGUUGAGUCCGGCUGAGUAAAUAUAGACAGUAAACCAUGUUGUGCGGUGCGUUUGGUUGCCCACAAAGCUCCAGGCUGCAUGGGAGCACAACAGACGUACGACGUUUGGUGGCAAGUCUUUGCUCGCCAGGUAAAACUUACUAUUGUUUGGCUACGUGUAAGACAUACAAUGUGGUUACAUCUUUUUUGAGCGGUGAGGUUACAAGCACACACAGUCAUAGGCACACCACUUUCAACAAGCAUACACACAGUCAUACACACCACUUUCAACAAGCGUACGCAUGGCUACAUUAACAAGCAUACACAUAGCGACACAAUCACAGGCAUAAUAGUGACAAGCAAACAUAUGCAUAACCACACAAUUGUAGGCAUAAUAGCUCAGGACUGACAGACUAACAAACAAAUAUUACAACUCUUGGAUCAUGACAAGUUGGGUCAUGAUGGACGCACUUGACCACCACACCCGCGUCAGAAAUGUCGAACACGAUGGACUUGAAACUAUCCACAGUGAGGACCUAUGGCAAAACAAACCCACCCUUGAUCCAUGGCAUGCCUCCCGUUGACAUCUCGGAGCUUGACCCUUUAGAUGCAGCUGGUGUUCGUCCUCAGAACGAUUUCCUGACGGUGCCCAUGUGCCAGCGGAAGGCAUCAUGGAUUAGAAGUAAAUAUAACCCAGGUGCUAAGCACAUUGCAGAAGUGGGAUGGACUUAGGUCCUCAUGAAAGCGGCCGAUAUUUGUCGGCCUCCCUUGACUCCUCUAUGAAUUGUUGCCUUGUACUACAACCUUGCCCUUGGAACGGCUGCCCGAAGAAUCAUUGUCAAUGACCAACUUGUCGGAAGGGCAAUGCAAUGAAGAACAUUAGGCUCAACACGCCAUUGAACUACAAUGUGUAGGAUCAUGACAAUGUGUAUGUCAUGGGUGAUGAUCUUCACUGCUUGUUGUCAUAUAGAAGGAUAAAGGUGGUACAAGGAUCAGAACUACAAUGUGCAGAACCAACCCUCAUACCAACGAUCACCCUAAUACAUGGACUGCACAUCAGUGAAGAUCAUUGCUCAAGACAGUCCAAGUUAAAUUGUUCUUCCCCCAAUUCAGAUUGAUAUACCCCCUAAUAGAACUUAGCUUUCCAAAAAUAUAACCCUACAUUGACACACAAACUGAGCCCUAUCAACCCCUAAAUAGAUGUAACACCCACGAUGCGGCUAUAUCUCCCAUGUGUCGGGGCACGACUUAGAGGCAUAACCGCAUGGUAGGCAUGUCGCAAGAGGGGUAAUAUUUACACAUCCCAUGUACUGAAUAAGAAUGAGAUAAAGAGUUGGCUUACAAUCGCCACUUCACACAAUACAUAAAAAUAGCAUUACAUCAUCCAGAAUACAAUCAAAGUCCGACUACGGAACCAAAUAAAGAAAGACAACCCCAAAUGCUAGAUCCCCGAUCAUCCUGACUGGGCUCCACUACUGAUCAAAAGGAAAUGAAACACCACAACAAAAAGGUCUUCAUCGAGCUCCCACUUGAGCUCGGUUGCAUCACCUGCACUGGUAUCAUCGGCACCUGCAACUAUUUGGAAGUAUCUGUGAGUCACGAGGAGUCAGCAAUCUCACACCCGCGAGAUCAAGACUAUUUAAGCUUAAGGUAGGAAAAGGGGGGGUAGUGAGGUGGAGCUGCAGCAAGCACUAGCAUAUAUGGUGGCUAACUUACGCAAAUGAGAGCGAGAAGAGGAGCAAAGCAUGGUCGAGAAGCUACAAAGAUCAAGAAGUGAUCCUGAAACUACUUACGUUCAAGCAUAACACGAGAGCGUGUUCUCUUCCCGGACACCGCCGAAAAGAGACCAUCACGGUUACACAUGCGGUUGAUGCAUUUUAAUUAAGUUAAGUGUCGAGUUCUCUACAACCGGAUAUUAACAAAUUCCCAUCUGCCCAUAACCGCGGGCACGAUUUUCGAAAGUUCAAAACCCCGCAGGGGUGUCCCAACUUAGCCCAUCACAAGUUUCUCCCAGGACGGCCCGAUCAGACUCGGAAUCCCGAUUACAAGACAUUUCGACAAUGGUAAAACAAGACCAGCAAAGCCGCCCGAAUGUGCCGACAAAUCCCGAUAGGAGCUGCACAUAUCUUGUUCUCAGGGCACACCGGAUGAGCCAGACGUCGGGUUGGCAUAGACCCUCGUUGCCCAGGGGGCACCGGACAUCGCUCAGGUUGGACCAACACUUAGAGAAGCACUGGCCUGGGGGGGGGGUUAAAAUAAAGGUGACCCUCAGGAGCGCGACUCCCAAGGGAAAAGUAGGUGGUGGUGAGGCAAAUGGUAAAACCAAUGUUGGGCCUUGCGGGAGGAGUUUUAUUCAAAGCGAACUGUCAAGGGGUCCCCAUAACACCGAACCGUGUAAGGAACGCACAAUCAAGGAACAUAACACCGGUAUGACGAAAACUAGGGCGGCAAGAGUGGAACAAAACACCAGGCAUAAGGCCGAGCCUUCCACCCUUUACCAAGUAUAUAGAUGCAUUAAUAAAAUAAGAGAUAUUGUGAUAUCCCAACAAUAAACAUGUUCCAACAAGGAACAAACUCCAUCUUCACCUGCAACUAGCAACGCUAUAAGAGGGGCUGAGCAAAAGCGAUAACAUAGCCAAACAACGGUUUGCUAGGAAGGUGGGUUAGAGGCUUGACAUGGCAAUAUGGGAGGCAUGAUAUAGCAAGUGGUAGGUAUCGCAGCAUAGCAAUAGAGCGAGCAACUAGCAAGCAAAGAUAGAAGUGAUUUCGAGGGUAUGGUCAUCUUGCCUGAAAUCCCGCAAGGAAGAAGAACGAGUCCAUGGAGAAGACAAACAGACGAAGUCGAACGAAUCCUCACAAAUGCGAUGUUAUCGGAACUAACCCGAAGAAGCAACACCGGAAAGAAGCAAACAACAAGGUAAACAACCAUCACAUAACCAUGGCAUGAUGCACAACCAAGUAUGAUGCAUGUCCGGUUUAAAGAGGCAUGGCAUGGCAAUUUGCACAAACAAAACUACAAAUUAAGUGGAGCUCAAUAUGCAACGAGUUCCAUAUUGACGGAACACCACAUGACUUAUUUAGUUCUCUCCCGGUUAUGUACCCAACAAUAUUAAAUGUUGGUUAGCAUGGCAAGAGGUGAAGCAUAAUAAAACUACUUAACUAGGCAAGUUUAAAAGAGGCCGUAGCAACAAACAACAAGUCCGGAAACUCCUCAUGUGCAUAUUUUUAGGUUUGGUACUGUUCUGCCCUAAACCAUAUUUUAGAGUUGUUAAGCAUGCAAAGUAAAGCCACCAUGUUAAACUAGGCAUUUUUCUACCCCAUUUACAUAUAAAGUUUAUUUAAAAUGGAGCUACGGUUAUUUAGUUAUGAAACAAACCAUUUUAGCAUGGCAUAAGAGUAAAUCUACACAAACAGCAAUUUAAACAUUUUAAACAUGGGUGAAAGUGACAUAUUAUGAAACUAGACACAAUUUUAAGCAUUUUUCAUAUAUAAAGUUUUUACAUGUGAUGCAUAGUUUGUGAGAUAUUAAAUGUAUGAACAUUAGGGUCUUUUCUGUAAAACAACGUUCUCUGGAAUAUUAGGAAAAUCGUAGAACAGGAAAAAAAUAAGCCACGGGCCGAAACUGGCUGGGCCACCACAGAGCAGAGGGGCUGUAGGAGCUGCUCACUCAUGGGCUAAGGCCCGGUUCGGUGGUGAGGCAGGCAGGCUUGGAGCUAGGCCAAGCAGGAGGCCGCGGCUGGGCUUUGGGAGAGGGGCGUGCUGGGCCGAUGGGUGAUACGUCCAUUUUGCAUCAUGCUUUAAUAUCAAUAUUUAUUGCAUUAUGGGCUGUUAUUACACAUUAUGUCACAAUACUUAUGCCUAUUCUCUCUUAUUUUACAAGGUUUACAUAAAGAGGGAGACUGCCGGCAGCUGGGAUUCUGGGCUGGAAAAGGAGCAAAUAUUAGAGACCUAUUCUGCACAGCUCCAAAAGUCCUGAAACUCCACGGAAGACGUUUUCCAAAUAUAUAAAAAAUACUGAGAGCAAGAACUUCACUAGGGGGGCCACACCCUGCCCACGAGGGUGGGGGGCGCGCCCUACCCCCUGGGCGUGCCCCCCUACCUCGUGGGCCCCUGGUGGCCCUCCGGUGACCAUCUUCUGCUAUAUGAAGUAUUUCGAUGGAAAAAAAAGAAGCCAUCUUCUCGGACGAAACUCCGCCGCCACGAGGCGGAACCUUGGCGGAACCAAUCUAGGGCUCUGGCGGAGCUGUUCUGCCAGGGAAACUUCCCUCCCGGAGGGGGAAAUCAUCGCCAUCGUCAUCACCAACGCUCCUCUCAUCGGGAGAGGGCAAUCUCCAUCAACAUCUUCAUCAGCACCAUCUCCUCUCAAAACCCUAGUUCAUCUCUUGUAUCCAAUUCUUGUCUCCAAGUCCGGGAUUGGUGCUAGUAGGUUGCUAGUAGUGUUAAUUACUCCUUGUAGUUGAUGCUAGUUGGUUUAAUUGGUGGAAGAUCAUAUGUUCAGAUCCUAUAUGCAUAUUAAUACCCCUCUGAUUAUGAACAUGUUUAUGCUUUGUGAGUAGUUACUUUUGUUCCUGAGGACAUGGGAGAAGUCUUGCUAUUAGUAGUCAUGUGAAUUUGGUAUUCGUUCGAUAUUUUGAUAAGAUGUAUGUUGUCUCUCCUCUAGUGGUGUUAUGUGAACAUCGACUACAUGACACUUCACCAUUAUUUGGGCCUAGAGGAAGGAAUUGGGAAGUAAUAAGUAGAUGAUGGGUUGCUAGAGUGACAGAACCUUAAACCCUAGUUUAUGUGUUGCUUCGUGUUGGAUCCAUAUGUUUCAUGCUAUGGUUAGGUUUACCUUAAUAUUUUUGUCGUAGUUGCGGAUUCUUGCAAUAGAGGUUAAUCAUAAGUGGGAUGCUUGUCCAAGUAAGGGCAGCACCCAAGCACCGGUCCACCCACAUGCCAAAUUAUCAAAGUACCGAACGCGAAUCAUAUGAACGUGAUGAAACCUAGCUUGACGAUAUUCCCAUGUGUCCUCGGGAGCGCUUUUCUCUAUAUAAGAGUUUGUCCAGGCUUGUCCUUUGCUACAAAAAGGAUCGGGCCACCUUGCUGCACUUUAUUUACUUUUGUUACUUGUUGCUCGUUACAAAUUAUCCUAUCACAAAACUAUCUGUUACCACUUAUUUCAGUACUUGCAGAGAAUACCUUGCUGGAAACCGCUUAUCAUUUCCUUCUGUUCCUCGUUGGGUUCGACACUCUUACUUAUCGAAAGGACUACGAUAGAUCCCCUAUACUUGUGGGUCAUCAAGACUCUUUUCUGGCGCCGUUGCCAGGGAGUGAAGCGCCUUUGGUAGGUGGAAUUUGGUAAGGAAAAAUUUAUAUAGUGUGCUGAAAUUUACUGUCACUUGUUAUUAUGAAAAGUAAUCCUCUGAGGGGCUUGUUCGGGGUAUCUUCACCCCGACCAGUAGAGCAAAGAGUUGCUCCUCAACCUACUGAAAAUGAAAAUGAAAAUGACGGCUUUGAAAUUCCUUCGGGUAUGAUAGAAAAACUGCUAGCUAAUCCCUUUUUAGGAGAUGUUGUUAAGAAGAAGGUCUUCCCUUUAUCUUUUAAGGGAGACACAUCGACAUGGUAUAGGCUAUGUGAUGAUAUGGGUCUUGGAAUUACAAACGAUUGAAAUUGGAAUUUCAUCAUAAGUUUUAUCCUAUGCAUCUUGUUCAUCGUGAUCGCAAUUACAUAUAUAAUUUUUGGCCUCGCAAAGGAGAAAGCAUCGCUCAAAAUUUGGGGAGGCUUAAAUGAAUGUUAUAUUCAUGCCCCAAUCAUGAGCUCUCGAGAAAAAUGAUUAUUCAAAAUUUCUAUGCUCGGCUUUCUGAUAACAAUCGCACCAUGCUUGAUACUUCUUGUGCUGGAUCUUUUAUGAUGAAGACUAUUGAAUUCAAAUUGGAUUUAUUGGAAAGAAUUAAAUGCAACUCUGAAGAUUGGGACCUCGACAAAGGUAAGGAGUCAGGUAUAAGACCUAGUUUUGAUUGUGUUAAAUCUUUUAUGGAUACCGAUAUUUUUCGUAAAUUUAGCACUAAAUAUGGACUUGACUCUGAGAUAGUAGCUUCUUUCUAUGAAUCUUUUGCUACUUAUGUUGAUCUCCCCAAGGAGAAGUGGUUUAAAUAGCAUCCUCCCAUAGAAGUAAAAGUAGCUGCACCUAUUAAAGUUGAAGAAAAGAUUGUCACUUAUAAUGAUCCUAUUGUUCCUACUUCUUAUGUUGAGAAACCACCUUUCCCUGUUAGGAUAAAGGAUCAUGCUAAAGCUUCAACUGUAAUUCAUAAAAGCAAUAUUAAAAUAUAUACACCUCCUGAGCAAGUUAAAGUUGAACCCAAUAUUGCUAUUGUUAAAGAUCUCUUGUCCGAUAAUAUUGAUGGGCAUGUUAUUUAUUUUUGUGAUGAAACUGCUAGAAUUACUAAACCCUGUGCUAAAGAUAAACCUAGACAUGUGGUAGGCAUGCCUGUUAUUUCUGUUAAAAUAGGAGAUCAUUGUUAUCAUGGCUUAUGUGAUAUGGGUGCCAGUGCUAGCGCAAUACCUCAUUCCUUAUACAAAGAAAUUACGCAUGAGAUUGCACCUCCUGAAAUAGAAGAUAUUCACCAAUGGGAAUUGUUAGAGAUGUUGAAGUCUUGUGUGGGAAAACUAAAUAUCCUGCUGAUUUUCUUGUUCUUGGUUCCCCACAAGAUAGCUUUUGUCCCAUUAUAUUUGGUAGACCCUUCUUGAACACUGUUAAUGCUACCAUAGAUUGCAAAAGGGAUGUUGUUACUAUCGGGUUAGAUGAUAUGACUCAUGAAUUUAAUUUCUCUAAAUUUAGUAGACAACACCGUGAAGAAGAAUUACCUAGUAAGGAUGAAAUUAUUGGUCUUGCUUCUAUUGCCGUAUCUCCUAGUGAUCCUUUAGAACAUUAUUUGCUAGACCAUAAAAAUGAUAUGUUUAUGAAUGAAAGAAGGGAAUUAGAUGAGGUAUUCUUUAAACAGGAACCUAUUCUGAAAAAUAAUUUACCUGUUGAAAUCCUAGGGGAUCCUCCUCCACCCAAGGGUGAUCCCGUGUUUGAGCUUAAACCAUUACCUGAUACUCUUAAAUAUGCUUAUCUUGAUGAGAAAAAGAUAUAUCAUGUUAUUAUUAGUGCUAACCUUUCAGAGCAUGAGGAAGAGAGAUAUUGAAAACUCUGAAGAAGCACCGUGCUGCUAUUGGGUAUACUCUUGAUGAUCUUAAGGGCAUUAGUCCCACUCUAUGUCAACAUAAAAUUAAUUUGGAAGAAGAUGCUAAACCAGUUCGUGAUCAUCAACGACGGCUGAAUCCUAAAAUGAAAGAAGUGGUAAGAAAGGAAAUACUAAAGCUCCUUGAGGCAGGUAUAAUCUAUCCCGUUGCUGAUAGUCAGUGGGUAAGUCCUCUCCAUUGUGUCCUUAAGAAGGGAGGUAUUACUGUGGUUCCUAAUGAUAAAGAUGAAUUGCUUCCUCAAAGAAUUAUUACAGGUUAUAGGAUGGUAAUUGCUUUCUGCAAAUUAAAUAAGGCAACUAAAAGGAUCAUUACCCCUUACCUUUUAUCGAUCAAAUGCUAGAAAGAUUAUCCAAACAUACACAUUUUUGCUUUCUAGAUGGUUAUUCUGGUUUCUCUCAAAUACCUGUGUCAGCCAAAGAUCAAUCAAAGACUAUUUUUACAUGCCCUUUUGGUACUUUUGCUUAUAGACGUAUGCCUUUUGGUUUAUGUAGUGCACCUGCUACCUUUCAAAGAUGCAUGAUGGCUAUAUUCUCUGACUUUUGUGAAAAGAUUUGUGAGGUUUUCAUGGAUGAUUUUUCCGUCUAUGGAUCUUCUUUUGAUGAAUGCUUAAGCAACCUUGAUCGAGUUUUGCAGAGAUGCAAAGAAACUAAUCUUGUCUUGAAUUGGGAAAAGUGCCACUUUAUGGUCAAUGAAGGUAUUGUCUUGGGGCAUAAAGUUUCUGAAAGAGGUAUUGAAGUUGAUAAAGCCAAGGUUGAUGCUAUUGAAAAGAUGCCAUGUCCCAAGGACAUCAAAGGUAUAAGAAGUUUCCCUGGUCAUGCCGGAUUUUAUAGGAGGUUCAUUAAGGACUUCUGAAAAAUUUCUUGGCCUCUGACUAAUUUAUUACAAAAAGAUAUACCAUUUGUUUUUGAUGAUGAUUGUGUAGAAGCAUUUGAAAUACUUAAGAAAGCAUUGAUUUCUGCACCUAUUGUUCAGCCACCUGAUUAGAAUUUACCCUUUGAAAUUAUGUGUGAUGCUAGUGAUUAUGCUGUAGGUGUUGUUCUAGGACAAAGAGUUGAUAAGAAAUUAAAUGUUAUUCAAUAUGCUAGUAAAACCCUAGACAAUGCUCAAAGAAAUUAAGCUACCACUGAAAAAGAAUUCUUAGCAGUUGUAUUUGCUUGUGAUAAGUUCAGACCUUAUAUUGUUGAUUCUAAAGUAACUAUUCACACUGAUCACGCUGCUAUUAAAUAUCUCAUGGAAAAGAAAGAUGCUAAACCUAGACUUAUUAGAUGGAUUCUCUUGCUACAAGAAUUUGAUUUACAUAUUAUAGAUAGAAAAGGAGCUGAGAACCCCGUUGCAGACAACUUGUCUAGGUUAGAAAAUGUGCUUGAUGACCCACUUCCUAUUGAUGAUAGCUUUCCGGAUGAGCAAUUAAAUGCCAUAAAUGCUUCUCAUACUGCUCCAUGGUAUGCUGAUUAUGCUAAUUACAUUGUUGCUAAGUUUAUACCACCUAGUUUCACAUACCAGCAAAAGAAAAAGUUCUUCUAUGAUUUGAGGCAUUACUUUUGGGAUGACCCACAUCUUUAUAAAGAAGGAGUAGAUGGUGUUACUAGACGUUGUGUACCUGAGAAUGAACAGGAAUAGAUCCUACGCAAGUGUCACUCCGAAUCUUAUGGAGGACACCAUGCUGGAGAUAGAACUGCACAUAAGGUAUUGCAAUCUAGUUUUUAUUGGCCUACUCUCUUCAAGGAUGCCCGUAAGUUUGUCUUAUCUUGUGAUGAAUGUCAAAGAAUUCGUAAUAUUAGUAGACGUCAAGAAAUGCCUAUGAACUAUUCACUCGUUAUUGAACCAUUUGAUGUUUGGGGCUUUGACUAUAUGGGACCCUUUCCUUCCUCUAAUGGAUAUACACAUAUUUUAGUUGCAGUUGAUUACGUUACUAAGUGGGUAGAAGCUAUUCCAACUAGUAGUGCUGAUCAUAACACUUCUAUUAAAAUGCUUAAAGAAGUUAUUUUUCCAAGAUUUGGAGUCCCUAUAUAUUUAAUGACUGAUGGUGGUUCACAUUUUAUUCAUGGUGCUUCCCGUAAAAUGCUUGCUAAAUAUGAUGUUAAUCAUAGAAUUGCAUCUCCUUAUCACCCACAGUCUAGUGGUCAAGUAGAAUUGAGUAAUAGAGAGCUCAAAUUAAUUUUGCAAAAGACUGUUAAUAGAUCUAGAAAGAAUUGGUCAAAGAAACUUGAUGAUGCAUUAUGGGCCUAUAGAACUGCAUAUAAAAAUCCUAUGGGUAUGCCUCCGUAUAAAAUGGUUUAUGGAAAAGCAUGUCACUUACCUCUCGAACUAGAACACAAGGCAUAUUGGGCUAUUAAAGAGCUCAAUUAUGAUUUCAAACUUGCCGGUGAGAAGAGGCUAUUUGAUAUUAGCUCACUUGAUGAAUGGAGAACCCAAGCCUACGAAAAUGCCAAGUUGUUUAAAGAAAAAGUUAAAAGAUGGCAUGACAAAAGAGUACAAAAGCGUGAGUUUAAUGUAGGUGAUUAUGUAUUGCUAUACAACUCUCGUUUAAGAUUUUUUGCAGGAAAACUUCUCUCUAAAUGGGAAGGUCCUUACGUUAUCGAGGAGGUCUAUCGUUCCGGUGCCAUAAAAAUCAACAACUUCGAAGGCACAAAUCCGAAGGUGGUGAACGGUUAAAGAAUCAAACAUUAUAUCUCAGGUAAUCCCAUAAAUAUUGAAACCAAUAUUGUUGAAACCGUAACCCCGGAGGAAUACAUAAGGGACACUUUCCGGAACGUUUCAGACUCCGAAAAGGAAUAGGUAUGUGGUACGGUAAGUAAACCGACUCCAAAACAGUUUUUAAGGCAAUAUUUCUCCGUUUUGGAAUAUUUAGAAAAAAUAGAAAAAUAAGUAGCGUCCCGGGAAGGACACGAGGGCUCCACGAGGGUGGAGGGCGCGCCCUACCCUACUGGGCGCGCCCCCCUACCUCGUGGGCACCUCGUGCGCUUUCCGCUCCGUUUUCGUACACGACACGUAUUUUGGUCGGUAAAAAUUCAUUAUAUAAUCUCCCAGGGGUUUUGACUCCCGUAUCACACAAAAAUCUUCUGUCUUUGUUUCGAGCUGUUUUUCUGACAGAUCUAGAUUAUCAUGACGUCUCCAAGUGCUCCCAAGGACAAGUUCUUCGAGAAGGUCAUCAACCCUUACCUCACGGAGGUGUACCGACACCCUCAAACCAUUGAGAUGCGUGAUGGGUUGCUGCACAUCCAUGAUGCUGAGGGACCGAAGGGGACCGGAAGCAUGGAGACGAGGCUCGAAGCAAUGGAGCAACAAGUUUUCAAGUGUCAGGGGAUGGUGGAGCGUGGACUAAACUCCAACCACAUGAUGAUCGCAGAGUUCACCAACAAACACAAGCUGGAUGCCGACAACAUCGGGGAGACCAUCUUCAAGCUUCACGAGAAAAUCGAGCACCUUCAAGCUCAAAUCUAUGACCUGCAAAGCCAAAACUGUGAGUAUGAAUAUAGAUUCAAAAGGAUGAGUUUGGCUGCAGAUUUGAGGAUCCCGGAGACUCGGUCAUCCUUCUAUGAUGGUGAGCCUAUGCCUUGGAAGAAGGACGACAAGCCUACGCCAUCAACAAAGUCACCACCGUCUCCACCAACAAAGAAGAAUUGAGUAUCUGGUAUGGGCACUCCACUUGGCAACUGCCAAGCUUGGGGGAGUGCCCCGGUAUCGUAUCACCAUCACUUUUAUCUUUACCUUUUUUCUUAGUUCGAUCCUUUUGGUAAUAUCUUGAUCUAGUAGAAUAAAAGUUCCUAGUAUGAUCUAGUUGUGAGUUUUGCUUUAUUAUCCUUCUAUGUAAUCAAGUCCGUGAGCUAUAUAUAAUAAAGAUUAGUGUUGAGUCAAGGGCUUGAUUAUUUGCCAUGAUCCUAAGUGAAUAAAAGAAAAGAGAAAGAAAUAAAAAGAAACAAAGAGAUCAUGUGAGCCUUAUGGAGAGUAAUGAGCUCACAUAGAAAAAGUAUGAUGGAUAAAAGUUGUUGAGAGUUGACAAACAUAGUUUUGGUCAUCGUUGCAAUUAAUAGGAAGUAAUAAAGAAAGAGAGGUCUUCACAUAUAGAUAUACUAUCUUGGACAUCUUUUAUGAUUGUGAGCACUCAUUAAAAUAUGACAUGCUAAAGAGUUGACGUUGGACAAGGAAGACAAGUAAUGGGUUAUGUUUUCUUACAUCUCAGAUAAAUUAUAUUGUCUUGGAUCCUCCAACAUGUUGAGCUUGCCUUUCCUCCUCAUGCUAGCCAAAUUCAUCGCACCAAGUAGAGAUACUACUUGUGCUUCCAAACACCCUUAAACCAGUCUUGCCAUGAGAGUCCACCACACCUACCUAUGGAUUGAGUAAGAUCCUUCAAGCAAGUUGUCAUCGGUGCAAGCAAUAAAAAUUGCUCUCUAAAUAUGUAUGACUUAUUAGUGUGGGAGAAAAUAAGCUUUAUACGAUCGUGUGAUAUGGAAUAAAUAAAAGCGACAGACUGCAUAAUAAAGGUCCAUAUCACAAGUGGCAAUAUAAAGUGACGUUCUUUCGCAUUAAGAUUUUGUGCAUGCAAUCAUAAAAGCGCAUGACAACCUCUGUUUCCUUCUGCGAAGGGCCUAUCUUUUACUUUUAUCUCCUACCUUGCAUAAGAGUCAUGGUGAUCUUCACCCUUCCUUUUUACAUUUUAUCCUAUGGCAAGCACAGUAUGUUGGAAAGAUCCUAGUAUAUAUGGCUAAUUGGAUGUGAGUUUUCAUGAACUAUUACUGUUGACAUUACCCUUGAGGUAAAACGUUGGGAGGCAAAACUAUAAGCCCCUAUCUUUCUCCGUGUCCGAUUAAAACUCCAUACCCAUAAGUAUUGUGUGAGUGUCAGCAAUUUUGAAAGACUAUAUGAUAGUUGAGUAUGUGGACUUGCUGAAAAGCUCUUAUAUGUUGACUCUUUCCUAUGUUAUGAUAAAUUGCAAUUGCUGCAAUGACUGAGAUUAUAGUUUGUUAGUUUUCAAUGAAGUUUACGAUUCAUACUUGAAAUUGUGAUUGAAUUAUUACUCUAGCAUAAGAAAUCAUAUGACAAGAAUUAUAUAAGUUGAUGUUCUAAGAAUGAUCAUGAUGCCCUCAUGUCCGUAUUUUAUUUUUAUCGACACCUGUAUCUCUAAACAUGUGGACAUAUUUUUCGAUUUCGGCUUUUCGCUUGAGGACAAGCGAGGUCUAAGCUUGGGGGAGUUGAUACGUCCAUUUUGCAUCAUGGUUUUAUAUCGAUAUUUAUUGCAUUAUGGGCUGUUAUUACACAUUAUGUCACAAUACUUAUGCCUAUUCUCUCUUAUUUUACAAGGUUUACAUAAAGAGGGAGAAUGCUGGCAGCUGGGAUUCUGGGCUAGAAAAGGAGCAAAUAUUAGAGACCUAUUCUGCAUAGCUCCAAAAGUCCUGAAACUCCACGGAAGACGUUUUCCAAAUAUAUAAAAAAUACUGAGAGCAAGAACUUCACUAGGGGGGCCACACCCUGCCCACGAGGGUGGGGGGGGGGCGCACCCUACCCCCUGGGCGCGCCCCCCUACCUCGUGGGCCCCCUGGUGGCCCUCUAGUGACCAUCUUCUACUAUAUGAAGUCUUUCGAUGGGAAAAAAAUAAGAAGCCAUCUUCUCGGACGAAACUCCGCCGCCACAAGGCGGAACCUUGGCAGAACCAAUCUAGGGCUCUGGCGGAGCUGUUCUGCCGGGGAAACUUCCCUCCCGGAGGGGGAAAUCAUCGCCAUCGUCAUCGCCAACGCUCCCCUCAUCGGGAGAGGGCAAUCUCCAUCAACAUCUUCAUCAGCACCAUCUCCUCUCAAAACCCUAGUUCAUCUCUUGUAUCCAAUUCUUGUCUCCAAGUCCGGGAUUGGUGCUAGUAGGUUGCUAGUAGUGUUAAUUACUCCUUGUAGUUGAUGCUAGUUGGUUUAAUUGGUGGAAGAUCAUAUGUUCAGAUCCUAUAUGCAUAUUAAUACCCCUUUGAACAUGUUUAUGCUUUGUGAGUAGUUACUUUUGUUCCCGAGGACAUGGGAGAAGUCUUGCUAUUAGUAGUCAUGUGAAUUUGGUAUUCGUUCGAUAUUUUCAUGAGAUGUAUGUUGUCUCUCCUCUAGUGGUGUUAUGUGAACGUCGACUACAUGACACUUCACCAUUAUUUGGGCCUAGAGGAAGGCAUUGGGAAGUAAUAAGUAGAUGAUGGGUUGCUAGAGUGACAGCAGCUUAAACCCUAGUUUAUGCGUUGCUUCGUAAGGGGCUGAUUUGGAUCCAUAUGUUUCAUGCUAUGGUUAGGUUUACCUUAAUACUUUUGUUGUAGUUGCGGAUGCUUGCAAUAGAGGUUAAUCAUAAGUGGGAUGCUUGUCCAAGUAAGGGCAGCACCCAAGCACCGGUCCACCCACAUACCAAAUUAUCAAAGUACCGAACGCGAAUCAUAUGAACGUGAUGAAACCUAGCUUGACGAUAUUCACAUGUGUCCUAGGGAGCGCUUUUCUCAAUAUAAGAGUUUGUCCAGGCUUGUCCUUUGCUACAAAAAGGAUUGGGCCACCUUGCUGCACUUUAUUUACUUUUGUUACUUGUUGCUCAUUACAAAUUAUCCUAUCACAAAACUAUCUGUUACCACUUAUUUCAGUACUUGAAGAGAAUACCUUGCUGGAAACCGCUUAUCAUUUCCUUCUGCUCCUCGUUGGGUUUGACACUCUUACUUAUCAAAAGUACUGCGAUAGAUCCCCUAUACUUGUGGGUCAUCAAGACUCUUUUCUGGCGCCGUUGCCAGGGAGUGAAGCGCCUUUGGUAGGUGGAAUUUGGUAAGGAAAAAUUUAUAUAGUGUGCUGAAAUUUACUGUCACUUGUUAUUAUGGAAAGUAAUCCUCUGAGGGGCUUGUUCAGGGUAUCUUCACCCCGACCAGUAGAGCAAAGAGUUGCUCCUCAACCUACUCAACCUACUGAAGAUGAAAAUGACUGCUUUGAAAUUCGGUGGUUUUCUAGGGUUAGGGCGGUUUUCUGGAGCGUUUCGAAGCGUCCGAUCGGGAUCCGGUGGUUCCGAUCGGAGGGGGGUUAGAGAGCUAGUUGUGGGCUGUGUAGAGGGCCAUGAACUAAGAGGAGAGAAGAGAAGUGCAGCCCGGCAAGGUUUUCGGAGACCGAAAACGUCCGACGUUAGACCGGCUAUACUGCCGCUAUAGUUAUCCGUUGGGGCAUCAAACGAACUCCGAAUGCGAUAAAACUUGGCAGGCGACCUACUAACAACAUAACAACACCGCAUGCCAACUUUCAACCCAUUCCGAGAACAUUUUCCGACCACUUAUAAAAUACUAUUUCGGACGUGCCGCGGACGCGUGCAAGUGUGGAUGGGUUCAGAACGGAUGACGGAAAGAACUGGGAGACCCGGAUGAAUGCAAUUUUUGAAAACAUGAUGAUGCAAUGCACAUGAUGACAUGGCAAGAUGCAACACGCAAGCGAAUGACACGGCAACAGCAGCGAAUAACUGGAAGAUGCCUGGCGCAACGGUCUCGGGGCGUCACAAUAGAGGCCUGUAAAACCCUAAACCGGAUGCUAAAUCGAACCCUAAUCCGGCUGGGAAGGGCUUAUCGCCAUGUGAUGUCUACUACACAACCUUCUUCUUGUAGACGUUGUUGGGCCUCCAAGUGCAGAGGUGUGACGCCCCGAGACCGAUGUGCCAGGUGUCUUCCUGUUAUUCGCCGACAUUGCCAUGUCAUUUGCUUGUGUGUUGCAUUUUAUCAUGUCAUCAUCCGCAUUGCAUCAUCAUGUUUUCAAAACUUGCAUCCGUCUGUUGUCCGUUCUGAGCCCAGACACACUUGCACGCGCCCGCGGCAUGUCCGAAAUAUUAUUUUAUAAGUGGCCGGAAAAUGUUCUCGGGUUGGGUUGAAAGUUGGCCUGUGGUCUUAUUAUAGUGUAGAUAGACCACUUGUCAAGUUUCAUCGCAUUCGGAGUUCGUUUGAUAGCCCAACUGUUAAACUAGAGCGGCAUUAUAGCCGGGCACAUGUCGGACGUUUUCGGUCUCCGGAAACAGUCGCCGGGCCUCUCCUCUUCUCUCUUCUCAGCCCUUUGCCUUAUGCACUACCUCUCACCGCCAGGCCCUACCUAACCUCUCUUGUCAGCCUGCGACCCUCCUCACACGCGUGUUCGAAAAGCUGUCCCGGACCCGACCCGGACUGUCGCCACCUAUCGGUGUACUAGAGUAGGGGUACCCUAGUAUCCCGAACUUGUGCACGGGCAGUCGCAGCAUCCCGCGGCAAGGCUUGCCGGGUGACCGCCAAGGUCCUCCGUGGUUCCUUUGGAGCCAUUCAAGAACAAAGUAUCCAAACCAAGACACCACAAGACCCCGACAAGAGGAGCUUGCCGGGAAGGCCAACCAAGGCAAGGCGCUUAAGGAGACAAGACCCCGGCAAGAGGAGCUUGCCGGGAAGGCCACCCAAGGCAUCUCAAGGAACUUGCCGCGGCGCGCCUCGCGUCCCGGCAAGGCCCGGUGAGCGACAAGACAACGACCGCGGCAAGGCGCUUGCCGCGGCAAGCCACCACUCUGUGCCCGCGCUCCAGCACAUCCACCAACGUGUCGCUCUGGGACCCUUCCAGGCGUGCGUGGCGGGAGGCUGUGCAGCCAGCGGUGCGCAGUGGCGAGCGGCGCUGACAAGAUUGCCAUCGUGGCGAGCGGUGGCGUCCCUGACGGUCCCUUUUACACUGUUUAGGCGACACAGACGGGCAUUUAAUGCCCUUGUCCCCUGCCGUCAGGGUUAGGUAUGAUACACUAUAGCAGGUAGCUGUACCUACCGUAGCUCCUUUCCAUUUUUACCCUUUGUCUCCGUUGCCACCUGUCGGUGACCCCUUGAGCAUAUAAAAGGAGGCCCAUGUGCAACGUAGAGGGGGGUUCGGAAAAAAGAGAACACUCAGGCUCGGUCUCGUUAGCCGCUGGUGUGUACUGUAGCACUCCGCGCUCCCGAGCAAGAACCCAAUACAAACCACAAAGCAGGAGUAGGGUUUUACGCAUCCGUGCGGCCCGAACUUGGGUAAACUGCUCGUGUGCUUUGCCUCGAUCCGCUCUUCGUGCGACCUCCGCCCCCGCCGAACCGAAAGGGACUCGGUCCGCCGGUCCCAUAGGUGUUCGUGGAUUAGUCCCCCGACAUCUUUGGCGCGCCAGGUAGGGGGCGUCGAGGUUGUAUGAACUAGAUCCGGUGUUCACGCGAGCUAGAUCUUCGUCACCUUCAUCAACAUGCCGCCGAAGAAGAAGGCUUCAGAGGCGGCUGCUCCGUCCGCGCCUUACCCACCACCGCCGGAGCAAACGGCUGAUGGGGCAGACGCCGGUGGAAGAACGGGCGUCGACGAGGGAGCUCACGGUGCUGCCAGGUCCAAGGACAAGGCUGCGCUACCCAUCGGUGGCGUAGCCGGCUCCCACAACGAUCGGGCGCACUCCAAGACCUCGGCGUCUGUACAUGCACCGCGCCCAUCUCAGGAGGCGCGAGACCGGCAGCGUUAUGGUACUCACAGUACCAUGUGUUUGCUGGACCAAGAUCGAGCUGGUGGAUCUCGGAGUGCUCAAGACCAGCAUGCACGCCAACGUGCUGGCACGAGCGAGGUACGGUCGCCUGGACGGGACACUGCUCCUUCUAACAUAGUUAGAAGUCCGAGCAUAUCCCGCUCCUCGCACCGUUCACCACCGCCACCCGCCACUGCAGCAGAAGCUUUGACGCGAGCUCAACUGCUCCUGUACUACCCUCCAACGGCAGACAAGAUCGACGACUGGAGGGCCACCAUUCAGAGUCUCAUCGGCUUCGCCAACGGCGACACUCAACAGCAGCCGAGCACGUCGCAGCCACGGCAAGCCAUCCAAGCACGAACCGGUGGAGACAAGACCGGUGGGGGUGCAACCACUAUGCACUCUCCGCCCCGAAGGCCAAGAUCGCUGACUCGCCGGAUCCACCUCGACAGCGACUCCACCGCGUCAUCAGAUCCACGAGCUCGUCGCGAUCAGCGCCAAGUUCUUCAUGAACGACAGCAAGAAGACGCUCGUACACGCAUCGAGCGCCGAAGAGAAGCGCGACGUCAAUCGGACCAGCGCGCUGGGCCCUCUGUUGACAUGCAUGCGCCAGGGGAACCAGGCGGCUUGCCGUACGCGGUAGGUUGCCCUGCAUUUACUCGUGAGCUGCGGCAAGUCCAGUGGCCCAGCAUGAAGAAUUUCAAGCUAGAUGUACCAGAGAAGUACGACGACAAGUCGCAUCCGUUGGAGUUCCUCAGCAUCUACACCAUCGUGGUGCAUGCUGCCGGGGGAUGGGACGACAAGAUCGUUGCCAACUACUUCCCGCUGGUGCUCAAGCCCAACGUCAGGUCCUGGCUCAUGCACUUGCCGGACAACUCCAUAUCCUCCUGGGCAGACCUAUGCCAUCAGUUUGUCGGCACCUUUACAGGCGGCCACAAACCUCAUGGCCAAGAGAGUGACCUUCAUCUGCUCGCCCAGAAGGAAGGAGAGCCCCUGCGCAAGUACAUUCAGAGGUUCAGCCGUGUACAGCACAACAUCCCAGAUGUCCACCCCGCCGCGGUCAUCAGCGCGUUCCAUCAGAACGUGCGUAACCGCAGGAUGCGGGAGGAGAUGGCGAUGUGCAAGAUCAGAGACGUCAGCGAGCUGUAUGCCCUGGCCGACAAGUGUGCACGUGCUGAGGAAGGGAAUAAACUCCCUGGAGAGAAUGCAGGAGCAGGAGGAUCUGACAGCGAGGAUGAUGCCCCGGCAAAGAAAAACCGGCGGCGGAACAGGAAGAAGAAAGGCAAAGAUGUGCUAGUCGUUGAGCAGUCCGGCAAUGAAGGUGGCGCCAAGAAAGCCAAAGUUGGUAGCUCCGGCAAGGAGAUUGCCGCAUGCACCAACUGCCAGGCAGUGGCGGUCGCCGACAAGCAGGACGGCACCGACAAGCAGUACUGCAAGAUCCACUGCACCAAGGGCCAUGACCUCCAGAGCUGCAAGAAGGUCGAACAGCUUGUCCAGCAGCAAAAAGCCGAAUACGAGCGAUGCGACAAGGAGAGGGCCCAAGGUGGCGAUGGAGAAUCCGGCAAGAAGCGCGCCGGCCGGGGAGGACGCCGCGGCAAGGCCAAGCAGCGGCAAGGAGAUAGACCUUCCCGCGGCCGCGAUAAGGAUGAAGAUGACGAUGACGACGAAGACAUGGAGGAUGUCGAGACCAGUGAGCAGGAGUUCCAGAAAGCCACACAGGUCUUGUGCGUUGACGGCGGUGCAUGUCUGCAUACUUCGCACCGCCAACUCAAGCAGUGGGUGCGGGAAGUUAAUGCGGCGGAGCCACCCGUCGAGUCACGCAAGCUUCUGAAAUGGUCCAGCACGCCUAUCAUCUUUGAUAUUGAGGACCACCCUGAUCGCACAACUGCGGUCGGGUGCUUGCCGAUGUUGGUUUCACCAACUAUCCGCAACCUCAAGGUCACUAAGAUGUUAGUUGACGGCGGGGCCGACUUGAACUUGAUCUCCUCCGUGGUACUCCAGAAACUCCAAAUCCCUGACAGCGAGCUUGAAGAGACCGACACAUUCCAAGGAAUCAACCCGGGAAGGAGCAAGCCGAAGGGGAAGGUCACGUUGCCUGUAACAUUUGGCAGCGAGCUGAACUUCAGGACUGAGAGGGUCACUUUUGACGUUGCCGAUAUUCCAUUGCCUUACAAUGGGAUACUUGGCCGUCCAGCACUCGCCAAGUUCAUGGCAGCCUCUCACUACGCAUACAACAUGCUGAAGAUGCCAGGCCCGAUAAGCGUCAUCUCUGUCCCCGGUGACAAGAAGGAUGCUCUUAUCUGCGCCGACGAGAUCUACCGGGAAGCGGCAGCCGCAACAGAUCACAAGUCACUUGCCGUUGAAGCCCCCGGGGGGAAGAAGAAGACCAAGUCCGGCAAGAGUUCUGAUGCCCACCCCGGCAAGCGCACCUCUUCGGAGUGCUGCGCUGCCGUCGAGGACGCACCAUCGAGCUCCACCGGCAAGUGUAAGAAGACAAUGGCAGCUCCGCCAGAGACGAAGAAGGUGUCCGCCAAGGAGGAUGGCACUGGUGGCACCUUCACCAUCAGUGCCACUCUCGGCCCUAAAUAGGAAAGCGCGCUCAUUGCUUUCCUGCGGGCGAAUGUCGACGUGUUUGCAUGGCAACCGUCUGACAUCCCCGGUGUUCCCAGGAAAGUAAUUGAGCACCACCUUGCCGUUUGUCCUCAUGCGCGGCCCGUCAAGCAGAAGGUCAGGAAGCAAGCAGUGGAGCGCCAAGAAUUCAUUGCAGAAGAGAUCAAGAAGUGGAAGCAGCAGGCCUUGUUAGAGGAGUGCUCCAUCCUACAUGGUUGGCCAAUCCUGUAGUCGCGCGCAAGGCGAACGGGAAAUGGAGACUUUGUAUCGAUUUUACCGAUGUUAACAAAGCUUGUCCCAAAGACCCAUUUCCUUUGCCGCGCAUUGACCAGAUUGUUGACUCCACGGCCGGAUGUGAUUUGCUUUCAUUUCUUGACGCAUACUCAGGAUACCAUCAGAUCUUCAUGGCAGAAAAGGAUGAGGAGAAGACCGCAUUCAUUACUCCAUGUGGCACGUACUGUUUCAUACGGAUGCCUUUCGGAUUAAAAAAUGCUGGCUCAACAUUUGCAAGAGUAGUCCAUGUCGCUCUUGAGCCACAAAUACACAGAAAUGUGGAAGUCUACAUGGAUGACAUAGUGGUCAAGAGCAAGGACAAGGCAACUCUGAUCCAAGAUUUAGACGAGACCUUUGCAAAUCUGCGCAAGAUCAGCCUCAAGCUCAAUCCCGAGAAGUGUGUGUUUGGAGUCCCCUCCGGCAAGCUUCUCGGGUUCUUCGUGUCUCAGCGGGGAAUCGAAGCCAAUCCCGACAAGAUCAAGGCCAUUGAGCAGACUGAAGCACCAAAACGCGUCAAGGAUGUACAAAGACUUGCUGGUUGCAUGGCUACUCUCAGCAGGUUUAUCUCUAGGUCUGCUGAGCGGGCCCUGCCGUUUUCAAAUUAUUGAAAAAGGCAGGUCCAAUGAAAUGGACUCCGGAAGCGGAGGCUGCGCUGCAAGACUUGAAGAGAUACCUGUCCUCCGCUCCAACACUUGUCGCACCUAAGCCACAAGAGAAGUUGCUGCUGUAUAUAGCGGCAACCAAUCAAGUGGUUAGUGUUGCGUUAGUGGCAGAGAGGGAGGCAGAUGACGAGCCAGCAACCACGGCAGACGCAUCCAGCGGCAAGCAGAGGGCUUCCCCGGCAAGCUCUGGUCCCGACAAAGAUGGAUCCGCAGAUGCGCGAGGAGAUACAGAAGAAAAUGGUGCAGCGCCCAGUUUACUUUGUUAGUUCCCUUCUGCAGGGGGCUAGGUCAAGGUACUCUGGCAUACAGAAAUUGCUUUUCGGCCUUCUCAUGGCCUCGAGAAAGCUGUGCCAUUACUUCCAAGCACAUGAGAUCACAGUUGUCACUCGCUUUCCGCUGAAGAGGAUACUACAGAAUCCAGAAGCGACAGGCAGGAUUGUUGAGUGGGCACUGGAACUGUCAAGCUUUGGCCUCAAGUUUGAGAGUACUUCAACUAUCCAAAGCAGAGCAUUGGCAGAAUUCAUAGCAGAAUGGACGCCAACACCAGAUGAAGAAAUUCCAGAAACGAGCAUCCCCAUCAACGAAGCAAGCAAAGAGUGGCUGAUGUACUUUGAUGGUGCUUUUUCGCUGCAAGGCGCCGGCGCUGGCGUGCUGCUUAUCGCACCCACCGGAGAGCACCUCAAGUACAUAGUCCAGAUGCACUUUCCCAAGGAGCAAGCAACAAACAAUACUGCAGAGUAUGAAGGCUUGCUUGCCGGUCUCAGGAUCGUGGCAGACCUUAGGAUCAAGAAGCUCAUUGUCCGGGGUGACUCACAGCUUGUCGUCCGCCAAGUGAACAAGAGUUAUCAGAGUCCGUUGAUGGAAGCUUACGUCGACGAAGUGAGAAAGCUAGAAGAGCACUUUGACGGCCUACAGAUGGAGCAUGUUCCAAGAGCUCAGAACAGCAUUGUCGAUGGCCUGUCAAAGUGCGCUGCACUUAAGUUACCUGUGGAACCAGGGAUCUUUGUGCUCAAGCUGACUCAACCAUCUGUAACGCCAUCAACUGGACAGAGCAAGAAGAGGAAGUUGAUUUCUGGUGACUAUUUGCCGGCAGAGCUUCCCGAAGCCGCCGCCAAGAAGGUCCCCAAGAUCAACGCCAAGAGUGCUGAGGAGCAAUCUGCUCCGGCAAGCCCUAGGGUUUGUUCCGUUGAAGCAGAAGCUCCCGACAAGUUUUGCUCCAGCAAGCUUGCCGGGGAACGUCAAGCUCCGGCAGAGCCGCAGAUUCUCGCCGUAGAAGCGGAUGUUCCCGCAGCCGCAGAUUUGCCUUUAGUCCUUGUUGUCGAGCCACAAGCUCCAGCAUGGGCACAGCAGGUUGUCCGUUUCCUUCAGACAUGAGAACUUCCCGAAGAGCAAGAAGAAGCGGAAAGAGUAGCCCGGCAGUCAAGUAUGUACCAGUUUGUCGACAAGACACUGUACAGAAGAAGACUCAACAGUGUGAAAUUGAAGUGUAUUCACCGGGAAGACGGACAAAAGCUGUUGGCAGAGAUACAUGGAGGCAUAUGUGGUCACCACAUUGGCGCAAGAGCACUUGUCGGCAAAGCAUUCCAGCAAGGUUUCUUUUGGCCGACAACCUUCCAGGAUGCAACUGCACAAGUAACCAAGUGUGAAGCGUGCCAGUUCCAUUCCAAGCAGAUACACCAACCAGCUCAAGCUCUCCAGACGAUCCCUUUAUUCUGGCCAUUUUCGGUCUGGGGGCUCGACAUCCUCGACCCCUUUCCCCGAGCAGUCGAGGGCUUUGAGUACUUGUACGUCGCAAUCGACAAGUUCACAAAGUGGCCGGAAGUGGAACCAGUGAGGAAGGUGACAGCACAGUCAGCAGUCAAGUUCUUCAGGUCGAUUGUUUGCCGCUUCGGGAUCCCUAACAGGAUAAUCACCGACAACGGUACGCAAUUCACGAGCCGCACCUUCAUGCAGUACGUCCAAGAUCUUGGCGCCAAGGUCUGCUUCGCUUCUGUUGCUCACCCGAGAAGCAACGGUCAAGCGGAGAGGGAAAAUGCUGAAGUGCUGCGCGGGCUCAAGACCAGGACUUUCGACAGGCUACACAAGUGCGGAAGAAACUGGAUCGAGGAGCUGCCGGUGGUUCUUUGGUCGAUCAGAACGACGCCAAAUCGAGCCACUGGCCAAACACCUUUCGCUCUAGUCUAUGGAGCAGAGGCAGUUCUCCCCACGGAACUCGUAUACGGGUCACCUCAAGUGCUCGCUUAUGAUGAGCUCGAGCAAGAGCAGCUGCGACAAGAUGACGCGCUGCUCCUUGAGGAAGACCGUCUUCAGGCUGCUGUGCGAGCUGCUCGCUACCAGCAAGCUUUGCGCCGCUACCAUAGCCGCAAAGUUAACGCCAGAAGUUUCGAGGAAGGCGACCUUGUUCUUCGGCGUGUUCAAUCCGCCAAGAAUUCCAACAAGUUGACGCCGAAGUGGGAAGGCCCUUACCGGGUGAAACGAGUCACUAGGCCUGGCGCUGUCUGCUUUGAGACCGAAGAUGGCAUUCCGGUGAGCAACUCCUGGAACAUUAAGCAUCUUCGUAAGUUUUACCCGUAAGGCGCAGUUGCCGGAACCUGUUCCGGCAACCACCUUUUGUACAAGUCUUGCCGCUGUUGCAUGUAAUCCUUUGUACAAAGCCGGGCGCAGACCCCGUGCAUAAGUAAAGCUCAUGUGCUCCGCACAUUUUGUCAAUUUCAUGCUCUCUAUUUUUUGGCAUAUAUGAUCUGACACUUUGUGCAGCACCUACUCCACGGUAAGCAAUAACGAGCCGUAAGGCUCCGUAUCUUUAUUUUCUCUUCUUUCUUUUUUCUCAAGGAAAGGAAGGUUCCCUCGCCCACAAGUUUGCCGGGGAGGAAAGGAGAAGAUAAUGGUAUGGACCAGACGUCGUUCAAGAAAAUUUCGCCUUACCGGGAAGCAAACAACAAAAAAGCUAAGUUGCCAAAGUUUGAGCAAUCAGAUUUUUUAAAUUUUAAGUUAUCUUCCUUGAACGACCGCACUUUGUAUGGAAAACCUGUGCGCGGAGGAACCAACUCGUAGCUAGUUGCGCCCUUACUUUGUUUCGAGUCCGCUCAACAACUUAAGUGAGCUGCAACUAGUUGCGACAAGGUUUCUUGUCGGUAGCGGCAUCGCCAGCAGGCUGCUGACGUCCCGCACUCAGCGCUCGCGGCUCAGGUACCUGCACCGGCAAGUUCCCUAAAAGCGUAGGGCAAAAACAUACAAAGGGAGGAAUCAAGUAAAGGGAAUAAUAUUGCAAUCAUUACCCAGAAUAGAAUUAUAUUACAAAGAUAGCUUGUCGCGGCUCUAACAGAUUGUUUUCAUAGCAUGACAAACAGCGACAAGAAAAGAAGAAAUGGGCGGCCUAAUCUACGCGAUCGCCCUCGAUCCUCUUGAUCCCGCUCACCUUGUCCACAAUGGGUGCGACAAGGGCCUUGAGCGCCUCCAGAUCGGCAUCCAACGGCAGGGUCUUGAGGAUGUUGGUGAGGUUGAGGCCCGGAUUGCGGAAGGCCACCUUCACCAACACUUUCUGAAGAGCUCCCGCACAGAUCUUGCGCGACUCGUCGGCCAGCUGCUUUGGGAUCCUCUCCCGGAGUCGCUGGAGGGCCGUCGCCACGCCCUUGAAGAACAAGACGAGCUUGGCGCUGGGUUGGAGGUUCUCGUCGGAGGGAUACCCGACAUCCUCCAUCCCCAGCUGCGCCAACUCCCUGUCAAUAUCUGCGGCAGUGCUCACGAGGCUCUCCGUCCAGUGCUCCACAUUUUCCCUGAAAGCAUUCUGGGUGGCGGCAACACUCUCCAACAGCGCCUUGUCGGCCUUGAUCUCUUUUUUCAAGGCCGUCUCCUGCUCCUUGGCGCCGUCCAGCGUCUUGGUCAAAGUGGUCAGCUUCAACUCAAGAUCCGCGUUGGAGUCUUUGGCGGCGCUGAGCUCUUUGCCCUUCUCGGCAAGAUCGGCCUCCAGCUGCACCACCUUCAUCUCCAGCUCCUUCUUGGCGGCCUCGGCAACUGCGGCAGCAUCCUCUGCUUGCUUAAGGGCUCCGCCGAGUUUUUCCUCGCGCACGGCAAGCUCCUCCUCGUGGGCGUCAAGAUUGACCUUCCGCUGCGCCAGCUCGCCCUCCUCCACGAAUAGCUUCACAGCGGCAAGUCGCUGUUGCUCUUCGACUUCAGCCUUCUCGAGGAGGAAGGCCUUCUGCACUUCGGCAAGCUGCUCCCGCUCCUCCGCCAGGGACCGGAGGGCUUCCUGGUGGAAACCCCCGAGCUCUUCCGCGCGCUUCUCGAUGUCUGCUCCCGCCUUCGCGACAAGCGCCUCGUGGGAUUCCAGCUUGGCUUGCCGCGCGCGGUAGAGCGACAACAACUUCCGCAGCAGCCGCUCCUCCUCAGGCUCGUUGCUGCUGCUGCUCGGCGCGUCAACCAGAGUCAGCCCAACGGAGGCAAGCACCUCCCCGUCGAAGAUCUCUCCCUCGACCGGCGCCCUGGAGCUCGAUGCCCAGGGAAGGUUGAUGAAGACGUCGUCGCCGGCCUUCAAGUAGACGCCUGGCUGGGGCUCUUCGGAGCCUGGCGCUGCGGCAGCAGCGGACGGGUCGGCGGUCGGUGUAGCACCUGGCGCUCCUAUGGCCUCAGGGCCGUCAGUGCGAUCACCAGACCCCUCGCCAGUUGCCGCGGCGGCAGCCUUGGCGGCCUCUGCGCCGGCGGGAUCGUCAGCACCGGCCGCUUCUUCGGCGGCAACCUCGGUCUCCAUCGGCUCCGUAGCAGAUGGGUCUGACAGCCGGGAAAGGGAAAAGAGUCAAGCAAAAACCCAAGAAGAUCAAAAGAAGAAGAACCCAAGGAAAGUUUUGAAGCGAAAGGAUUACCUGUGCCGGGUUCUGCAGUCGUGGUCUCCACCAUCGGGGGGCCGCUGGUGCUGUCCCUUGCCGGAGACUUCUCCCUUACCGGAAAGCCCUCCCUUGCCGGAGAGCUCUCCCUUGUCGGGGGACUCUCCCUUGGCUCCUGGUGGGGCUGCUCUGCUCCUACACAAACCAGCAGUAAGAUAUCAGCAAAGACAGAGUAUCCAUGCGCAUCUCACAGCGGAAAGCAAACCAUAUACUUACGCUGGGGGCUCCUCUGGAGAAAAGUUGCCGGGUCUGGCAAGGUUGUCUCGAGCGCACCCCCUGCUGUCGCAGUAGGUUCGUCCUCGAUGACAAUCACCGGGACUUUGGCUCUCUUUGCUGCUCUCUGGGCCAGAGUCCUAAAAAGGAACAAGUUCAGAGUCAAGCAAAUGAGAUACAAGACAAACAGCAAGGAUUGAAGAACUACAAGUACACCAAGGGAGUCUUACUCUUCUUCUUCUUCCUCGUCGGAGCUGAACGCGGAGAAGUCGAAGUCUGGCUCACGUCCGGCGCGAGGAGGCGGAGGAGUAGCUUCCCUUGGCCGCUUGGCGGGGGCAGUGGCGACAGUCUGAGACGACCCCGCUCCGGCUGUCGCCACGGCGUGAGAAGCGGCAGGAGUAGAAGCGGUGGUCUGGGAGGGCCCCGCUCCAGUUGCCGUCGCAGCGUGAGGUGCUCCUGCGGUAACAGUGCUUGCCGCGGUGGAACGUGUCACACGACGCGGCGACUGUUGCCUCGCCUGCCGCUCCGCUACGUCACCGACCUUGCAGAGACGCCUUCUUGGUGGGGAUGGAGGCUCUGCUUGCGGCGAGCUGUCUGAAGAUGAGGAGGAAGACGAGUUGAUCUCCAGCGAGCCGCUCGUAUCCUUGGCGGGCUCGCUCGACUCGACGUUAUGCCCGGCAAGCUCUUUCUUGCCGGCAGGCUCCCCUCGCUCGGCACGGCUUGCCGCCUCUGCUGCCUCUGCCUCCUCCAUGGUGAAUCCAAAUUCGCCUGCGGCUGCGGCUGCCGCCGCCUCUUCUAGCCUAGUGGUGAUGAGUGCCAUCUCCGCAUCGGUGGUGUCGCGGGUGAGGCUAUCUUUCUCGUCGGAGCGGAUCGGCACUUCUACCAAGUCAUCGAAGAAUUGCUGCACGACAUCGUCUGCAGGCUCUUGCCAAGUUGGGACAAUUCCAUGCGAGUCGCACAACGGCAUCAUUGCACGGAUGCGGUCGAGCGUGGAGUUGUUGCACAGCGGAACGAUCCCCCCCGGCAACCUGAAAACUUCGGGGUGUUGAGGGUCGUACUUGAACAGCUCCUGGAGCAUCGCGUUGAGCUCCAGAACUGUGAAGUUGAAGUUGAGGCCCGGCCGCAACCUCAUGAUAUCGGCCGCAUUCUUGAACUCCCAAGUGGGUCUCCCCCGUUCCUGCAGGGGGGCGAUGCAGCGACGAAGAAAAUCCGCGCCAACAGCACCUACAGUGAGCCCGGCAAGCCUGAGGCGUAGGAUCCGGGUGACAGCAAUCUUCAGCCUGUCGUCUUCCGGGGCCACGUCACUCCAAUCGCUGCCGCGUGCUACUAGGGUUUGGCGCCGGGUGGUGAAUGGCUGCGGGUUCUCCUCGUCAAUCCAGCACCAGUCUGCUCUCCACUCCUCCCACUUGCCGCGGAAUUCUCCCUCCAGAUAAGUUUCCUUCUUGCCGGCCCUUGAGAUCCAGGCGAUUCCGCCGGAUAAAGGCUCUCCUCUCUCUACUCGGGGUAUAAAGAAGUGGCGAAAGAGGGCUACAUUGGGAUGGACUCCGACAAAGUUUUCGCAGAGAUGUGCGAAAACUGCCAUGGUCAGAAUGGCAUUGGGGGUGAAGUCGAGGAGAUGGAACCCGUAGGUGUUCAUGAUAUCGCAGAAGAAUUCAGAGAAAGGCGGGCAGAGCCCGCAGUAGAAGAACAAGGCGAAGAAAGGGUAUCCAUUUGGGGCCUUCUUCCAAGCGGCGGCGGGAAGUACCUUCGUGCGCGGAUGCGCUCGUGUCUCCGUCGACCAGAAGAGGUAGCAGUUCUCCCUCAGCUCCCUCGUGGCAAGCUUGGGGGGGAAGACUGUCCGCUCCUUUUGCAGCGCCGCAAGCCGCUGCGCCUCGGUUGACUUCACGACCUUCCCCUUGUCGGCUUUUGGGGCCAUGGCGGAAGUGGUGGAGGAGGUCGACGGCGUUGGUGGUGCUGGUGGCGAUGGGGGGCGGAGCGCUGCUCUCUUUCGGCUUUGGGAAGACGAGGGAGCGGCGGAGAUUUUUGAGAUUGGAGCAGCAACGGGCGAAUGGACGAACUACUCCUGUUUCCCCUGCUUAUAAAGAGGGAGGGGGCGGACGUUCCGCAUUUCCGAAUAAAGAAACCACCCACGAUCUCUCCCACGACGCCGCAUUCAACGCGUGUCGUUCGGGAAGGGCGCAGUGGAUACGGAGAGAGAUACGGCGUAACCUAGGCCGCGCGUGCCCGUGCCCUGUUUUGGGCCUGGCCCAACAGCGCUCGGCACCGUGUAUGGCCCAGGCCCGGGGGCUCCUGUCGAUGUACUAGAGUAGGGGUACCCUACUAUCCCGAACUUGCGCACGGGCAGUCACAGCAUCCCGCGGCAAGGCUUGCCGGGUGACCGCCAAGGUCCUCCGUGGUUCCUUUGGAGCCAUUCAAGAACAAAGUAUCCAAACCAAGACACCACAAGACCCCGACAAGAGGAGCUUGCCGGGAGGGCCAACCAAGGCAAGGCGCUUAAGGAGACAAGACCCCGGCAAGAGGAGCUUGCCGGGAAGGCCACCCAAGGCAUCUCAAGGAACUUGCCACGGCGCGCCUCGCGUCCCGGCAAGGCCCGGUGAGCGACAAGCUCCCGGACGUGACAAGACAACGACCGCGGCAAGGCGCUUGCCGCGGCAAGCCACCACUCUGUGCCCGCGCUCCAGCACAUCCACCAACGUGUCGCUCUGGGACCCUUCCAGGCGUGCGUGGCGGGAGGCUGUGCAGCCAGCGGUGCGCAGUGGCAAGCGGCGCUGACAAGAUUGCCAUCGUGGCGAGCGGUGGCGUCCCUGACGGUCCCUUUUGCACUGUUUAGGCGACACAGACGGGCAUUUAAUGCCCUUGUCCCCUGCCAUCAGGGUUAGGUAUGAUACACUAUAGCAGGUAGUUGUACCUACUGCAGCUCCUUUCCAUUUUUACCCUUUGUCUCCGUUGCCACCUGUCGGUGACCCCUUGAGCAUAUAAAAGGAGGCCCAUGUGCAACGUAGAGGGGGGUUCGGAAAAAAGAGAACACUCAGGCUCGGUCUCGUUAGCCGCUGGUGUGUACUGUAGCACUCCGCGCUCCCGAGCAAGAACCCAAUACAAACCACAAAGCAGGAGUAGGGUUUUACGCAUCCGUGCAGCCCGAACCUGGGUAAACUGCUCGUGUGCUUUGCCUCGAUCCGCUCUUCGUGCGACCUCCGCCCCCGCCGAACCGAAAGGGACUCGGUCCGCCGGUCCCAUAGGUGUUCGUGGAUUAGUCCCCCGACACCACCGUCGUGUCCGGAUCAUCCACAAACAUCUACAAAACAUCACCGUUUUCUUAUUUGGACUCCCUAGCUAUUUUAUUCGCGACCGUCCGAUUAAGAUCGGAGGGACCAGAUGCCCCUAACUCAAACCCACCUACUAUAUAUAUCUAGACAACCCACCUAAUUUCUAGGGAUCCUACCUCGUGCCGCCGCCACACUCUUUCUCGGGAUCCCUCCCAAUCCAAACCCACCAAUCACCAGACCUCUCUCGAUCCCCUCUGCCCGAGCUCCUCCCGCAGCUCCCCAUCGCCCUCGACCCUGCCUCGUCGUCCGGCCGACACCGGCGACCGAAACCUCGCCGGAGAUGAGUACCUCAACAGCCCCGCUCCUUUUUCCCUCCUGCUUCUCAACCUCUCCUUCUCACGAUCUUCCCUUUCCUUUCUCUAUUUUCUCUCACAGGGAUCCAUGGCGCUGCCGCUUGGAGCUCUGCCUCCUUCGGCCACCUCCUCGCCUCGUCGCCAUCGACCUGCAGAGGGACACGCCAUGGCCACCCUCGUCUUCAAGUCGCGUCGCCCGCGCCCGGAUUUGGCGCCCUCAGCAUGCCCAUGCACGGGUUCCGCGCAUCCCCGUCCUCUCCUGCAACCCUUUAUCGAACUCCAUGGGCAGCCUCCCAUGUUUGACUCUUUGCGCCGCCCCGUUUGACCUCCAGUUCCAGUCCCUCAUCGCCACCACUUCGCCAGGCGCCUCGUCAUCGGGGAGCACCCCAGCACUGCUGUUGUACUCCUCUUCUUUCUUCUCUCUCCCCCCUUUUCCUUUCCCGUCGCUCUCCAAGUUCUCUGAACUCUCUGUCUUUCUUCAGGAGUUGCAGCAACCUUCGAGUUCGAGCAGCCGCCUCCUGCACGGAUCGAAGACCUCCUGUUGCUCGGAUCUUGACGCCGCUGAGCUCCCAUGUCGGAUCGGACUCCUCCACGCAUCCCCGACCUCUGGCCUCGCUGUGCCGUCCCCGUGCAGGUUCCUGCCUCUGCCUCGUCCUCGUCUGAGCAGAGGACGACUGCUUCUUCAUCGCGCGCAAGGGCUGCAGCCGCGGCAAGGCCCAGCCAGCGUCUCUGCCAGCAGCCUUGCGCCCCCCCAACUGGGCCUCAGCCCACUAGGUGAAGCCACACCCCAGCGCCCCACCUUCCUUUCCUAUUGUUGGGCCAGAUUCUUGUUUCGGCCCGUAAUGUGUUUUUUAGAUCUGGUGUUUUUGUCUUUUUUUCCAGAGGCUGCCAGCUUUACAGAAAACCCCGCAUAGUUCUUGCAUAUAAUAACUCCCAAUUGGUGCAUCGGAUUAAAAUGAAUUAUAUAUGAAAAUGCUUAGAAUUAUGUGUAGGUUAAUCAUUUGCAACUUUCAUCCAUGUUUAAAAUGUUUAAAAUGUUGUUUGGUUAAAUUUGCUCCUAUGCCAUGCUAAAAUGAUUUAUUUCAUAACUAAAUAACUGUAACUCGGAAUUUAAUAAACUUUAUAUGUAAAUGGGGUGGAAAAUGCCUAGUUUAACAUGGUGUCCUCACUUUGCAUGUUUAACAACUAUAAAAUAUGGUUUAGGGCAGAACAGUACCAAAUCUAUAAUAUGCGCAUGAGGAGUUUCUGGACUUGUUGUUUGUUGUUCCGGCCUCAUUUAAACUUGCCUAGAUAGGUAGUUAUCAUUUGCUUCACCCCUUGCCAUGUUAAUCAACAUUUAAUAUUGUUGGGUACAUAAACGAGAUCGAACUAAAUAACUUGAAUGUGGUGUUUGUUAAUAUGCAUCCCGAUGCAUAUUGAGCUCCACUUAAUUUGUAGGAUUGCUUGUGCAUUUUGCCAUGCCAUGCUUCAUUAAACCGGACAUGCAUCAUACUCGAUUGUGCAUCAUGCCAUGUUUAUGUGAUGGUUGUUUACUUUGUUGUUUCUUUCUUUCUGGGUUACUUCUCGCGUUAGCUUCGGUUUUGUUCCGGAGUUGUGAGGAUCCGUUCAUCUACGUCCGUUUGUCUUCUUCAUGGACUCGUUCUUCUUCCUUGCGGGAUUUCAGGCAAGAUGACCAUACCCUCGAAAUCACUUCUAUCUUUGCUUGCUAGUUGCUCGCUCUUUUGCUAUGCCUAUGCCGUGAUACCUACCACUUGAUUAUCAUGCCUCCUAUAUUGUUGAGCCAAGCCUCUAACCCACCUUGUCCUAGAAAACCGUUGUUUGGCUAUGUUACCGCUUUGCUCAGCCCCUCUUAUAGCGUUGUUAGUUGCAGGUGAAGAUUGGAGCUUGUUCCAUAUUGGAACAUGGAUAUUUUGUUGGGAUAUCACAAUAUCUCUUAUUUAAUUAAUGCAUCUAUAUACUUGGUAAAGGGUGGAAGGCUCGGCCUUAUGCCUGGUGUUUUGUUCCACUCUUGCCGCCCUAGUUUCCGUCAUAUCGGUGUUAUGUUCCCGGAUUUUGCGUUCCUUACGUGGUUGAGUUAUAAUGGGAACCCCUUGACAGUUCGCCUUGAAUAAAACUCCUCCAGCAAUGCCCAACAUUGGUUUUACCAUUCGCCACCUAGCCUCUUUUUCCCUUGGGAGUCGCGCUCCUGAGGUCAUCAUUAUUUUACCCCCCGGGCCAGUGCUCCUCUGAGUGUUGGUCCAAACUAGAGCCCUGUGCAUCGCCCCCUUGGGGAAACUCGAGGUUUGGUUUUAGUUGUAUGGAGAGCUCAUCUGAGUGUGCCCUGAGAAUGAGAUAUGUGCAGCUCCUAUCGGGAUUUGUCGGCACAUUCGGGCGGUGUUGCUGGACUUGUUUUACCAUUGUCGAAAUGUCUUGUAACCUGGAUGCCGAGUCUGAUCGGAAUGUCUUGGGAGAAGGAAUAUCCUUCGUUGACCGUGAGAGCUUGUGAUGGGCUAAGUUGGGACACCCCUGCGGGGAUUUGAACUUUCGAAAGCCGUGCCCGCGGUUAUGGGCAGAUGGGAAUUUGUUAAUGUUCGGUUGUAGAUAACAUGAAACUUAACUUAAUUAAGAUACACCAACCGCGUGUGUUACCGUGAUGGUCUCUUCUCGGUGGAGUCCGGGAAGUGAACACGGUGUUGGAGUAAUGCUUGACGUAGGUUGUUCUAGGAUCACUUCUUGAUCACAGUUUCUCGAUCGUGCUCUGAUUGUAUCUGGUUGAUGUAAUGCUUUAUUCAUGUAAUUGUGCAGUCUGUGCCAUCAGGCUCGGGGUGCUCAGGGGGAAACCUCAGAUCUGGGUCUUCCGGAUCGGAUGAUGAUGGCGUUUUACCGCUUUCCCUUCUGGGGGCAUCGUUUUGGAGCAAGUGCUGGCUGGAGGGAUGGUGGAGCGGUGCUUCAUCUCACACAUUGAUGGCGGCGGAGAUCGAUGGCAUGGCGCUGUGGAGACUCGACGUCCGAUGCGCGGAGAUGGGCUCGCGCAGGAGGAGGUUGCUAUCUGGCGUCAUGGUGACGUCGAUGGCAGAGUGGCCAGACAGGGUAGAAGCCUCAAUAUGAUCUGAAGACCUGUGGAAGAUGGCGACGACGACACACGAGUGCGUCUGACCAGAUUGUCCUGGUAGGUGGCUCGGCUGGGGAGUCCGAAUGAGUUUCGGCUUCCGGCUUUUGAUGUUAGGCUUAGGUGACUGGUCUGGGUAGUGGCCCAGCUAGCACCCCUUCAUCAUAUUGGAUAGGAGUAGCGGCAUAUGUUGCCUAGAUGGUGGAUUCAGACACAUUGUUGUAAUACUUUGUACGGUCCUCGUGAAUAAUCAAUAAAGUGGCCGUAUGCAUCUCCCAGAUGCAGAGGCCGGGGGUCAUCCUCCUUUUCUAAAAAAAAAUGUAAUUGUGUGAAGUGGCGAUUGUAAGCCAACUAUGUAUCUCUUUCCCUUAUGUAUUACAUGGGUUGUGUGAAGAUUACCUCACUUGCGACAUUGCUUUCAAUGCGGUUAUGCCUCUAAGUCGUGCUUCGACACAUGGGAGAUAUAGCCGCAUCGAGGGCGUUCCAAGAGGUUUGUAGGACAAUAUCAAAUUUCCCUCAAGUGGAUGACCUAAGGUUUAUCAAUCCGUAGGAGGCGUAGGAUGAAGAUGGUCUCUCUCAGGCAACCCUGCAACCAAAUAACAAAGAGUCUCUUGUGUCCCUAACACACCGAAUACAAUGGUAAAUUGUAUAGGUGCACUAGUUCGGCGAAGAGACGGUGAUACAAGUGGUAUAUGGAUAAUAGAUAAAGGUAUUUGUAAUCUGAAAAUAUAAAAACAGCAAGGUAACUAAUGAUAAAAGUGAGCGUAAACGAUAUUGCAAUGCUAGGAAACAAGGCCUAGGGUUCAUACUUUCACUAGUGUAAGUUCCCUCAACAAUACUAACAUAAUUGGAUCACAUAACUAUCCCUCAACAUGCAACAAAGAGUCACUCCAAAGUCACUAAUAGCGGAGAACGAACAAAGAGAUUAUGGUAGGGUACGAAACCACCUCAAAGUUAUUCUUUCCAAUCAAUCUGUUGGGCUAUUCCUAUAAUUGUCACAAACAGCCCUAGAGUUCGUAAUAGAAUAACACCUUAAGACACAAAUCAACCAAAACCCUAAUGUCACCUAGAUACUCCAAUGUCACCUCAAGUAUCCAUGGGUAUGAUUAUACGAUAUGCGUCACACAAUCUCAGAUUCUAUUCAACCAACACAAAGGACCUCAAAGAGUGCCCCAAAGUUUCUACCAGAGAAUCACGACGAAAACGUGUGCCAACCCCUAUGCAUAGGUUCAUGGGCGGAACCCGCAAGUUGGUCACCAAAAAAUACAUCAAGUGGCAUGUGGUAUCCCAUUGUCACCACAGAUAUCCACGGCAAGACAUACAUCAAGUGUUCUCAAAACUUUAAAGACUCAAUCGGAUAAGAUUACUUCAAAGGGGAAACUCAAUUCAUUACAAGAGAGAAGAGGGGGAGGAGAAACAUAAGAUCCAACUAUAAUAGCAAAGCUCGCGAUACAUCAAGAUCAUGCCAAAUCAAGAACACGAGAGAGAGAGAGAGAGAUCAAACACAUAGCUACUGGUACAUACCCUCAGCCCCGAGGGAGAACUACUCCCUCCUCGUCAUGGAGAGCAUCGUGAUGAUGAAUAUGGCCACUAAGGAAGGAUUUCCCCCUCCGGCAGGGUGCCGGAACGGGUCUAGAUUGGCUUUCGGUGGCUACGGAGGCUUAUGGCGGCGGAACUCCCGAUCUAUUGUCCGUUCUGGAAGUUUUAGGGUAUAUGGAGUUAUAUAGGCAGAAGAAGCACGUCAGGGGAGCCACGAGGGCCCCACGAGGCAGGGGGGCACGCCCCUACCCUCGUGAGCUCCUCCUUCCUUCCUUGACGUGGGGUCCAAGUCCAUCGGGUGGCUUUCGUUCCAAAAAUAACUUCUCUAGUUGAUUUCGUUCCAUUUCAACUCCGUCUGAUAUUCCUUUUCUUCAAAACACUGAAAUAGGCAUAAAACAGCAAAUCUGGGUUGGGCCUCCGGUUAAUAGGUUAGUCCCGAAAGUAAUAUAAAAGUGGAUAAUAAUGCCCAAUAACGCCCAAAACAGUAGAUAAUAUAGCAUGGAGCAAUCAAAAAUUAUAGAUACAUUGGAGACGUAUCAAGCAUCCCCAAGCUUAUAUCCUGCUCGUCCUCGAGUAGGUAAAUGAUAAAAAAGAUAAUUUUUGAUGUGGAAUGCUAGUUGUCAUAAUUUCAAUGUAAUUCUUCUUACUUGUGAUAUGAAUAUUCAGAUCCGAAAGAUUCAAGACAAAAGUUCAUAUUGACAUAAAAAUGAUAAUACUUCAAGCAUACUAACUAAGCAAUCAUGUCUUCUCAAAAUAACAUGGCUAAAGAAAGCUAUCCCUACAAAAUCAUAUAGUCUGGCUAUGCUCCAUCUUCACCACACAAAGUAUUUAAAUCAUGCACAACCCCGAUGACAAGCCAAGCAAUUGUUUCAUACUUUUGAUGUUCUCAAACCUUUUCAAUCUUCACGCAAUACAUGAGCGUGAGCCAUGGACAUAGCACUAUAGGUGGAAUUGAAUGGUGGUUGUGGAGAAGAAAAAAAGGGAGAAGAUAGUCUCACAUCAACCAGGCGUAUCAACGGGCUAUGGAGAUGCCCAUCAAUAGAUAUCAAUGUGAGUGAGUAGGGAUUGCCAUGCAACGGAUGCACUAGAGCUAUAAGUAUAAGAAAGCUCAAAAAGAAACUAAGUGGGUGUGCAUCCAACUUGCUUGCUCAUGAAGACCUAGGGCAAUUGACACUAGUAGAAAAAGGGUCAAAUGUGAAGCACAUUAGUGCCGGUUUGAAUUUGAGCCGGCAAUAAUGUGACCAUUAGUGCCGGUUCCAACGGCUAGGCGGGCGGGCAUCAUUAGUACCGGUUCAUGGGCAACCUUUAGUACCGGUUCAUGCCACGAACCGGUACUAAUGAGGCCAGUGCGGCUGUGGUCAGGCUGGGGCCCCCACGAAGACCUUUAGUACCGGUUCAUGGCAUGAACCGGUACUAGAGUUUCUUAGUAAGCUGAUUUUUAGUCCCACCUCGCCAAGAGAGAGGCAGUAUGAGCGGUUUAUAAGCCGUGAGUGCAGAGACAAUGACGAAGAGGCGCAAUGCUCACCUGCACGUUGAUUAGCUUCAAGCCUUUCGGAAUAGCAUAGAUUGCACUGAGCUAUGUGUAGUGCAGUCUACACUAUUCCGAAAGGCUUGAAGCAAAUUAACCAGCAUUGCACCUCUUUUUUAUUUUUAAUAACUUAUUUGAACUCCGGACUUCUUUUGUGUUUAGUAUGCAGCAUUCAAAGCAACGUCAUCAAUUUCCAACAUGUUCUGACAUCAUUUGUUGUUUUUCGGUCAUUACCUAAUUGUUUAGAGAGCUAAAUGACCGUGAAAUUGAAAAUCACUACAAAAUGAAUUCUAAAAAUGUUGAAAAUUGGCAUGGUAUCAUCAUUUCACCCGCAUAGCAUGUGCGAAAGAGUAGAGAGGGUCACGGCAUAAAUUGGACAAACUCUUUCGGAGUAUCAGGGUUUCGGACGAGAACUCAUUUGUUACACGGGCACUUCAAUGUUUUUUAAACUUAUUUGAACUCUGGACAUCUUUUGUGUUCAGUAUGCAACAUUCAAAGUGACGUCAUCAAUUUUCAACAUGUUCUGACAUCAUUUNNNNNNNNNNNNNNNNNNNNNNNNNNNNNNNNNNNNNNNNNNNNNNNNNNNNNNNNNNNNNNNNNNNNNNNNNNNNNNNNNNNNNNNNNNNNNNNNNNNNNNNNNNNNNNNNNNNNNNNNNNNNNNNNNNNNNNNNNNNNNNNNNNNNNNNNNNNNNNNNNNNNNNNNNNNNNNNNNNNNNNNNNNNNNNNNNNNNNNNNNNNNNNNNNNNNNNNNNNNNNNNNNNNNNNNNNNNNNNNNNNNNNNNNNNNNNNNNNNNNNNNNNNNNNNNNNNNNNNNNNNNNNNNNNNNNNNNNNNNNNNNNNNNNNNNNNNNNNNNNNNNNNNNNNNNNNNNNNNNNNNNNNNNNNNNNNNNNNNNNNNNNNNNNNNNNNNNNNNNNNNNNNNNNNNNNNNNNNNNNNNNNNNNNNNNNNNNNNNNNNNNNNNNNNNNNNNNNNNNNNNNNNNNNNNNNNNNNNNNNNNNNNNNNNNNNNNNNNNNNNNNNNNNNNNNNNNNNNNNNNNNNNNNNNNNNNNNNNNNNNNNNNNNNNNNNNNNNNNNNNNNNNNNNNNNNNNNNNNNNNNNNNNNNNNNNNNNNNNNNNNNNNNNNNNNNNNNNNGCGAAAGAGUAGAGAGGGUCGCGGCCAAAACUGGAUGCACUUUGUGUACAAACUGGAUAAACUCUUUCGGAGUAUCAGGGUUUCGGACGAGAACUCAUCUGUUACACGGGCACUUCAAUGUUUUUAAACUUAUUUGAACUCCGGACUUCUUUUGUGUUCAGUAUGCAGCAUUCAAAGCGACGUCAUCAAUUUCCAACAUGUUCUAACAUCAUUUGUUGUUUUUCGGUCAUUCACCUAAUUGUUUAGAGAGCUUAAUGACCGUGAAAUUGAAAAUCACUACAAAAUGAACUCUGAAAAUGUUGAAACUUGGCAUGGUAUCAUCAUUUCACCCGCAUAGCAUGUGCGAAAGAGUAGAGAGGGUCCCGGCAAAAACUGGACGCACUUCGUGUACAAACUGGACAAACUCUUUCGGAGUAUCAGUGUUUCGGACGAGAACUCAUCUGUUACACGGGCACUUCAAUGUUUUUUAAACUUAUUUGAACUCCGGACUUCUUUUGUGUUCAGUAUGCAGCAUUCAAAGCGACGUCAUCAAUUUCCAACAUGUUCUGACAUCAUUUGUUGUUUUUCGGUCAUUUACCUAAUUGUUUAGAGAGCUAAAUGACCGUGAAAUUGAAAAUCAUUACAAAAUGAACUCUGAAAAUGUUGAAACUUGGCAUGGUAUCAUCAUUUCACCAGCAUAGCAUGUGUGAAAGAGUAGAGAGGGUCACGGCAAAAACUGGACGCACUUUGUGUACAAACUGGACAAACUCUUUCGGGGUAUCAGGGUUUCGGACGAGAACUCAUCUGUUACACGGGCACUUCAAUGUUUUUUAAAAUUAUUUGAACUCCAGACUUCUUUUGUGUUCAGUAUGCAGCAUUCAAAGCGACGUCAUCAAUUUCCAACAUGUUCUGACAUCAUUUGUUGUUUUUCGGUCAUUUACCUAAUUGUUUAGAGAGCUAAAUGACCGUAAAAUUGAAAAUCACUACAAAAUGAAUUCUGAAAAUGUUGAAACUUGCAAUGGUAUUAUCAUUUCGGAGUAUCAGAGUAGAGAGGGUCACAAAAAAACUACUCAGAAAUAAAUAGAAGAAAAUAAAUAAAGCAGAAAAGAAUAAAACUAUAUAAAAAAUUACUCAAAAAUAAAUAGAAGAAAAUAAAUAAUGCAGAAAACAAAAAACUAUAUAAAAAAUUNNNNNNNNNNNNNNNNNNNNNNNNNNNNNNNNNNNNNNNNNNNNNNNNNNNNNNNNNNNNNNNNNNNNNNNNNNNNNNNNNNNNNNNNNNNNNNNNNNNNNNNNNNNNNNNNNNNNNNNNNNNNNNNNNNNNNNNNNNNNNNNNNNNNNNNNNNNNNNNNNAAAAAACUAUAUAAAAAUUACUCAAAAAUAAACAGAAGAAAAUAAAUAAUGCAGAAAAGAAAAAACUAUAUAAAAAAAUUGUUGGGGCGCUGCCCAGUGGGCCUGCCAGACCUAGGGUGUGCAAAUGCGCUCUAGUUAGGCCCAGCAGACUCACAGGGCAGCGCGCCCUAGUUAGGCCCAGAAGACAGAUAUAUUGAGAAGCUCGAAGGAGCAGCAGCGGCUGGGUUUAUAAACCAGUGCGGCUGCCCUUCGCUUGGCGAGGUGGGACUAAACGUUGUGCACCGCCGGUGGCAGCGCACAACCAUUAGUACCGGUUGGUGGCUCCAACCGGUACUAAUGAUUGGGCCUUUAGUACCGGUUCGUGGCACGAACCGGUACUAAAGGGGCCGUUUCCCGCCCCUUGGCCUGGCGAAAAUUGGCCUUUAGUAUCGGUUGGUGGCUCCAACCGGUACUAAAGGCCCCUCCCAUAUAUAUGGCACUUAGAAAAAUUCAGUUUCAUCGACCACCACUUCUUCUCGAUCCAACUUCUUCGCCGCGCCCGUCGCCCAUCGCGCGCCGCCCUCGCCGCCCCCGCCGCCCGUCGUCGCCGUCACCGCCGUUGCCCCCACCACCCGUCGUCGCNNNNNNNNNNNNNNNNNNNNNNNNNNNNNNNNNNNNNNNNNNNNNNNNNNNNNNNNNNNNNNNNNNNNNNNNNNNNNNNNNNNNNNNNNNNNNNNNNNNNNNNNNNNNNNNNNNNNNNNNNNNNNNNNNNNNNNNNNNNNNNNNNNNNNNNNNNNNNNNNNNNNNNNNNNNNNNNNNNNNNNNNNNNNNNNNNNNNNNNNNNNNNNNNNNNNNNNNNNNNNNNNNNNNNNNNNNNNNNNNNNNNNNNNNNNNNNNNNNNNNNNNNNNNNNNNNNNNNNNNNNNNNNNNNNNNNNNNNNNNNNNNNNNNNNNNNNNNNNNNNNNNNNNNNNNNNNNNNNNNNNNNNNNNNNNNNNNNNNNNNNNNNNNNNNNNNNNNNNNNNNNNNNNNNNNNNNNNNNNNNNNNNNNNNNNNNNNNNNNNNNNNNNNNNNNNNNNNNNNNNNNNNNNNNNNNNNNNNNNNNNNNNNNNNNNNNNNNNNNNNNNNNNNNNNNNNNNNNNNNNNNNNNNNNNNNNNNNNNNNNNNNNNNNNNNNNNNNNNNNNNNNNNNNNNNNNNNNNNNNNNNNNNNNNNNNNNNNNNNNNNNNNNNNNNNNNNNNNNNNNNNNNNNNNNNNNNNNNNNNNNNNNNNNNNNNNNNNNNNNNNNNNNNNNNNNNNNNNNNNNNNNNNNNNNNNNNNNNNNNNNNNNNNNNNNNNNNNNNNNNNNNNNNNNNNNNNNNNNNNNNNNNNNNNNNNNNNNNNNNNNNNNNNNNNNNNNNNNNNNNNNNNNNAAGUGUUUAAUGUUUCACCUAUAUAUGAACAUAUGUUAGAUAUUAAUGUCAAAUGUUAGAUGAAUUAGAUAUGAAUUAUAUGUUAGAUAUAUAUUUAAUUUAGUUAUAUGAGAUUUCAUUAUCUAAUUAACAUUUUAUUAUAUAGAACUAGCUACCUUAUUUUAGUAAGAAAAUUAAUAGAACUAGUUUAGUUGAAUUAGUUGAAUUAAUUAGUUGAACUAGUUAGUUGAAUUAGUUCAAUUAAUUAGGUAUAUUUUUUGUAAGUGCUUAGUUGAAUUAGUUCAAUUAAUUAGUUGAACUAGUUGAAUUAACAGAAUUAGUUGAAUUAAUAGAACUAAUAAGUGUUUAAUGUUUCACCUAUGAAUAUAGGAAUGUCGUCUGACGACGAACACGAUUUCAUUAUGUGCGAAUACUGCGAAGACCAGCGCGGCCUGUGCGGCAGAAAUUUUCUAGUUGAUGAUAGACGCUUCAGCAUCAAUCUGGAUGAGAACUUCAAAGUGGAUACAGUAAGUCACAAUGACAAGUCUUUUUUCGUAAUUAAGCAUGACUUAUGCUUCAUUUGCUUCAACUUUUAAUUUUAAUUUUUCACUAUUCUACUAGCGUAUCCACUGCCAUGCAAGAAUUUUUUGUCUUGGAUAAGAUAGGUUUCAGUCCUAACGAAACUAUGGAGGUAAAAAGAGUUUACUUGAAGACCGAGUAUGGUUAUACCUUCAACGUCAAAUUAUACAAUGCAGACACAUACACCUAUUUUGAAUGCAAAACUUGGCAAGCAGUAUGCAAGGCUUAUGCAUUUGAGCCUGGUAUGGUUAUCACCUUUGAUAUUCGUCCGGAAGAUGAUAUUGAAGGUAAUAGAGACAUCUGGGUCGAUGUGCAGACGCCUCCAGUUCUACCAUUAUGUGAGUUUCUCAACCAUAUUUAUGUCUUCGAUAUGAGAUUAUUUGAACCAGUUGAAUAAUUAAUAGAUCUCAAUUUAUAUUGACAGCUUACUUCCAAUCAAGCAAACAUGUCCGGCGCUUGGUAGACAGGACCGUCCACUGUCCGGGGGCUGAACUAAACUGCGAGGAGACAAGUCAUUAUGUUUCAUGGCUUGAGGAUCUUGAUGCUGUCAAGACAAAUUUCUUUCCUGCACUUAGAAAUGUUAGUACUCAAAACGUGCGACCAAUAGUGUUCGUACUGAACUACGGUCACAUAUAUUUAGGAAAGAUGGUAAGAUUUCUACUAUUUCUCCUCAGUGCAUCUUUUGCAUACAUUAUUUUUAAGCUAAACUUCAUUGCUAAGUAUGUUACUAUACGAUGUUCUUCAACAGGGACUCCCGAUGAAUGUUGUGCCUAAUUGGAUCGAGACUAAAGGUACCAUGAAUAUUGUUAGCUUACGGCCAAGAUAUCCUACAAUGCACUUUAGUGCAUUCAGGAUUUCUAAUAGCGAGGAAUGCUUAAUAGUAAAAGACUGGAGCAAAAUUGUGAACGAUCACAGAGAAGUACUAGGGGGCAGCAAUCAGAAGCGCAACCCACGAUUAGGAGACAGGUUCAUAUGCAUGCUCCAAUAUGAUGAAUCAGCAAAGCUAUACAUGUUCUAUGCUAUUUUACUUGAGAGAGAGCAGCAGGAGUGAUUAAUUAGCUAGUUCAUGCUCUUAGUACUUGUCCUCUCAUGUCCGUGUUCUUCGUCCUGAACUUAAUCUCAAAAAGUGAUUUGCUUUUGUGGUGUUAUGAACGCUUAUAAUAUCAUUACCAUGUUGAACUCGAUGAUAUCUUUGCUAUGAAAACCGUUGGUGAUGAUAUAUAUGAUGCAAGAGUUUUAUAUUAAUAUGAUGAUGAUGAUGAUGAGUUAUUAUAUCAUUUAUGAAAGAAACUGCAUAUUAGUUUCAACUGGAUGGAUUCUAGCUAAGUGAUCAAGUAUAUGCCAUAUCCAUAUUACCUCGAUCACUUAAGUAGGUGAUCAAGUAUAUAUAAUAUGGAUAUGACAUAUACUUGAUGACUUAGUUAGGAUCCAUGCAUCCAGUCAAACUAAUCUGCGGUCAUUGUUGAGGAAAUCGUUAACUGGUAGCUGCUCGGUCGGCUGGUGAGUAGGCGAUUAAUAGGCUAAUCGGCAAGUUAAUCGGCCAUUUAAUCAAUUAGUCGGACGAUUUAUCGGGUAAUCGGCUACUCGGGGACCCUAUGAGUAGGGAUUAAUCGGCAAGUUAACUGGUUAAUCGGAUGAAUUCUUGAACAGGGUCUGCGAUACAUUCACCUAAUGAUUUAACAACUCAUUAUAAUGUAAAACAAUCACUAAAUUAAAUUGAAAACACAAAAUUAAAGUAAAAAUAAAAAAUAAAACCAAAACACACCCAAACAUUUAGUACCGGUUGGUGUUACCAACCGGUACUAAUGUCCUACGCGCCCACGGAGCUGGCUCGUGCCACGUGGUUGCCCUUUAGCACCGGUUCGUGCUGAACCGGUACUAAAAGGGGGGGCUUUAGUGCCCACAAUUUAGUGCCGGUUACCGAACCGGCACUAAAGGGCCUUAUGAACCGGUGCUAUUGCCCGGUUCUGCACUAGUGUGAGGAGGCCCAUUGUUGGAAUAUACAAGCCAAGUUCUAUAACGAAAGAUUCCCACUAGUAUAUGAAAGUGACAACAUAGGAGACUCUCUAUCAUGAAGAUCAUGGUGCUACUUUGAAGCACAAGUGUGGUAAAAGGAUAGUAGCAUUGUCCCUUUUAUUUUAUUUUUUAUUUUUUAUUUGGCCUUUCCUUUUUUUAUUUGGCCUUCCCUUUUUUUAUUUGGCCUUUCUCUUUUUUUUUGGGACAAUGCUCUAUUGAAUGAUGAUUAUCACACUUCUAUCUAUUUACAACUCAAUGAUUACAACUCGAUACUAGAACAAAGUAUGACUCUAUAUGAAUGCCUCCGGCGGUGUACCGGGAUGUGCAAUGAAUCAAGAGUGACAUGUAUGAAAGAAUUAUGAAUGGUGGCUUUGCCACAAAUACUGUGUCAACUACAUGAUCAUGCUAAGCAAUAUGACAAUGAUGAAUGUGUCACGAUGAACAGAAUGAUGGAAAGUUGCAUGGCAAUAUAUCUCGGAAUGGCUAUGGAAAUGCCAUAAUAGGUAGGUAUGGUGGCUGUUUUGAGGAAGGUAUAUGGUGGGUUUAUGGUACCGGCGAAAGUUGCGCGGUACUAGAGAGGCUAGCAAUGGUGGAAGGAUGAGAGUACGUAUAAUCCAUGGACUCAACAUUAGUCAUAAAGAACUCACAUACUUAUUGCAAAAAUCUAUUAGUUAUCGAAACAAAGUACUACGCGCAUGCUCCUAGGGGGAUAGAUUGGUAGGAAAAGACCAUCACUUGUCCCCGACCGCCACUCAUAAGGAAGGCAAUCAAUAAAUAAAUCAUGCUCCGACUUCAUCACAUAACGGUUCACCAUACGUGCAUGCUACGGGAAUCACAAACUUCAACACAAGUAUUUCUCAAAUUCACAACUACUCAACUAGCAUGACUCUAAUAUUACCAUCCUCAUAUCUCAAAACAAUCAUCAAGUAUCAAACUUCUCUUAGUAUUCAACACACUCAUAAGAGAAUUUUAUUAUUCUUGAAUACCUAGCAUAUUAGGAUUUUAAGAAAAUUACCAUGCUAUUUAAGACUCUCAAAAUAAUCUAAGUGAAGCAUGAGAGUUCGUCUAUUUCUUCAAAAUAAAACUACCACCAUGCUCUAAAAGAUAUAAGUGAAGCACUAGAGCAAAUGACAAACUAUUCCGAAAGAUAUGAGUGAAGAUCAAUGAGUAGUUGAAUAAUUAUGCAACCAUGUGGAGACUCUCUAAAAUUUAAUAAUUUCAGAUCUUGGUAUUCUAUUCAAACAGCAAGAAAAGCAAAAUAAAAUGACAUCUAAGAAUAGAAAACAUCAUGUGAGUAAGCAAAAACUUAGGAUCAACCGAAACUAACCGAUAGUUGUUGAAGAAGAAAGGUGGGAUGCCAACCGGGGCAUCCCCAAGCUUAGACGCUUGAGACUUCUUGAAAUAUUAUCUUGGGGUGCCUUGGGCAUCCCCAAUCUUGAGCUUUUGUGUCUCCUUAAUUCCUCUCAUAUCAAGGUCUCCCUAAAUCUCAAAAGCUUCAUCCACACAAACCUCAACAAGGACUCGUGAGAUAAGUUAGUAUAAACCAUUGCAAAAACCUUAUCAUAAUCUACUGUAGCAAAUCAGUAAAAUUAUUAUUCAACAUUGCAUACUAAAUGCCUCUGCAUAUUUAAUAGUCCUAUCCUAAAAUAGAAUCAUUAAAGAAGCAAACAUAUGCAAACAAUGCAAACAUAACAGCAAUCUGCCUAAACAGGAUAGUCUGUAAAGAAUGCUGCAACAUCCAUACUUCCCUAGCUCCAAAAAUUAUGAAAGAAAAUUCCCACUGUAGUAAAUUUAGCAGAGCUUAAUAUUCAAAAGGUUUCAACAUUUUAUCAUAUUCUGACUUUUCUAGGGAAUUAUUGCAACAGCGGUAAACUUUCUGUUUUCAAACAGCAACAUGAAGACUUGUAACAUAGGCAUAGUAAAGACUAUCAAUGCCACUUUUAUUGGAAUAAAAUAUGAAAAACAAUGUUCUAAAUAACAGCAAGAAAAUCCUAACAAAAUAAAUUUACGCUCCAAGCAAAACACAUAUCAUGUGGCGAAUAAAAAUAUAGCUCCAAGUAAAGUUACCGAUGAACGAAGACGAAAGAGGGGAUGCCUUCCGGGGCAUCCCCAAGCUUAGGCUCUUGGUUGUCCUUGAAUAUUACCUUGGGGUGCCUUGGUCAUCCCCAAGCUUAGGCUCUUGACACUCCUUAUUCCAUAGUCCAUCGAAUCCUUACCCAAAACUUGAAAACUUCACAACACAAAACUUAACAGAAAACUCGUAAGCUCCGUUAGUAUAAGAAAAUAAAUCACCACUUAAAGGUACUGUAAUGAACUCAUUAUUUAUUUAUAUUGGUGUUAAUCCUACUGUAUUUCAACUUCUCUAUGGUUUAUAAACUAUUUUACUAGCCAUAGAUUCAUCGAAAUAAGCAAACAACACACGAAAAACAGAAUCUGUCAAAAACAGAACAGUCUGUAGUAAUCUGGAUCAAACGUAUACUUCUGGAACUCAUAAAAUUCUCAAAUAAAUUUCUGGACCUAAGUAAUUUGUCUAUUAAUCAUCUUCAAAAAGAAUUAUCUAAAUAUCACUCUCAAAAUAAAAAUGGAUGCAAUUCUCGUGAGCACUAAAGUUUCUGUUUUUGACAGCAUGAUCAGCAAGACUUUCCCCAAGUCUUCCCAAAGGUUCUACUUGGCACAAACAGUAACUAAAAGCAUAAAACCACAUCUAAUCAGAGUCUAGAUGGAUUAUUUAUUAUUAAACAGGAACAAGAAGCAAGGAACAAAAAUAAAAUUGGGUUGCCUCCCAACAAGCGCUAUCGUUUAAUGGCCCUAGCUAGACAUGAUGAUUUCAAUGAUGCUCACAUAAAAGAUAAGAAUUGAAACAUAAAGAGAGCAUCAUGAAGAAUAUGACUAGCACAUUUAAGCCUAACAUACUUCCUAUGAAUAGGGAUUUUGUGAGCAAACAACUUAUGGGAACAAUAAUCAACUUGCAUAGGAAGGUAAAACAAGCAUAACUUCAAAACUUUAAGCACAUAGAGAGGAAACUUGAUAUUAUUACAAUUCCUACAAGCAUAUGUUCCUCCCACAUAAUAAUUUUCAGUAGCAUCAUGAAUGAAUUCAACAAUAUAACCAGCACCUAAAGCAUUCUUUUCAUGAUCUACAAGCAUAGAAAUUUUAUUACUCUCCACACAAGCAAAAUUCUUCUCAUGAAUAAUGGGAGUAUCAUAGGAAACUCGAAUACUAUAAAUUGUUUCCAUGUUAAAAGAGUAAGGUUCAGAGAAGGGGUAAUCAUAAUCAUGACAAGUUUUAUAAAUAUAAUCACUACUUUUUAUAGCAUAAGUAUCAUCACAAUAAUCAUCAUAAGUAGGGGGCAUGCCAUCAUCAUUAUAAACUUGCAUAUCAAAACUUGGGAGACUAAAAAUAUCAUCUUCAUUAAUCAUAGCUUCCCCAAGCUUGGGACAAACAUUAAUUGCAGAAAAUAUAUUCUCAAAUAUGUCAUCCUCAUCAAACAUAGCUUCCCCAAGCUUGGGCCUUUUCAUAUCAUAAGCAUAAUCACUCUCAUCAUUAAUAGUAUAGAUAGCACCGAUAGUAUAGCAAUUAUUAUAUUCUUCCAAGCAAGUGCCAAAAAGAUUUUCAAGAUCAUAAGAAGUAUCAUUAUCUUCCCAAUCAUAAUCAUCACAACAAGCAAUAGGCAUAAUGAGAUCAUCAUCAAGUGUAUCAUCUUCAUUUUCAUGAGGCACAACAAUAAUAGGAGCAACUUUAUUUGGGAGAGAUACCUUUUUACCUCUCUUCCUUUUUCUUUUCUUCUUCUUCACCACAUCAUGUGUGGGUUCAAUCCUCUUUUUGGAGCUCCUCAUUAAUGAGAUUGGUUGAAUAGGAGGCUCCUCCUCGUUACCUGAUUCAUCAUAAGAAAUAAUAGGAGGGUAUAGGGAGGCCUCUUCCCUUUCAUUAGUAUUCUCUUCGUCUUCUAUUUCUUUUCUUUUCUUUAUGUAGUUGGCAAUAUAAGGAUUUUCAAUACAAUUCACCGCACAAUACAUAUAAAUUUCCUUUAGAUCAAAACCAAGAAGUUUAUAACGGGAAAAUUCCGGAAGAUAGUUAGUUAUACAUUUCAUUUCUUCAUAGCCCAUAAGCAAACUAAGUUCAUUAUAGUGUGCAAGGGAAAUCAAGUCAUCACAAUUUUUGGACACGGUUAGAUCAUGAAACAAUUUGCAUCGGAUAACUAAAUGACCACUUUCAUUGCAAAGUCCACAAGUACGGCCAAGAAAAUUUAAAUUUUCAGCACAAUCAUCUAGCCUUUCUUGCAACAAUUUAGUUUCUAAGUACUUAUGCUUCAUGCACUAUCUAUCUUCCCUAUUUGGUGUGUACUUACAAACCCAAUGCACUCCACAAAAAUUGACAUGUUUAUAGGAGACAUUUUCAUCAUAACUAGUGCAAUCAUCAUUAGUGUCAUGGAUAUUCAAAGAAUUCGUACUAACAACAUUGCAAUCAUGCGCAUCAUUCACAUAUUUUAUGCCAAGCAUUCUAUGUAAUUCUUCUUCUAGCAUUUGGGCACAAUUUUCCUUUCCAUCAUACUUAUGAAAAAUAUUAAAAAGGUGAAGCGUAUGAGACAAACUCAAUUCCAUUUUUUAUAGUUUUCUUUUAUAAACUAAACUAGUGAUAAAACAAGAAACUAAAAGACUUGAUUGCAAGAUCUAAAGAUAUACCUUCAAGCGCUAACCUCCCCGGCAACGGCGCCAGAAAAGAGCUUGAUGUCUACUACACAACCUUCUUCUUGUAGACGUUGUUGGGCCUCCAAGUGCAGAGGUUUGUAGGACAGUAGCAAAUUUCCCUCAAGUGGAUGACCUAAGGUUUAUCAAUCCGUAGGAGGCAUAGGAUGAAGAUGGUCUCUCUCAAGCAACCCUACAACCAAAUAACAAAGAGUCUCUUGUGUCCCCAACACACCCAAUACAAUGGUAAAUUGUAUAGGUGCACUAGUUCGGCAAAGAGAUGGUGAUACAAGUGGUAUAUGGAUAAUAGAUAAAGGUAUUUGUAAUCUGAAAAUAUAAAAACAGCAAGGUAACUAAUGAUAAAAGUGAGCGUAAACGGUAUUGCAAUGCUAGGAAACAAGGCCUAGGGUUCAUACUUUCACUAGUGUAAGUUCCCUCAACAAUACUAACAUAAUUGGAUCACAUAACUAUCCCUCAACAUGCAACAAAGAGUCACUCCAAAGUCACUAAUAUCGGAGAACGAACGAAGAGAUUAUGGUAGGGUACGAAACCACCUCAAAGUUAUUCUUUCCAAUCAAUUCGUUGGGCUAUUCCUAUAAUUGUCACAAACAGCCCUAGAGUUCGUACUAGAAUAACACCUUAAGACACAAAUCAACCAAAACCCUAAUGUCACCUAGAUACUCCAAUGUCACCUCAAAUAUCCGUGGGUAUGAUUAUACGAUAUGCGUCACACAAUCUCAGAUUCUAUUCAACCAACACAAAGGACCUCAAAGAGUGCCCCAAAGUUUCUACCAGAGAAUCACGACGAAAACGUGUGCCAACCCCUAUGCAUAGGUUCAUGGGCGGAACCCGCAAGUUGGUCACUAAAACAUACAACAAGUGGCACGUGGUAUCCCAUUGUCACCACAGAUAUCCACGGCAAGACAUACAUCAAGUGUUCUCAAAUCUUUAAAGACUCAAUCCGAUAAGAUUACUUCAAAGGGGAAACUCAAUUCAUUACAAGAGAGAAGAGGGGGAGGAGAAACAUAAGAUCCAACUACAAUAGCAAAGCUCGCGAUACAUCAAGAUCGUGCCAAAUCAAGAACACGAGAGAGAGAGAGAGAGAGAUCAAACACAUAGCUACUGGUACAUACCCUCAGCCCCGAGGGAGAACUACUCCCUCCUUGUCAUGGAGAUCACCGUGAUGAUGAAGAUGGCCACCAAGGAGGAUUUCCCCCUCCGGCAGGGUGCCUCCGGUUAAUAGGUUAGUCCCGAAAGUAAUAUAAAAGUGGAUAAUAAAGCCCAAUAAUGCCCAAAACAGUAGAUAAUAUAGCAUGGAGCAAUCAAAAAUUAUAGAUACGUUGGAGACGUAUCACCAUGCGGAAGGUCGCCGCUGGUGGUCGCCGUGUAGAUCUUCCCACCGUCGAUAAUCACAAAGCUACCUGUGAGGGAGUGGUGGCAUAGACAGGGGAGAGUGGGCGGUGAGAGAGGGAUGAGGAGAUUUAUGGGGCGGUUUUGAGAAACUAUGCACCCUCCCCCUCUCGUCCCCGCGUGUGCAGCCACGUGGCCUCCUUGCGCUCGCUCGUGCCUGACUCGCUAGAAACGGUUGAUUCGGCCAUUACUCCAAAGCCGGGCUCUAGGCUGCUUUGAGUAGUGUGCUAUGCAAGCCUAACCGCACACGCAUCUAACCAAACGACCAAAAUUACCUUCCCAGAUUGCUAGAGAUGAUGUGGGCAACCAAACACGCCCAAGGUAGCAUGUCUGGCGUCCAUGUAGUAGUAUAUGAUGUGAUGGUUUCUCAGAAACCCCGGGGAUGGAAUGGAUGGAGGGCAUGUCAAAUACUCCCUCCAUUUCUUUAUGUAAGGUGUAUUAUUUUUGGCACGGUGACCAAGACACAUAAUUAUAGACAUGUUAGGACCAAAUUACCCUUGGCAAAUUUGUUGGUUAGUGGCAAGUAAAUCAGUUACUCCGGGAAAGUAAGACAUACAUGCAAUCAACAAAGAGGAUACAGACAAUUAGGAGAGAGAUACUUUCCUUUUUUUCUGGAGGGCUAACAAGAAAAUUAUGAGGAAUUAGAAGAAAUGCAUCUUACAUUCUGGAACUUUAUCAAAAAACAAAUACACCUUAUUGAGAAACAAUAUAACGGAACGAGCUACGAGCAUCCACGGCGCUUGCCAUCACUAACUGUCCGAUCAGGUCGAUCUUGGAUGUCCUGAUGUUUCUCUUGGGCCGCUGCUCGGUGGAGCUAUCUAGGCCGGCUGUGAUUGUUUGGGCCACCUGUGCUUAUUGGGCUGGCGGUUGCGUGCGUUUAACCCAACUAAUGAAGUUUGAAACAUGAUUCUAGCCCAAAAGUUUGAAACAUAUCAAUCCCCUAGCACAAGUCUAUGAAGGGUUUCGUAGUAAUUUCAAAAAUUUUCCUACGUGCACACAGGAUCAUGUGAUGCAUAGCAACGAGGGGGAGAGUAUUGUCUACGUACCCUACGCAGACCGACUGCGGAAGCGAUGACACGACGUAGAGGAAGUAGUCGUACGUCUUCACGAUCCAACCGAUCAAGCACCGAAACUACGGCACCUCCGAGUUCGAGCACACGUUCAGCUCGAUGACGAUCCCCGGACUCCGAUCCAGCAAAGUGUCGGGGAAGAGUUCCGUCAGCACGACGGCGUGGUGACGAUCUUGAUGAACUACAGCAGCAGGGCUUCGCCUAAACUCCGCUACAGUAUUAUCGAGGAAUAUGGUGGCAGGGGGCACCGCACACGGCUAAGGAAUCGAUCACGUGGAUCAACUUGUGUCAACUUGUGUGUUUAGAGGUGCCCCUGCCUCCGUAUAUAAAGGAGGAGAGGAGGGGAGGCUGGCCGGCCAAAGGGGGGAGGCGCAGGAGAGUCCUACUCCCUCUGGGAGUAGGAUUCCCCCUCCAAUCCUAGUCCAACUAGGAUUCCUCGGAGGGGAAAAGAGGAGGAGGGGGCCGGCCACCUCUCCUAGUCCUAAUAGGACUAGGGGAAGGGGGUGGCGCGCAGCCCAUCUAGGGCAGCCCCUUCUCUUUUCCACUAAGGCCCACUAUGGCCCAAAAAGCUCCCGGGGGGUUCCGGUAACCCUCUCGGUAUUCCGGUAAAAUCCCGAUUUCACCCGGAACACUUCCGAUAUCCAAAUAUAGGCUUCCAAUAUAUCAAUCUUUACGUCUCGACUAUUUCGAGACUCCUCGUCAUGUCCGUGAUCACAUCCGGGACUCCGAACAACCUUCGGUACAUCAAAAUGCAUAAACUCAUAAUAUAACUGUCAUCGUAACCUUAAGCGUGUGGACCCUACGGGUUCGAGAACAAUGUAGACAUGACCGAGACACGUCUCCGGUCAAUAACCAAUAGCGGGACCUGGAUGCCCAUAUUGGCUCCUACAUAUUCUACGAAGAUCUUUAUCGGUCAGACCGCAUAACAACAUACGUUGUUCCCUUUGUCAUCGGUAUGUUACUUGCCCGAGAUUCGAUCGUCGGUAUCCAAUACCUAGUUCAAUCUCGUUACCGGCAAGUCUCUUUACUCGUUCCGUAAUACAUCAUCUCACAACUAACAUAUUAGUUGUAAUGCUUGCAAGGCUUAUGUGAUGUGUAUUACCGAGAGGGCCCAGAGAUACCUCUCCGACAAUCGGAGUGACAAAUCCUAAUCUCGAAACACGCCAACCCAACAUCGACCAUUGGAGACACCUGUAGUACUCCUUUAUAAUCACCCAGUUACGUUGUGACGUUUGGUAGUACCCAAAGUGUUCCUCCGGUAAACGGGAGUUGCAUAAUCUCAUAGUCAUAGGAACAUGUAUAAGUCAUGAAGAAAGCAAUAGCAACAUACUAAACGAUCGGGUGCUAAGCUAAUGGAAUGGGUCAUGUCAAUCAGAUCAUUCUACUAAUGAUGUGACCUCGUUAAUCAAAUAACAACUCAUUGUUCAUGGUUAGGAAACAUAACCAUCUUUGAUUAACGAGCUAGCCAAGUAGAGGCAUACUAGUGACACUCUGUUUGUCUAUGUAUUCACACAUGUAUUAUGUUUCCGGUAAAUACAAUUCUAGCAUGAAUAAUAAACAUUUAUCAUGAUUAUAAGGAAAUAAAUAAUAACUUUAUUAUUGCCUCUAGGGCAUAUUUCCUUCAGUCUCCCACUUGCACUAGAGUCAAUAAUCUAGAUUACACUGUAAUGAAUCUAACACCCAUGGAGCUUUGGUGCUGAUCUUGUUUUGCUCGUGGAAGAGGCUUAGUCAACGGGUCUGCAACAUUCAGAUCCGUAUGUAUCUUGCAAAUCUCUAUGUCUCCCACCUGGACUAGAUCCCGGAUGGAGUUGAAGCGUCUCUUGAUGUGUUUGGUCCUUUUGUGAAAUCUGGAUUCCUUUGCCAAGGCAAUUGCACCAGUAUUGUCACAAAAGAUUUUCAUUGGACCCGAUGCACUAGGUAUGACACCUAGAUCGGAUAUGAACUCCUUCAUCCAGACUCCUUCAUUUGCUGCUUCCGAAGCAGCUAUGUAUUCCGCUUCACAUGUAGAUCCCGCUACGACGCUUUGUUUAGAACUGCACUAACUAACAGCUCCACCGUUUAAUGUAAACACGUAUCCGGUUUGCGAUUUAGAAUCGUCCGGAUCAGUGUCAAAGCUUGCAUCAACGUAACCUUUUACGAUGAGCUCUUUGUCACUUCCAUAUACGAGAAACAUAUCCUUAGUCCUUUUCAGGUAUUUCAGGAUGUUCUUGACCGCUGUCCAGUGAUCCAUUCCUGGAUUACUUUGGUACCUCCCUGCUAAACUUAUAGCAAGGCACACAUCAGGUCUGGUACACAGCAUUGCAUACAUGAUAGAGCCUAUGGCUGAUGCAUAGGGAACAUCUUUCAUAUUCUCUUUAUCUUCUGCAGUGGUCGGGCAUUGAGUCUUACUCAAUUUCACACCUUGUAACACAGGCAAGAACCCUUUCUUCGCUUGAUCCAUUUUGAACUUCUUCAAAAUUUUGUCAAGGUAUGUGCUUUGUGAAAGUCCAAUUAAGCGUCUUGAUCUAUCUCUAUAGAUCUUAAUGCCUAAUAUGUAAGCAGCUUCACCGAGGUCUUUCAUUGAAAAACUUUUAUUCAAGUAUCCCUUUAUGCUAUCCAGAAAUUCUAUAUCAUUUCCAAUCAGUAAUAUGUCAUCCACAUAUAAUAUCAGAAAUGCUACAGAGCUCCCACUCACUUUCUUGUAAAUACAGACUUCUCCGAAAGUCUGUAUAAAACCAAAUGCUUUGAUCACACUAUCAAAACUUUUAUUCCAACUCCGAGAGGCUUGCACCAGUCCAUAAAUGGAUCGCUGGAGCUUGCACACUUUGUUAGCUCCCUUUGGAUCGACAAAACCUUCUGGUUGCAUCAUAUACAACUCUUCUUCCAGAAAUCCAUUCAGGAAUGCAGUUUUGACAUCCAUUUGCCAAAUUUCAUAAUCAUAAAAUGCGGCAAUUGCUAACAUGAUUCGGACGGACUUAAGCAUCGCUACGGGUGAGAAGGUCUCAUCAUAGUCAAUUCCUUGAACUUGCCGAAAACCUUUUGCGACAAGUCGAGCUUUGUAGACAGUAACAUUACCAUCAGCGUCAGUCUUCUUCUUAAAAAUCCAUUUAUUCUCAAUUGCUUGCCGAUCAUCGGGCAAGUCAACCAAAGUCCAUACUUUGUUCUCAUACAUGGAUCCCAUCUCAGAUUUCAUGGCUUCAAGCCACUUUACGGAAUCUGGGCUCACCAUCGCUUCUUCAUAGUUCGUAGGUUCAUCAUGAUCUAGUAGCAUGACCUCCAGAACAGGAUUACCGUACCACUCUGGUGCGGAUCUUACUCUGGUUGAUCUACGCGGUUCAGUAGUAUCUUGAUCUGAAGUUUCAUGAUCAUUAUCAUUGGCUUCCUCACUAACUGGUGUAGGUGUCACUGAAACAGUUUUCUGUGAUGAACUACUUUCCAGUAAGGGAGCAGGUACAGUUACCUCGUCAAGUUCUACUUUCCUCCCACUCACUUCUUUCGAGAGAAACUCCUUCUCUAGAAAUGAUCCAUCCUUAGCAACGAAUGUUUUGCCUUCGGAUCUGUGAUAGAAGGUGUACCCAACAGUUUCCUUUGGGUAUCCUAUGAAGACACAUUUCUCCGAUUUGGGUUCGAGCUUAUCAGGUUGAAGCUUUUUCACAUAAGCAUCGCAGCCCCAAACUUUAAGAAACGACAACUUUGGUUUCUUGCCAAACCACAGUUCAUAAGGCGUCGUCUCAACGGAUUUUGAUGGUGCCCUAUUUAACGUGAAUGCGGCCGUCUCUAAAGCAUAUCCCCAAAAUGAUAGCGGUAAAUCAGUAAGAGACAUCAUAGAUCGCACCAUAUCUAGUAAAGUACGAUUACGACGUUCGGACACACCAUUACGCUGUGGUGUUCCGGGUGGCGUGAGUUGCGAAACUAUUCCACAGUUUUUCAAAUGUACACCAAACUCGUAACUCAAAUAUUCUCCUCCACGAUCAGAUCGUAGAAAUUUUAUUUUCUUGUUACGAUGUUUUUCAACUUCACUCUGAAAUUCUUUGAACUUUUCAAAUGUUUCAGACUUAUGCUUCAUUAAGUAGAUAUAUCCAUAUCUGCUCAAAUCAUCUGUGAAGGUGAGAAAAUAACGAUAUCCGCCUCGAGCCUCAAUAUUCAUCGGACCACAUACAUCGGUAUGUAUGAUUUCCAACAAAUCUGUUGCUCUCUCCAUAGUACCGGAGAACGGUGUUUUAGUCAUCUUGCCCAUGAGGCACGGUUCGCAAGUACCAAGUGAUUCAUAAUCAAGUGGUUCCAAAAGUCCAUCAGUAUGGAGUUUCUUCAUGCGCUUUAUACCGAUAUGACCUAAACGACAGUGCCACAAAUAAGUUGCACUUUCAUUAUCAACUCUGCAUCUUUUGGUUUCAACAUUAUGAAUAUGUGUAUUACUACUAUCGAGAUUUAAUAAGAAUAGACCACUCUUCAAGGGUGCAUGACCAUAAAAGAUAUUACACAUAUAAAUAGAACAACCAUUAUUCUCAGAUUUAAAUGAAUAACCGUCUCGCAUUAAACAAGAUCCAGAUAUAAUGUUCAUGCUCAACGCUGGCACCAAAUAACAAUUACUUAGGUCUAAUAUUAAUCCCAAAGGUAGAUGUAGAGGUAGCGUGCCGAUUGCGAUCACAUCGACUUUGGAACCGUUUCCCACGCGCAUCGUCACCUCGUCCUUAGCCAAUCUUCGCUUAAUCCGUAGCCCCUGUUUCGAGUUGCAAAUAUUAGCAACAGAACCAGUAUCGAAUACCCAGGUGCUACUGCGAGCAUUAGUAAGGUACACAUCAAUAACAUGUAUAUCACAUAUACCUUUGUUCACCUUGCCAUCCUUCUUAUCCGCCAAAUACUUGGGGCAGUUCCGCUUCCAGUGACCAGUCUGCUUGCAGUAGAAGCACUCAGUUUCAGGCUUAGGUCCAGACUUGGGUUUCUUCUCUUGAGCAGCAACUUGCUUGCCGUUCUUCUUGAAGUUCCCCUUUUUCUUCCCUUUGCCCUUUUUCUUGAAACUAGUGGUCUUGUUAACCAUCAACACUUGAUGCUCCUUCUUGAUUUCUACCUCCGCAGCUUUCAGCAUUGCGAAGAGCUCGGGAAUAGUCUUGUUCAUCCCUUGCAUAUUAUAGUUCAUCACGAAGCUCUUGUAGCUUGGUGGUAGUGAUUGGAGAAUUCUAUCAAUGACGCAAUCAUCCGGAAGAUUAACUCCCAAUUGAAUCAAGUGAUUAUUAUACCCAGACAUUUUGAGUAUAUGCUCACUGACAGAACUGUUCUCCUCCAUUUUGCAGCUAUAGAACUUAUUGGAGACUUCAUAUCUCUCAAUUCGGGCAUUUGCUUGAAAUAUUAACUUCAACUCCUGGAACAUCUCAUAUGCUCCAUGACGUUCAAAACGUCGUUGAAGUCCCGAUUCUAAGCCGUAAAGCAUUGCACACUGAACUAUCGAGUAGUCAUCAGCUUUGCUCUGCCAGACGUUCAUAACAUCUGGCGUUGCUCCAGCAGCAGGCCUGGCACCCAGCGGUGCUUCCAGGACGUAAUUCUUCUGUGCAGCAAUGAGGAUAAUCCUCAAGUUACGGACCCAGUCCGUGUAAUUGCUACCAUCAUCUUUCAACUUUGCUUUCUCAAGGAACGCAUUAAAAUUCAACGGAACAACAGCACGAGCCAUCUAUCUACAAUCAACAUAAACAAGCAAGAUACUAUCAGGUACUAAGUUCAUGAUAAAUUUAAGUUCAAUUAAUCAUAUUACUUAAGAACUCCCACUUAGAUAGACAUCCCUCUAAUCCUCUAAGUGAUUACGUGAUCCAAAUCAACUAAACCAUAACCGAUCAUCACGUGAGAUGGAGUAGUUUUCAAUGGUGAACAUCGUUAUGUUGAUCAUAUCUACUAUAUGAUUCACGCUCGACCUUUCGGUCUCCGUGUUCCAAGGCCAUAUCUGCAUAUGCUAGGCUCGUCAAGUUUAACCUGAGUAUUCUGCGUGCGCAACUGUUUUGCACCCGUUGUAUUUGAACGUAGAGCCUAUCACACCCGAUCAUCACGUGGUGUCUCAGCACGAAGAACUUUCGCAACGGUGCAUACUCAGGGAGAACACUUCUUGAUAAUUUAGUGAGAGAUCAUCUUAUAAUGCUACCGUCAAUCAAAGCAAGAUAAGAUGCAUAAAAAGAUAAACAUCACAUGCAAUCAAUAUAAGUGAUAUGAUAUGGCCAUCAUCAUCUUGUGCUUGUGAUCUCCAUCUCCGAAGCACCGUCAUGAUCACCAUCGUCACCGGCGCGACACCUUGAUCUCCAUCGUAGCAUCGUUUUCGUCUCGCCAAUCUUAUGCUUCCACGACUAUCACUACCGUUUAGUAAUAAAGUAAAGCAUUACAUCGCGAUUGCAUUGCAUACAAUAAAGCGACAACCAUAUGGCUCCUGCCAGUUGCCGAUAACUUGGUUACAAAACAUGAUCAUCUCAUACAAUAAAAUUCAGCAUCAUGCCUUGACCAUAUCACAUCACAACAUGCCCUGCAAAAACAAGUUAGACGUCCUCUACUUUGUUGUUGCAUGUUUUACGUGGCUGCUACGGGCUUAAGUAAGAACCAAUCUCACCUACGCAUCAAAACCACAACGAUAGUUUGUCAAAUAGACUCCGUUUUAACCUUCGCAAGGACCGGGCGUAGCCAUACUUGGUUCAACUAAAGUUGGAGAGGCAGUCGCCCGCAAGCCAUCUCUGUGCAAAGCACGUCGAGGGAACCGGUCUCGCGUAAGCGUACGCGUAAGGUUGGUCUGGGUCGUCUCGUCCAACAAUACCGCCGAACUAAGGUAUGACAUGCUGGUAGGUAGUAUGACUUGUAUCGUCCACAACUCACUUGUGUUCUACUCGUGCAUAUAACAUCAACAAAAAUAACCUGGCUCGGAUGCCACUGAAGGGUUUCGUAGUAAUUUCAAAAAAUUUCCUACGUGCACACAGGAUCAUGGGAUGCAUAGCAACGAGGGGGAGAGUAUUGUCUACGUACCCUACGCAGACCGACUGCGGAAGCGAUGACACGACGUAGAGGAAGUAGUCGUACGUCUUCACGAUCCAACCGAUCAAGCACCGAAACUACGGCACCUCCGAGUUCGAGCACACGUUCAGCUCGAUGACGAUCCCCGGACUCCGAUCCAGCAAAGUGUCGGGGAAGAGUUCCGUCAGCACGACGGCGUGGUGACGAUCUUGAUGAACUACAGCAGCAGGGCUUCGCCUAAACUCCGCUACAGUAUUAUCGAGGAAUAUGGUGGCAGGGGGCACCGCACACGGCUAAGGAAUCGAUCACGUGGAUCAACUUGUGUCAACUUGUGUGUUUAGAGGUGCCCCUGCCUCCGUAUAUAAAGGAGGAGAGGAGGGGAGGCUGGCCGGCCAAAGGGGGGAGGCGCAGGAGAGUCCUACUCCCUCUGGGAGUAGGAUUCCCCCUCCAAUCCUAGUCCAACUAGGAUUCCUCGGAGGGGAAAAGAGGAGGAGGGGGCCGGCCACCUCUCCUAGUCCUAAUAGGACUAGGGGAAGGGGGUGGCGCGCAGCCCAUCUAGGGCAGCCCCUUCUCUUUUCCACUAAGGCCCACUAUGGCCCAAAAAGCUCCCGGGGGGUUCCGGUAACCCUCUCGGUAUUCCGGUAAAAUCCCGAUUUCACCCGGAACACUUCCGAUAUCCAAAUAUAGGCUUCCAAUAUAUCAAUCUUUACGUCUCGACUAUUUCGAGACUCCUCGUCAUGUCCGUGAUCACAUCCGGGACUCCGAACAACCUUCGGUACAUCAAAAUGCAUAAACUCAUAAUAUAACUGUCAUNNNNNNNNNNNNNNNNNNNNNNNNNNNNNNNNNNNNNNNNNNNNNNNNNNNNNNNNNNNNNNNNNNNNNNNNNNNNNNNNNNNNNNNNNNNNNNNNNNNNNNNNNNNNNNNNNNNNNNNNNNNNNNNNNNNNNNNNNNNNNNNNNNNNNNNNNNNNNNNNNNNNNNNNNNNNNNNNNNNNNNNNNNNNNNNNNNNNNNNNNNNNNNNNNNNNNNNNNNNNNNNNNNNNNNNNNNNNNNNNNNNNNNNNNNNNNNNNNNNNNNNNNNNNNNNNNNNNNNNNNNNNNNNNNNNNNNNNNNNNNNNNNNNNNNNNNNNNNNNNNNNNNNNNNNNNNNNNNNNNNNNNNNNNNNNNNNNNNNNNNNNNNNNNNNNNNNNNNNNNNNNNNNNNNNNNNNNNNNNNNNNNNNNNNNNNNNNNNNNNNNNNNNNNNNNNNNNNNNNNNNNNNNNNNNNNNNNNNNNNNNNNNNNNNNNNNNNNNNNNNNNNNNNNNNNNNNNNNNNNNNNNNNNNNNNNNNNNNNNNNNNNNNNNNNNNNNNNNNNNNNNNNNNNNNNNNNNNNNNNNNNNNNNNNNNNNNNNNNNNNNNNNNNNNNNNNNNNNNNNNNNNNNNNNNNNNNNNNNNNNNNNNNNNNNNNNNNNNNNNNNNNNNNNNNNNNNNNNNNNNNNNNNNNNNNNNNNNNNNNNNNNNNNNNNNNNNNNNNNNNNNNNNNNNNNNNNNNNNNNNNNNNNGAGACACCUGUAGUACUCCUUUAUAAUCACCCAGUUACGUUGUGACGUUUGGUAGUACCCAAAGUGUUCCUCCGGUAAACGGGAGUUGCAUAAUCUCAUAGUCAUAGGAACAUGUAUAAGUCAUGAAGAAAGCAAUAGCAACAUACUAAACGAUCGGGUGCUAAGCUAAUGGAAUGGGUCAUGUCAAUCAGAUCAUUCUACUAAUGAUGUGACCUCGUUAAUCAAAUAACAACUCAUUGUUCAUGGUUAGGAAACAUAACCAUCUUUGAUUAACGAGCUAGCCAAGUAGAGGCAUACUAGUGACACUCUGUUUGUCUAUGUAUUCACACAUGUAUUAUGUUUCCGGUAAAUACAAUUCUAGCAUGAAUAAUAAACAUUUAUCAUGAUUAUAAGGAAAUAAAUAAUAACUUUAUUAUUGCCUCUAGGGCAUAUUUCCUUCAGUCUAGAGUUUCUCUCUCCUCCGGCGGCUCUACUGCCGUGAGUUGAUUUUGCUCAGGCGAUCAUCAUCUCCUACCGGUCCCCGUCCGCCUUUGUGGUCGCUGGCCGAUAUAGGGUUUCUGCGUCCGUUUUUUCACACAAAACGGUCUGAUGGAGAGAGGAGAAGGUAGCGGAUCUAUGGACCCAGUUGACGAGCUACUGGAGAAGUUGCAUCUGCAUGAAGAGGAGGAUGAAGGAUUUGUUUGGGAAGAUGUGGCUGAACCACCGCCCCGCGCAAAGUGGUUGGCAAUUGUGAAGGUACAUACCGUCAGAGGUUUUAGCCCUAGUGCUCUUUACGCAGAUAUGCGAUCUGCUUGGGAUCCGGCCAAGGAGGUGAUCUGGAGGCGGGUGGAUGACAACCUGUUCACCGCGCAAUUUGGAUGCCUGGGUGAUUGGAACAAGGCUAUGGUCAUGGGACCCUGGUUUUUCCGCAAUCAGGCGGUGCUCAUGGAGGAGUAUGAUGGAUUCUGCAACCCUAUAUCGGUAAUUUUGAACAAGCUCACAGUCUGGGCGCAAGUGCAUAAACUUCCUGACAACUAUUUGCACGAACAAAUUGUAAGGGGUAUGUGUAGGCCUAUGGGGGAAGUGAAGGAAGUUCAAAUCAAGCUGCCUGCUGGCUAUGUGGGUAAAUUUGUCAGAGUCAAAGUGAGUAUGAAAGUUGACAAGAAACUGACUAGGUUUGUGUCUAUGACCAAGGAAGGGAAGAGGGAGUGGUACCAGGUAAAAUAUGAAAAGUUGCCGAUGUUCUGCGGAGCUUGUGGACUGCUGGGGCACUGGUAUGAAGAAUGUGGCAAUGGAGAGCAUGACGUGGAAAAGCUGGAGUGGGGCGAUUUCAUUCUGGCAGACGGGGGGCGGGGAAGAGGUAGAGGACGACAGGGGGUAGUGGCGGUGGUCGCUUUGGCUCAACUGCAAACCUGUUCGGCAGGGGUGGUAGCAGGGAUGAUGGGGGCUUUGGUCGAGGAAGGGGGAGAGGUGCUAACAUACCCACUGAAAGUUGGCGCUUUAAUGCUGUGUUCCAAGGCACCCAGAACGAGGAACGUAAUAGUGGGGAUGCAACAACGGAUGAUCUGACGAGCCAAGACACUCGGGUAGCAGACGCUAUAUUACGCAAGAGAUUGGCCGAAGAUUCAGUUUCAAAUGAAACGCUUGCCACUGAGUCAGAAACAUUGGUGAGAGCAAUAGUACCGGUGGGUAAGGGCACUUUGGUGGCAAGUAUGGUUGAUCAGUUCGAGGCAAGUACUAGCUCUGAAGAUUUGCAAAGCACGCCGCAGAAAAACGCAAACAGGAAGAAGCUGCGGGGAGUUGAUGGUACUGUUGUGGUCGAUAUAGCAACGGAGACAUAUGAUGAUGAUAGAUCGGCGGCUCCCCUUGCGGGAGACCGCCGUGUACAAUGAGUGUAAUAUGUUGGAACUGUCGCGGUUUGGGUAAUCCCGCGACAGUUCAUGAGGUCCGCGAGCUCGCGAACAAAUUUACCCCGGCCGUUCUGUGUUUAGUCGAAACGCAAAUCCAGAGCGCGCGCGCUGAAAUUCUAGCUCUUUCUUUUGGUUAUAAUAAAUCUUUUGCUGUUAGUAGCUCCGGUCGGAGCGGUGGUCUUGUAAUUUUUUGGAAUGAGGAAAUAAAACUUAAGGUGUUGGGCUAUUCGAAGUACCAUAUUGAUGCAAGGAUCUCUGAUCUAGGACCGGCCCCUUGGAGGCUCACAUGUAUUUAUGGUGAAGCGCAGGUUCCGGAGAGAUACAGAACGUGGGACACACUACGCUCUUUGGCAGCAACAGCAGGAGAUCCAUGGAUGGUGCUGGGCGAUUUUAAUGAAGUCUUAUUUCAUUCUGAGUAUGAGGCAGUAGGCCAACGGAGCCAUGCACAACUUGAUGGAUUCAGAGAUGCUCUCGAUGUCUGCAGUUUAACAGAUUUGGGGCACAUAGGCCCUCAAUGGACUUUUGAGAGGAAGGUUGCUGGUGGAACUCAUACAAAGGUUCGAUUGGACAGGGUAGUAGCCGAUCCAAACUGGUGUGCGUUAUUUCCCGCGGCAUCGGUUGUGCAUGAGACUGCAGCCUGUUCUGAUCAUAGCCCUAUUUUGUUGAAGUUUUCGGAUGAGCUCAUCAAGAGGGAGGGUGCCAAAGAGUUUAAAUACGAGUUAAUGUGGGAAACCCAUCCAGAACUGAAGGCUUUUGUGAAUGGAAAGUGGAAGAAGGACCAUGAGAGUAGGACAGUUGAUAAGUUAAAGGAAAAGCUACAACAACUGGCAGGGGAUUUGUCUAGAUGGGAUCGCCAAACUUUUGGUAACGUGAGGAGGGGGAUCAAGAGAAUGAAAAAUGAACUGGAGAUCUUGCGAGCUAUUCCGGGUCGUGUCGGCCCAUCCGUUCAAGAGCUUAAGAUAACUGAUAACUUAGUUGAAUUAUAUCACCGCGAGGAGAUAUUAUGGAAACAGAGAUCUCGUGUUGACUGGUUAGUGGGAGGAGACAAAACACCCGUUAUUUCCAUAUUAGAGCAACCAUGAGGAGAAGGAAAAAUAUCAUCAAAUCUUUGACAAAGGGGAAUGGGGAUGUAGUGACAGAAAUAAAUGAGCUGGAGGCAAUGGCGACACAAUUCUAUUCUGAUUUAUACACCUCUGAAGGGGUAACCAACAUGCAUGUAGUGCUGGACUCGGUCUUACCCAGAGUUAUCGCUGAAAUGAACGCAGUUUUGAAUGCUAGCUAUUCGGGGGAAGAGGUGAAAUCAGCUAUGUUUCAGAUGUUCCCAACCAAAGCGCCGGGUCCGGAUGGCUAUCCGGCCCACUUUUUUCAAAAACAUUGGGACGUAUGCGGUGAUGAAGUGACAAAAGCAGUUUUACGUAUUUUGCUAGGGGAAGAAAAUGCAGAAUGCAUCAACCACACGUACCUUGUUCUCAUACCGAAGGUCAAGUCUCCUACUUCCCUUGCUCAGUUUCGCCCCAUUAGCUUAUGCAAUGUUCUAUACAAAAUAGCUUCAAAAGUUGUUGCUAACCGGCUCAAGGAGAUACUUCCAGAUAUUAUUUCACCUGAGCAGUCAGCCUUUGUACCAGGUCGCUUAAUCACAGAUAACAUCAUCAUGGCCUACGAGUGCCUUCAUUUUAUGAAGAGAAACAAAGCUUUGAAGCAUAGGAGUUGUGCUUUGAAGUUGGAUAUGAUGAAAGCCUAUGACAGAGUGGAGUGGGAUUACUUGGAAGCUAUAAUGCUCAAGUUGGGCUUCUCGCGGAUAUGGGUAGACAGAGUAAUGAGCAUGGUGAAGUCAGUUUCCUUUUCUGUCCUUUUUAAUGGGAAUAAACUCGAGGUUUUUAAACCUACCAGAGGUAUUCGGCAGGGAGACCCAAUAUCACCCUACCUUUUCUUGUUAGCAGCGGAGGGCCUCUCAGGCCUCCUCAAAUCCAGAGAUCAGUCGUCGCAAGUUGGUGGAAUUCAGGUGGCCCCCUCGGCGCCUCCGGUUAACCACCUAUUAUUUGCUGAUGAUAGCCUGCUGUUUUUCAAGGCAAAUGGUGCAGGGGCGACAGAGGUGUCAAACCUACUGAACUCUUAUUGUCAAGCUUCAGGUCAGAGGAUCAAUAGCAGCAAGUCCUCCGUUUUCUUCAGCAAAGGAUGUCCAGAGUCGACCAGGCAGGAGGUCAAAGGUAUACUCAAUGUGCAAACUGAAACACUUAAUGAAAAGUAUCUGGGCAUGCCGUCUGAUAUUGGAACAAGUAAAACUGGGGCUUUCAAGUAUUUAAAAGACAGGCUAUGGAAUAAGGUGAAGGGAUGGAUUGAAAAAGCAAUCUCUGCCGCAGGAAAAGAAAUUUUGAUAAAGUCUGUGGCGCAAGCAGUUCCGGUUUUUUCUAUGUCCUGUUUUAAAUUACCGAGGGGGUUGUGUGAACACUUAAAUAAACUCAUCCGACAAUUCUUUUGGGGGAGCAAAGAGGGGAAGAGAAAGCCUCACUGGGUCUCUUGGCAAACGAUGACACAACCAAAAAAGAAUGGAGGACUUGGUUUUAGAGAUCUUGAGCUCUUCAACCUUGCGUUAUUAGCACGUCAGGCCUGGAGGUUGUUGACUAUGCCUGACUCUCUAUGUGCCAAGUUACUCAAGGCAAUUUACUUUCCGGAGGUAAGCAUUAUGGAUGCAGAAGUGGGCUCUCACCCUUCGCAGGUUUGGCGGUCGUUGAUUGAGGGAAGGGACGUGCUAGCUCAUGGCCUGAUCCGAAGAAUUGGAGACGGGAGUUCGACAGAGGUUUGGACGCAUAACUGGAUUCCCAGGGAUACUUCUAUGAAACCUAUAGCCUGCUUGAGGCCGAACCCACCAAUCCUAGUGUCGGAGUUGAUUGAUGCUGCAAAUGUAGCGUGGCGAUCUGAUCUUCUACAACAGUAUUUCCUACCAAUCGAUAUUCAGUCCAUCACUAAUAUACCACUAUGCACCAUGCCUAUGGCAGAUUUUUGGGCUUGGCAGUUUGAGAAGAAGGACUCCUUUUCGGUAAGAUCUGCUUAUAGACUGCUAGCAGAAACAAAGAAGAGAGGAGAGGAUUUGCUUCAAGGCCGGGCGUCAGUAUCAAACAUGUCACAGGAGGAGAAGGGAUGGACUACACUUAGGAGUCCUAAGAUCCCUUCAAAAAUUAAAACAUUCUUAUGGAGGCUUGCUAAGCAAUCUUUGCCUACAGAGGAUGUCCGAAAACAGAGGCACAUGAGUAUCAUAGACAAGUGCCAAUUGUGUGGUACUGUUGACUCUUGGAAACACUCUUUAAUGGAGUGCUCGAUGGCGCGGUGUGUAUGGGCACUGGCUGAUGAAGAGAUAGUGGAAGUGAUGGCUGAUGCUACAGAACCUAGUGCCAAACAUUGGUUAUUUCAUGUCCAGGGGUCUUUAUCACAUGCUGAAUUCGUGGAGGUGGCAGUCACCUUGGGGGCGAUAUGGACAGCCAGGCGCAAGGCAAUUCACGAGGAAGUCUAUCAGAGUCCAUUGGCAACGCACAAGUUCGUGAAACAUUUUCUGGCGGAGCUGGAGACCAUCAGUACGUUGUCCCAGAGGACGCUACAGAGACCAGCAGUUCGGGCUGCUGUGCAACAACGGACGAAAUGGAUUCCACCGCCAAAUGGAUUCAUGAAAAUCAAUGUUGAUGCAGCAUUGUCUGACACGAGUCUAGGAGCGGCAGCAGCAGUUUGCCGAGACAGCACAAGCUUGUAUUUGGGCUCGUCGGCUGUAGUGAUUCAAGGAGCUAUUGUUCCAGCAGUAGUAGAAGCUAUAGCUUGCCGUGAGGCACUCUCGCUUGCACAUGACCUUUCACUUCAGUAUUUCGUUGUGGCAUGCGAUUGCAAAACAGUAGUUGAUAACAUUCAGAAAGGAAAGGGAGGAACGUAUAUGUCAGUCAUCACGGAAAUAUUCAUCCGUACUUCUCUUUUUAAUAGCUGUAAUUUUAUUUUUGAAGGGAGAGCAUCGAACUUAGAUGCACAUAAACUUGCAAAAGAUUCAUUAGCACUUGAUCGGGGUCGCCACCUGUGGCUGAUUCACCCCCAUGACCCCUUAUGUAUCCCUCUUAAUGUCCAACUAGAUNNNNNNNNNNNNNNNNNNNNNNNNNNNNNNNNNNNNNNNNNNNNNNNNNNNNNNNNNNNNNNNNNNNNNNNNNNNNNNNNNNNNNNNNNNNNNNNNNNNNNNNNNNNNNNNNNNNNNNNNNNNNNNNNNNNNNNNNNNNNNNNNNNNNNNNNNNNNNNNNNNNNNNNNNNNNNNNNNNNNNNNNNNNNNNNNNNNNNNNNNNNNNNNNNNNNNNNNNNNNNNNNNNNNNNNNNNNNNNNNNNNNNNNNNNNNNNNNNNNNNNNNNNNNNNNNNNNNNNNNNNNNNNNNNNNNNNNNNNNNNNNNNNNNNNNNNNNNNNNNNNNNNNNNNNNNNNNNNNNNNNNUGCUCGUGCUUUAGUCUCUAAACUUUUUUUUGGAUACAAGCCUAUUACUUAUUUGUCCUGGGAAAAACUUCUAUACCCACCCGUUGAGCUAAAUUGUGAUAUUCUUGAUCACUAUGGAAAAUUUUGAGGUUAAUGUGUGCUGCACAUGCGGACAUUCCUAGCCUUUUAGGGUUAAGUCAGGCAUGGUAAGAAGUAUCCGUAUAUAGAUUAUCUGCAAAUAAACGGUGGAUGAUUCGUUAAUCCUAUAUGUAUGCUUCUUUGGAGGUGGCGUUGACAUAGUCAAUUUCUUUGUUUUUGUGUCUCUCAGUUGGUGAGGUUGGGAUGCCUAUCUCAUAUAUAUAAAUUAAGAAACAGUAUAAUGGGGCAGAAAGUCUCCCAUUAUGUGAAUGAUUAAAUUAUCCUUUAUGUAACUUUGUUUUCUUGAUAUAUAUUUUUUCAAAUGUUUACACAAUAUUUUAAAAUUUUAAAAAAUAUACGGGCGCAGCAACGCGCGCAAUCGUGAUCUAGUUUGUUUAAACUUAUAAUGAGGCUAGCCAACUCGCCUCCAGAAGGCUCCCUCGCGCGCAGCCCUUUAUGGCCGUCCGAUCUGGCCUUUGGUGCGUCUGGAUCGUUGGAUAUUUUCUUUACGGUCAAAACUUUUUCACCUCACAGUUGUUUUUCGUGUCCAAUGACGGAUGGGCUCGCCUCCAGCUCGCAUUGGCUGGGUCAGCCCCGCGCAUGUGCGGGAGAUUUUUGCCCAAUCACUCCUCACGAGCCGCAUUGACGUCCUUGCCCAAUCCCCUCAUCCCACACCAGCUGAACCCUAGCCCCUUUUCCCCGAUCCCCACAGCAGCCGCCUCCUCUCCUUUCCCCUACGCCGACGGCCUUGCCUCUUCGCUCACCUCCUCUUCUCCUCUUCCAUGCCGCCAUGGUUCCAGAUUGGGCGCAGGUCGCCGUCGUGCGAGAGCAGGGCAGCGGGGUUUUCGCGGAGGAGUGGAGGGGGAGGAUGCGGACGACAGGGCGAAGGAGGUGGCUGGCGAGGAGGACAAGAAGCAGGGGGGAGGAGAAGGGGGAUGCCUCGCACACCAUCCUCCUCCCCGCGGCGGUUGGCUGGUCGACUCGUCGCGCCACCGCGUCCUCACCUCCUCUGCACCAUAGGAGGCGCUGCCUCUGCCUCCAUCCCUGCUUCGUGCUUCCUCCGUCCUUGGCACCACAGCUGCCGGUCCACUCCCUCCUCCUCCAUCCUCACUCCCUUGUCAGCCACCGUCGCACGAACCUCCCUCGUCUGGGCCGGGAAAGAAGGCCAUGGCGAAUCUUGCGCCUCUAGAAGCAGCAGCAGGGGUUGGUGGAGCGUCUAAUACGGGCGGGGUCAACGGUUGAGGGAGGGUUGCCCACCGGAGCAGCAGGAGAAAGACCUUGAGGUGGUUCAGAUUUGCAUCUACAUACUUUCUCUUAUUCCCUAGGUUUCGAUCUCCUGUACAUAUUUUGGCCACCUGAUUUCUAUCCGCUCUCUGUCAAUUUCAGUGAAGCUGCAUCGUCCAACGUAGCGAGAUGAAGUACUCAGAAAAAAUUGCAGCAAGUGCGAUUGAUAGUAAGGGAAUUGAUUUGAUUCGGAAUCUUCCCUUCUUCAGGUACUUAACACUCUCUUUGAUUGGUCAAUGUGCUAUGCAAAGUUGUUCGAUAUAUGGAUUAAAUUUGCUUUCAUACAUGUCUGCAUCAUACUUAAUGUUAUUCCCUUCUGAGUUAGCAAGAUUUAGAUGAUAAUUCACAACAACGUCAAUGUUAGGUUUGAUUCACCACCAGUCCUCUUUAGGUUACAAAGGUUUUUAAUUGAGCAUUCAACUCUGCUUUUGUCAGUAUAAAAAGUUCAUAGAGAUUUGGUCUCUUCUUUAUUAUCUGGGUGCAUUAUGCACUAUGCAUGGUACUAACUGUGAGUAUUGUUGCCAAUCAGUAUGCAUUGGUCUACUUUGGAUCUUAUUUUCUUACUUUAUACUUGCUUUGCUAUUUGUCAUGUAUGCACAUGAUUUGGAUUGAUCUACUUAGAAGCAUGAGUUUAUGAAAAUUGAUAUCUACUAGGAUUGUUCUGCUCCUGUCGUCACCUUUGACUAAGCUGUUGAGCCCAAGAACUGUGGCAGACUGGUGGCCCAGCUGUUCAACUUCUCAACACCGUUCAAUUUUGUCUUUGCUCGUCCUUGCGUCCACUCAGCAGAGAAGUAUCUAUACUGAAUUUCUGCUCUAGAUAACUUAUACUCAUAUAAUUUAUCUCUAAUACCCAGUCCAGAUCAUUAGUGCUAGAUUGACAUUUUUAAGCCGUAUUUGUGGGAAGUGCAUUGCAUUUGUAACUAAACUGGGCUUGACCAAUCUUGAGGUUUACCAUGAAUUUAUAUAAAAUGGUCUUAAAGCAAGGGACUGGGCAAUUACAAAUAGCUCAUAUAUUCAGGGUAUGUGCCCCUUAUGCUAUAUUUAUAGCAGGUUGUACUCAGCAUAAAUUGUGAGAUUUGAUCUUGUAAAUAAGGACCGAGAUAGUCUGGUCUUACCUACAUAUAUGAGUCAUUAUUGAGGACUGAGCAUCAAGCGUGAUUCCGUUUCCAGUCCAUGUAGAUUAGCCAUUUGACGACUUAGCUAGAAACUUUAUAGGUUUUUAGUAUAUAUAUCCUCAGUAAUGUUGUCAUGAGUUGUGACACGAACUAAUGGAAAAUAACCAUGUAGUAUCUUAUUUUUUAUAUGAGUAAAGUAUGUACAAUAAAUUUGCAAAAAUAGUCCAUCAACUAGCUGAAUAAAGAAACACUCUACGGGAAAGGCGAACAAGCACACUAAAGCACACAAGUCGUAGUAACUCUAAAGUAUUUUUAUAACUGCAUUUUAGUGGACUAUAUGAUGAUUUGCUUUUUCUGAACCUUGAUAACAUUAUCCUGGAUUUGUGACAACAGUCUAUAGAUUUUCCCUUUAUUUUUUAUCAUCAUGAAGACCAAAUCUACAGAAUUCAACCAGUUGUGAAUUCAUCAAGUACGAGACCUCUGUCUAAUAUCAUUUCUGCGGGUUGAACAUGAAAGGAUGCCGGCAGAUUGCUUUUCCAAAACCGAUGUUACAUGUCUCGAAACUUUCCCCAUUUUUGUUUUCAGAAGACAAAGGACAUCUCGGAUUAGUUAGCUUCUUUUUACAGUUACUACUCAUUGAACUAUAUGCAGUUUUCAGCUAGACCUCUUUUUUUACAGUUCCUGUCCAUUGAACUAUAUGCAGUGUCAACGAACAGCGUGAGAUGAGAUAGCUGCAAAGGUGGGGCCAAAUAAUCCUAUGGUAGCAGCAAUAGUCAGCCCAUGAUAAAUCUCUGGUAAGUGCUCCUUUCUCUUUACCUCUUUACUCCCAUGUCACAGGUCUGACGACACACCAGAAAUUGCCAUGUAGUUGCAUGGCUGUCAAAGAGUCUAAGCAUGUGAAAGUUGGGUUACCUCUAUAUUUGUAAGAAUUGGAACUUGGUACGGUUUUGCAAAAUAAGAUGGUAGCUCACAUUUUCUGGAUGACCCAAUGCUUCUUUGGUGAAAUUUGAUCAGCCUUACAUAUACAUUUGAAAUAUUAUGCUGUAUACAGUUCAUCAGGCACUGGAAUUUGCCGGACAUUAAUGUUUCUGUUUUUUAUCUGUUUCUUAUUUUCCGAGUCACAUCUCUGCAAUGUUUCCAAUGAGGCAAGGACUACUAUUUUCCUCCUUGCAUGCCAAUUAUUUGAGAGACAAAUAAAUAUUGUUGUUGGCCUAUGAAUUAUCACAUUAUUCCCCUGAUUCUUUUUAGAUCAUUUUGUUUUAGAGUUUUUGUUUCUUGAAACCUCAAAAUAGUUACUAGCAUCUUCUCCAUGUUGCAUCAUUUUAUAGUGACAAUCAGGAGAUAUAGCUGAUCCUUCAUUUAUCUUGGAACCUUAUCCAAACAUUUGAAAAUGAAACUAAAGCUAUGUACAGAGAGAAUGUGUAGGCUCUCUUCCUGGGCAUGAACUCCGGUAUGCCUAUUACGAGUGAGACCACUUCACUUUGCUUCCAAUAUAGUAGAUGGCGGAAGUGGUGCUCUUAUAUACAACCGCUAGAGAAGUAUAUGUAGCAUUUCCUCUGUAGAAAGGAAUGCUAUUUUAGCUGGUUGUGAGGUUUGAACCUUUCAUUUCCGAAGAGAACCGAUGAUCUUCCUUCGCAAGUUUAUUUUUACCUAUGUAUUAUUGUCAUGCUCCCAUUGUUUGGGUGAUUUACCUAGGCUAUGCACACACAUAUAAUAUUGCCAUGUUCCCCUUAUUCAUCACCGAACAUUGCUGCCAAAUUGAUGUUUUUGUUGCUCUAUACAUUGGUGUUAUAGACUGCCAUUUGUUUAGUCGAACAAUUUGCCAAACUGAUUUUCCAUUACUCCAUGUACUGGUGUUACAGACUGCUAUUUGUUUUGUCCAUCUUAGUAAUUCAUUUGGUUUACAUUCUCAUGAUAUAGAUAUACACGUGCCCCUUUCCUAUUUUAGCUAUCAUUUGCCAACCUCCAUUAUAUGACUAUGCACAUGUGUUCCUAUAUACAAAUGUGAUUAAACGACAUGUUACCUCAAUGCCAUUUGUGAAGAACAAAUAUGUGGCUCAGGAGGGCCUGGUUGACGUAUGCGGUCAUCAGGAGUGGCCACAUUGUUUGGUCCUCAACAAUUUUGAAUGAAGACUCGUGGACUUUACCAUUGCGAAAUCAUGUGAGCAGAGGUGUUCCAGGAUUCUUUGGAAAGACAUGUAUACAUGCCAUGUGUCCCGCUAUCAUUUUUUGUCUUUGUGAGUUGUUGAAAAGAUCUUAAGAUGUUUGAUUGGUCAUUUCAACUCAGGUGAAGUUGUUAGGAUGAUUAGGUAGAAGCUUAUGCCAUCUCAAAAAAAAAAAGGUAGAAGCUUAUGCAAAAUCUACUGUGAUGGAUUCAGAUAGAUUUUGGAGUGGUGAAACCUUUUGAAGUCACAGCUAACAUGGCUCUAAGUUACUCCAAUAAGAUAACGAAAUAUGCAUGCUUAAAUAUAUGUAUUCAAAGAUAAAUUGCCCUUCAUUUUUUGCCUAAAAUGGUUUGAAUUGUUACUUGAAGUAGUUGCUACAACCUACUUAUACUAACAGAGUCAAAUAUUUUCAAAUACUUAAGGCUUGCCAUGGUUUUGUGCUUGCUCACAAAUAAAGUUACUGAAAAUUGCAAAUAUUUUCAACGCGUACAGGUUUUUAAAUGGGACUCUGUGCCAUUUGGCGCAACGAGUCAUCUAUGAUCCAAAAUUAAGUUGCACAUUUAUGAAAACUAUAAAAACAAAAAAUGCUCAAGGCUGAAUCUUUUUAGCAUUACUGAACAAAUACAGCAAUAGAGAUACUGAACGUACAAAAUCAAUUUAUUUAUGCUGGUACAAGGUCAACUUCUUUUGUUGAUGAUCAUAUUCACAUGUCUUUGGCUACAUAUGAUCCCAGGCUUUAGAUUAGAAUUGGGCUCACCCACUACAUUGAAUGAACAAGAAUAGACCUAACUUAAUGUGUCAGCACACAUUCUUCUUCUAUUGACGACAGUGAUGUUCUCCUAUUUCAAGCAACAUAUGGUACCGUCGAUGCCUCCAUCAGAGACACAUAGUAAACUUCAAUACUCAUCGUGACACAUACUAAACUUUCAAGAUAAUCAAUCCAGAUGAGCCUAACUUUAUAUUGACAUACAUACCAAAGGCUCCCAGGGUAGAAACUAUCUAGCUCAGAGCCAUAUGUAUAAAUUUACCUUCAGCAGAGUUCGUGUACGCGCCUUCAUCAGAGCUGGUGUACUUCAUCAGAUCUCAAUUACACCCCUUCAUCAGAGUUCGCGUAUGCGGAGCUAUCAGCACUUUCAUCUGAGAUGUUGUCCGGACGUUCGUCGGAGCUACUGUCAGCCCUUUCAUCAGAACUAAUAUCCACAGGAGAUCCCAUCAUGCUCAGCCGUGGGACAAACCUACGGGAUCAUGGAUUUUGAAUCAAAACAGUCUAAUGAAGACACAUUAACGUAUAAAUCUGGCACAACAUAUAUCCAUGGAAAUGUGGCUGAAAAAGAAAGAUCGAAUCGCAACCUAAUCAUCCUAUACACCAAUAACCAUUGGAAUAACUACAAGGGUUUAUUUGCAUCCUAUACAACAUCCCUAAAUAGAAAAAAUUACAACACAUGAUCUACCAUGCCUAAAAAAGGACACAGGAGGAGUAAAAAUCACCACAGAAAGAGGAAAAAAAAUGCAAGAGCUGGAUAAAUGAGAACUAAAUCCAUGCACGCAGAGAAACCCGAAAUCAAAGGAAGAAGAAAUCUCACCAGUUGAGUAUGCCUCUCUGGAAACGCUUCUCUCGCCCAGCUGGGGAACCGAGGAAGAAAAGGGGAUGAACAGGCUCGGUGGAUGCAGUCCCUGCCGCUUCUUAUUCUACUCCUGACGGGCCACACACAUUGUUUUUCGUGGGUUGGGCCUGGUAACAUAUGGGCAAUUCAAAUACCUAUGCCUCCAUAUGCACAACACAAAGAGUUUUUUUGUUUCUUCGUGCAUAUGAAAAAUUAAAGUUUGGUGCAAGCACUGGUAAAAGAACACAUCCAUAGCUGGUCUAUACAUCUUAUACAAAUAUGUUUUUUAAACUUAGGUUUCUCAUCAUGAAGACCAUAUUUUCAAACUAAAACAAUGCUUCUUCUUCUUCUUUUUUCAGGUGAAAAACAAUGCUUCCUUAGUUGGUCUGUACAUGUUAUACACAUAUUUUCUUUUUCCAAACUCAGAUUCAACAACGUGAUAAACAUAUUUUCAAUAUAUCAUGAUUUAACACAUGGUACUUGCAAAUGAAACUAUUUUCAUCGACAACAUGGCUUUAGCGGGUCUCUGCGCCAUUUGGCGCAACGGGUCAACUAGUAUAAAUGAAUUGAGGGAUUACACUGGUUGGAUGGUAGUAAUAAUUAUCAGGAUUAAGUAUAAUUUUCCCAAAUCUUAGUGGGUUUGCGGUUUAUAUUUUGUGAUUCGUACUUACCGAGCUAGGUUUUUUUUAAAGAAAAACACAGCUGAAGAGCAUCUUAGAUCCUAUAAUUAUAAUGGAAAUACAAGACGACACAAAAUGACUAAUAAUAAUAAAAUCACAUCAAAAACCAUACUAAAACAACACAUGCAUUAGUUUUUUUAGCAGGGUACACAUGUUGCCUUAGUUAUUUGCUUCAGUCUCUCGUGUAUAACGCCGUGCAAAGAAGCGAAAAACAAGUUAGAGAGAGAGAGAGAGAGAGAGAGAGAGAGAGAGAGAGAGAGAGAGAGAGAGAGAGAGAGAGACGAACCGGCAACGGCAGUAGGAUUUCCGUUAAGUACAAGGAGGAAACAGAGAACCAUAUGUCGGGCAUCCAUGGUGAUGGAAGUGAUAGUUUCUUUCUUAUCAAACCUAAGGGAGACGCCACCAAUAGUAUCUCCAAGAAACUUAUAUGCAUAUAUAUCUGUCACCGGUUAUAAACAAGUCAACGUCAUCACAUAAAAUCUGAUGGGCAAUUAAUAUAUUUUCAAAUAGCAUCAUGCAAUUAAUUUCUAUCAAAUAUCAACGUCUAAUUAUAUUUCACCAUAUAUCUACAUCACUACAUGCAAUUAACAUCCUGCCUUUUUUAUAGUGAAUUAAUAUCCUACCUAUAUAGAGAGUCUUUGCAUGCUCUUGAUAAACAUUUUUAUUCGGAAUGAUUGUAUCUAUCUUUAAGAUGCGAUGAAUGCUUACUAUAUGUCUUUGGGAUUUGAGAUACGCUGGACGGUACCCUGAGAAUGGAUGGAUGGCCACCCUGGUGGCGGGUUAGCAUCUUCCCGUUCCUGGCCAUCAAUAUAAUUAAUCCAUCAUGUAUGUAUUGAUAUUGUUGUUAAUACACAAGCACGCCAUUAAUAUCUGGAGAAUUUUGCACCUACAUCAAAAGGAAAUUGAUGACUUGAUGCUCUUUUAGAUUGUAUGAUUAAAAGUGUAGAAAUUUUAAAAAGUACAUAAUUAAGAUGUGAGUACUAUUGUUAGUGUUAAACAUAAAAAAUCUAUAAGAACUAAUUAUGGACAAUGCUACAGUGCAUGGGAAAUAAACCAUAUUGACAGGGACCGAAGGGAGCGCAGCGGUGUCCGAAAGCGGGGCAACGAGGCCCUUGACCUGCUCCAGAUGUCUUUUCCAAGAGCCGAAGGGUUGUAUCCAGGGUUCGACAUCGGCAGGAUCUAGCUUGGCUUCAACCACAAAUAUGGGCAUACUUUGGGUUGAAAUCCAUGUUCUCGUCUCUUCAGCUUGAUUCGGCUUUGUCACAUGCGUGUGUUGUGCCUUUAUUGAAGGUGUUGUCUCGAAUAUUGAGUCCGAGGAUGAAAAUUCUAAGUGUAAUAUUUGAUUGGACCCGUUAAAAUUGACAUGGUGUGGUGAUCCUUCCCUGAAAGCUUUGUUUAUGAGUAGCGUUUUUGCUUUGUCAAACAUUAUAGGGUCCGUGCUAAGUUUGUGGAGACAUUGUUGUGAGGAAGAUCCUUUUGUAGAUGUUGUUGGUUUUUUUAAGCUCAUUUAUUCGGCAUCGGUAUUGAGUUGUACUUGAUCAUCGGUUGAGAUUGUUGAAGAAUUAAUAAUACGUAUAUGACUAUGCGCAUCAGUUUGGGUGGCUGAUUCUCAUUUUCAGAGAGAAAAAGCAGCAAGUACUUCAUUUAGCAGAAACCCUUUAUUUUUGUUGUUGAGAUUAAUUAAUCAUUUGCUGCAGAACAAACAAACACAAAUGGCAUCCAAUGGUGUUUUGUAACACCAGGCAUCUUUGACAUGGCCGCCCUCGAUGAGAGCCGCCUUCGUCCAGCAAAGCCCUUUGCACCAAGCGUCGAAACAAAAUGGCUGCCUAUAAGCUCCUUUCCCGCAAUACUCUGCAUAGAAAUAAACAAUCACGGACAUCCACGCGUUAGUAUUCAGUCUGUCAAGGUCUCACUACACGAGCAUAUCCACGAAGCUAACAAAAACAUAAGAACAAUCUUUUCUGCAUCAAGUUAACAAACCUAAAAAUGAGAGAGGGUGGGNNNNNNNNNNNNNNNNNNNNNNNNNNNNNNNNNNNNNNNNNNNNNNNNNNNNNNNNNNNNNNNNNNNNNNNNNNNNNNNNNNNNNNNNNNNNNNNNNNNNNNNNNNNNNNNNNNNNNNNNNNNNNNNNNNNNNNNNNNNNNNNNNNNNNNNNNNNNNNNNNNNNNNNNNNNNNNNNNNNNNNNNNNNNNNNNNNNNNNNNNNNNNNNNNNNNNNNNNNNNNNNNNNNNNNNNNNNNNNNNNNNNNNNNNNNNNNNNNNNNNNNNNNNNNNNNNNNNNNNNNNNNNNNNNNNNNNNNNNNNNNNNNNNNNNNNNNNNNNNNNNNNNNNNNNNNNNCAAGUACUAGGAGGAGGAAACGGAGAACAACAAGCCGGACAUCCAUGGAUGGAGUGAUAAGUUUCUUUAUUGCCGAACCUCAAGGGAAUAUAAACACCGAUAGCACGGUGUGAUGUUGUGUCCAUAUGUCUAUAUAUAGCAUGCUCUUGAUAAAUAAUGAUAUGUUCAUAUUCAAUAGCCAUAUCUAUGUAUCUUUGAGAUACUACUACGCUAAAUGGAGGUAGUCAGAAUGGAUGCAUGGGUGGCCACACUAGCAUUUAUCCCCGGACGGUCACGUCAUCGCGUUAGAUUAUUCGGCGGCCGCCUCACAAAGAAAGCUUUCAUACGUUGGUGACUGCUGCCGUUCGCGUUGGCACCCGGCUACCGGCUAGAGAAAAUAAAUGACCUAGGCUCUCUUGGAUUGGAGAGGCUAAGGUUUUUCGCUGAACGAUACGUAUUAGUAAAAACAACACAUGUGUUGACGCUGGUCUAAUAGGCCACAAUAACUAAGAGCAUUUUCAAUAGAAAUGGUCUAAUUCUUGCAGCAACUGAAGCAAAGCUGUCUCCCUUCCCCAAAACAUAUGGAUAUGCGAAUUUACUCGUGUGCCUUUUAAAAAUAAAUGUGAGCGUGUAAAAAUAUAGACUAAAUGAUCUUUGUUUUUAGUUUAAGAAAUUCAACAUAUGCACUUUCGGGGUGGUGAAAAAUGUUGAUAGAUAGAGAGGGAGAGAGGGAGAGAGGGAGGGAGGGAAUAUAUAUAUAGGAUUGACGAAGGAAGGAGUACGUACUCCUCGGAGUACUAACCAAUUUUCCUAUAUAUAUAUAUAUAGAGAGAGAGAGAUUGGAGCUAAUUUUUUUUUAAAAUAAUACAUUUUUUUAGUAAUUUGCACAAAUAUUACGCCCACAAAAUUAUUUUCAAAAAUAAUACACCGUCAGCCAACAGCUGGCCGACUGGUCCUAGUCGGCCCACAGCAGGCUGACUGGGUCUUAUCGGCCAACUGCGAGCCGACAGGUGGCUUCUCGGCCACGCGGAGGCCGACUAUUGGCCAGGCCACGUUGGGCGCUGGCUGUCGGCGCGGGCGACCCAGUCAGCCAGCUGCCGACCGAUCGGCCAGCUGCUAGCCGACAGGGAGCCGGCCCUGUAGCACACGUCUCUUUCUCCUCUCCUUCUUCUUUCCCUUUCUCCCACCGCAAGCUUCUCUCUAUUCUUCUUUCCUCCUCUCUCUUACACGAACUAGCUCCAAUUAAUACACCAAAAUAACUCGUUUUUUCGUGGAUUUGGCACCGUGAAUGGGUUCUACAUAAUUAGGGGAGUCAAAAGAGACCUCGAUCUACUGAUGGGGUAGCUUGUGGUGGUCAUGGUGAGCAUUUUGUUGAAGCAUUUUUUCAGCGCAUUGGUGGAGGUUGUGGCGGUGGUGGAGGUGGAGGUGGUGGUGGUGAAGCUGGGGCAGUGUGGUGGAGGUGAAGCUCCGGUAGUUUGGUGGAGUUUCCGGCUCCAGUUCCGGUGAUUGAAGGCCGCCGUUCGUCGUUCGCACGCACGCUACAAGGGUAUAUUUCAACACACAUUUUUAUUUUCGAAGUUGCGUGCAAUUAUUGUUAUUUGCUCCGGUAGUAAUGUAAAUAUAUUUAGGUAGUCGCGGUGAGCAUUUUAUUUGCCGGUACCGGUGUGCAAUUAUUGUUAUUUGCUCCGGUAGUAACAUAAAUAUAUUUAGGUGGUCGUGGUGAGCAUUUUAUUUCCCGGUUCCGGUGUGCGAUUAUUGUUAUUUGCUUCGGUAGUAAACGUAAAUAUAUUUAGGUGUGUCAGUAAUUGGAGUUGCUCCGGUAGUAAACGUAAAUAUUUAGGUGUUCUUGGUGAGCAUUUUAAGUUGUUGCUUAAUACUUGUAUUAGUUGCUCCGUUAAUAUUCUGUAAUAUAUAGCUAGCUAAUAUAUAGACAUGUCUAAUAUUUCUUAGUGGGGGUAUAUUAAGUUGUUGCUUAAUACCUGUAUUUCAUUGUUGAAAAAAAUAGGUGAGCCGAGAUGUCUGAUGUAGUGAACUUCAGAUUUUGCUAUGGUCCUGAUACUGAGAUGGAAGCAGAUCUGAGUGAAUUUACUCAUAUAGAUGUGCCAAUGAGCGCACCUCAAACAUGGUCUGUCAGUCAGUUGAAAGAAUGGAUUGCGGCAAGUUUAGGUCUUGAUACUGAAACACACACCAUCGGUGUUCAUGCAUUGUGGACACGGUCAAGUUCAAUAAUUUACUUUUAUUUGAGGCCGAUAGAGCGAGACUCAGAAUGGGUGCGGUGGUUACAAGGUUGUGAACGAAGGGGAUGCAAUCCUGUUGCUUUAGUUCUUCCCGUCGUGAAGGAGGUCAUUGCACAUGAAGGCGAGGGUGGCUACGAUCCUGGUCAUAGCAGUGUAGGGAGGCAGUUAUCUAUGUCAAAUGCUGGAGAUGAUGGUUACGAACAAGGACAGAGCAGUCAGGUAGAAGGAGGAAAUGCCGAUGGUGAUUACAAUGGCGAGGUGGACGCUGACGAGGUAGAUGGGCACAUGCAGGACCAGAUGGAAGAAGAAGACACCGAUGUUGAAAGGGGUCAUGCCGAUGAUUCUGACGAGUCAGAUGAAGAAGAAAAUGCAGAGGAGGUCCCGAAUCCUGCAUCGUGGAAUCAUGACUUCUCAUCUGCAAUGACGUGAAUGAUGGACAUGAUUCAGCCUGGCAAUAUCACCAGAACAAUAUUGUGACGGGUGCUAUGUAUCCGAACAAGCAAGCCUUGAAAGAUGCAAUAAUUAAUUGGGCAAUGUCCAUGCAAAGGGUUUUCACAGCUCAGGUGUCCAGUCAGAAAUUCCUGACAAUGGUAUGCAAGAACGCAGAUUGUCCCGUCAGGGUGCACGGCUUUCUCCCUAAGUAUGGCACCAGUUGGGUGAUAAGUGACUUAGUUAAUCACACUUGUCUUAUUCCCUGCAUCCCUCAGGAUCAUGCCAACCUUUCAUCCACGCUUAUUGCUCGGUUGUUUUACGAUGAGAUAGUGCAGGGCAAAGCUAUGGAAGUGAAGGCAGUCCAGACAAAAGUCUUCGCCAGGUUCAAGUACAGAAUUUCUUAUGGCAAGGCUUGGAGGGCUAAGCAUGCGGCGCUUGAGAGGAGAUUUGGUUCUUAUUUUGAUGCAUAUGACUCUGUUGUCCAGCUUGGAGGGCUCUAGGCAGUAGGCAGUAAGAUAUAUUUUCUUUAAGUAAUGUUGUCACAUACUUUGACGUGCAAGAGACAUACAUUAUUAAUCGUCAUGGAAAUUUGCAGGCUACCUUGACACACGAACUCUACCAGGACGUGACCACCUUUGGACGAUCACUGUCAUCUGGACCUCUUCUUCAGCACCGUCCAGUGCUACAACCCUUCUUGGAACGAAUUCAGAACAAGAUACGGACUGUGUACGAGGCUAUCACGUGCACCCGGAGAACCGACGUUGUUCAGCACCACCAGCAGCAGCCGCGUCACUCCAUGCACCGACAUCAACCACGUCCACGUCUAGCACAUCAGCCGACAACCAGGCCACCCCGUCCUGACCAACCUGGCAGUUCAACGUGGCAACAACCAUAACAAUAUGGUCCCACGUCGAGCUUCGUGUUUUCUCCACAGCCACAGCAACACGGUCCCUCGUCGAGCUUCGUGUUUUCUCCACAGCCACAACAGCACGGUCCCUCGUCGAGCUUCGUGUUUGAGCCAGAGAAGCCGUCACAACCAGCAGGUAAGUGUCUUCAUUUUUAUUGUUUUCAAUAUUAAUUGAGGCGACCUCAUUCUUCAUGACUAAACGUUCCAUCGUGCAGGAGCCUACGGAUAUCAUGCGUCUAUGUCAGCAUCACAUGAUACGUGGGGGAGUGAUCAACAUCCCGAGGAGAACAUACAUGCUCAGAUGUCGCAGCACACCCAGUGGAUGAACAUGUAUUCGACUCCUCCAUCAGGCCCCACACAGGAUACACAGCAUAACCAGGGAGAGUCUGAAAUUCCUCCUCAUAACAUUAGGCCACCUAACAGGUUGGGAUGGUCGCCGCUUCCAGAUCCGCCUCCCCGCCAGGCCAGACGUCGUCACUGACGCUUCCAUCUAUCAAUAGAGACAUGACCAUCUACUUAUGUAUGAGACUUAUGUCUAUUCUAUGUAUGAGACAAAUGACUAUGUACUUAUGUAUGAGAUAUAUGCCUACUCUAUUUUAGUACUCUGUUAUCCGAACUACAACAUCAUAUUUAGAUAGAACAUAAUGCUCGUACAACAAGACAGUAUAAACAACUAGAUAGAACUACAUCUAAAUUAACGGUACAUACGACUAAACUUACAACAUACAUCAUAAAAACUACAUGAAGUCAUCAUCGUCAUCCUUCGUCGAUGCAGAACUUUUGCCCUUCGAGGAUGCAGAACUCUUACCCUUGGACGAUGCAGAACUCUUGCCCUUCGAGGAUGCAGUACUCUUGCCCUUGGACGAUGCAAAACUCUUGCUCUUUGACGAUGCGGAACCCGAAAGCGGCGGCAUGAAGAUAUCAUCUUCAUCCUCGCUCUCCUCAGUCCAUAAAAAUGGAUGCUUUUCUGCAGUCCUUCUGAAAGUUUCACUCUCCGGCUCCACUACCUUCUUCCACCUUGCAUGCAACCUAAGAAGUUCUAUACGUACCUCCUCAUAGGUCCUUUCAGGCCACCCAGACAUACGUAAUUCGUGAGCCAACUCAUUCAUUAUGGUGUCACUACCGGUGAGUUUGUCCCAUGGAACUAUCCUAUUGUCCAUCCUGAAAUCGGUAGCUAGCCUCAGAAGAGUCCUGCUCAUCUCAGGGUGAAAACUACUAUCAAAAGGAUAAUGGGACAUCUCAACUACACUACACUGGAAUGCUUAUCCUCCUCUGUCUGAAGGGGGUUUUAUAGGUAGGGAUGAGAAAAUGGCGGGAAAGAACGACUGCGGUAUGGCGGGAAACGAUUGGCGGGAAAAGGGUGGCGGGAAAGAGCUGGCGCGAACAUAUGGCGGGAAACGGGUGGCGGGAAAGAGUUGGCGCGAAUAUAUGGCGGGAAAGAGUUGGCGCGAACAUAUGGCGGGAAAAUAUUACGGGCAAAGGGUUGCACGAAAUACGUCAUAGUUUAUAUAAAAAAAUCCAGGGAGCGUUCGGGAAAAAAAUGGUGGCAUGCACCGGUCAGCCCACAGCAGGCCAAUUAGUCCCUGUCGGCCCGCAGCUGGCCAAUUAGUCGCUGUCGGCCCACAGCAGGCCAAUUAGGCCGACUGGACCUGAACUGGUGGCCGACAGGCCAAUUGGCCAGCAGCUAGCCGAUAGGGUCUCAGUCGGCCUGCUGUGGGCCGACUAGGUCCACUUGGCCGGCUGCGGGCCGACGGUGUAUUAUUUUUGAAAAUUAUUUUUUGAGCGUAAUAUUUGUGCAAAUUAAUAAAAAAGUGUAUUAUUUUAAAAAAAAUAGCGAGAUUGGAUGCCCUUUUUCUUCUUAAGAAAAAUGAAAUACAAACUUGGGGUUUUCAGAAAAACUGAAGUUUGUUUGGACAACUAUAUUUUUAAUAUACUAUGCUCCCUAAUUUUUAAGGGCUCACAGUCAAUUGUGGUCUCUAAUUUAGAAUUGGGUCGUCUUUUUUUAGGGUCAAAACAGUAGGAGCUCCUACUGCAUAUAUAUUUAAAAAAUGGGGGUUAUGUACAAGUACAUACAUGGUCCCUACACCGUUUUGGUGAGGAGGGAAAGUUACAAAAGAGUGUGCGGCAGAUAUUCUAGUCUACAGAAAGGAAGAUAUGCUGGGUUUUAUAUCCUCUGGCACUCUCUUAUUCAAUUAUUUUAAUUUACUAUGCUCCCUAAUUUUAGAGCUCUUCCAUUCGAAUGAGGUAUUCAAUACUAGAUUUGGUUUACGAUUUUGACCGGGCCAAUGAUUUUUCAAAUCAAUUAGCAACAACUGGUCUAUAAAAACAUAUCAAUCCCACUCACCCUCUCACCAAUUAGAAAAAUGAAGGGUCGUCAUGUGACACUGUAGCACCAAUAUAGUACAUGCAGCAACCGACUCAGGAAUUUCCUGUCAUAUAUAUGGGUUGAUUAGCAGAUAACAUAGAAUCAAAUUGUGAAAAGCCGACCAAAACACCGCCUUAUAUGAAUAAAAAUAAAAGACACGCCAUCAUCUCCUCUGCUCGCUAAACAUUCCCCCAGUUCUAAAAUAGAAGGUGCAUUUAGUUUUUUGAAAACUCAAAUUUCUUUUAACUUUGACUAAGUUCAGAGCCAAAAUAUCGACAUCCACAAUACUAAAUAAAUAAAAUAUAAAAAUCCGUUUCAUGAUGAAUGUAAUGAUACCAAUUUGAUAUUAUUGAUUUUGAUAUACUUCUAAUUUGAUCAAACUUAAAGAGGUUUGGCUUUUCAAAAAAGAAUAUGCCUUCUAUUUUGAAACAGAGAGUAAUAUUUUUAUGAAAACCCAACAAUACCAAUGGCGUAGCAAAAUGCGCCCAGCCCUUCUAGUAUAGACGAUAGCUCCUCUAAUUCUAACAAUGGAGAAAACUAUAGGAUUUAUUAGAAAAGCUUUGAAGGAUUGUGAAAAGCAUGUCACAAAUGGACUAUGGCGCUUUAUUCAGCAGAAAGCUAGAAACCUUUGUUUUUCUUGCUUUAUUAAGGUUAUUUUCUGCAGAAGAGAAAGACACAACUGGUGUUGUCCUCCAAUCUCCAGCAUGUUUGUUGUUUGACAUGGGUGCCAAUGACUUGCGCCUGCGUCCAGCACAACGCCUUGCACAAGGUGUCAAAAUAGAAUGGCGUCGUCGAAACCCGAUAUCUGUAAUCCUCUGCACAGAAAAAACACAAUAUUACAUUAAAAUGAAAAGGAAAUAACAUAACUAUAAAUGUCCACGCAUCAGUUAAUUAUUAGUUUGGUCUCUUAUAGCCUCACACCGCGAGCAAAGAAGACAAAAACAAGCCAGAUCCUAGAUGAGAGGGAGGAAGAAACAUAAGCCGCGUGUUUGGUUCUGUGCAUGAAUUUUGGGCCUCCUGCAUCUGUGGUUCGGUUGAGUCCAGAUGAGCAAAUAGAGACAGUAAACCCUGUUUUGUAGUGCAUUUGGUUGCCCACAAAGCUCCAGGCUGCAUGAGAACAGAAAUAGAAGUACUACCUUUGGUUGCAAAUAUUUGUUCCUCAGAUGCAACGUGUUGUUGUUCGGUUACGUGAAAAACAUAGAGUGUGGUAACCUCUGUUUUUAGUAGUGAGUUUAGGAGCACACACAGUCAUAUGAACACCACUUUCAACAAGCAUACACAUGACUACAUUAACAAGCAUACACACAACGACACAACCAUAGGUAUAAUAGUGAUAGAGUAAAAUACACUAGAGGCCCUACAAGUAUUCCAAGUGUGUAAGGUAGUUCCUAAAAGUUUGAAAUCGUCCACUGCCGGUCCUAUACAUCUAUUUUACCCGCAAAAUUUAGGAACUACUUGACAUAGUUGGAAUAUUUUUAGGACCCAUGGCGAACGACUUACAUACAUUUAGAGCAACUCUAGCAGACUGCAUCCCGCCCCGACCCGCAAAAUAACCGCCAAAAUGCGGGCCGGGGCGGAAAAACCUACCCGAUUAGACCCCGCAUCCCGUCCCGGCCCGCAAAAAAAAUUGAGGGGCGCGGCAAAAUCUCGGCCCCAACCUGGUAUUCGCGGGUUUCCCCCUCGCCGCUGCGGUGCCCUGCAUAUAAGCGGGAAGCGGUUAGUGGGGGGACAUUUCAGCCUGCGCUUUACCCACCAACCACCUCCUCCCCCCCAUCGCGCUGUGAUACGUCUCCAACGUAUCUAUAAUUUUUGAUUGUUCCAUGCUAUAUUAUAUCCUGUUUUGGACAUAUUGGGCUUUAUUAUACACUUUUAUAUUAUUUUUGGGACUAACCUAUUAACCGGAUGCCCAGCCCAGAAUUGUUGUUUUCUUGCCUAUUUUAGGGUUUCGUAGAAAAAGAAUAUCAAACAGAGUCCAAACAGAAUGAAACCUUCGGGAACAUGAUUUUUGGAACGAACAUGAUCCAGAGGACUUGGACCCUACGUCAAGCAAUCAACCAGGAAGGCACGAGGUAGGGGGGCAUGCCUACCCGCCCAGGCGCGCCCUCCACCCUCGUGGGGCCCACAUUGCUCCACCGAUGUACUCUUUCCUCCUAUAUAUACCUACGUACACCCAAACCAUACGGAGCCAAAACCCUAAUUCCACCGCCGUAACUUUCUGGGUAUCGAUCACGGAGGGCUUCUACAUCAACACCAUAGCCUCUCCGAUGAAGUGUGAGUAGUUUACUUCAGACCUACGGGUCCAUAGUUAUUAGCUAGAUGGCUUCUUCUCUCUUUUUGGAUCUCAAUACAAAGUUCUCCCCCUCUCUUGUGGAGAUCUAUUCGAUGUAAUCUUCUUUUGUGGUGUGUUUGUUGAGAUCGAUGAAUUGUGGGUUUAUGAUCACGUUUAUCUAUGAACAAUAUUUGAAUCUUCUCUGAAUUCUUUUAUGUAUGAUUGGUUAUCUUUGCAAGUCUCUUCGAAUUAUCAGUUUGGUUUGGCCUACUAGAUUGAUAUUUCUUGCAAUGGGAGAAGUGCUUAGCUUUGGGUUCAAUCUUGCGGUGUCCUUUCCCAGUGACAGUAGGGGUAGCAAGGCACGUAUUGUAUUGUUGCCAUCGAGGAUAACAAGAUGGGGUUUAUAUCAUAUUGCAUGAGUUUAUCCCUCUACAUCAUGUCAUCUUGCUUAAUGCGUUACUCUGUUCUCUUGAACUUAAUACUCUAGAUGCAUGCUGGAUAGCGGUCGAUGUGUGGAGUAAUAGUAGUAGAUGCAGGUAGGAGUCGGUCUACUUGUUUUGGAUGUGAUGCCUAUAUACAUGAUCAUACCUAGAUAUUCUCAUAACUAUGCUCAAUUCUGUCAAUUGCUCAACAGUAAUUUGUUCACCUACCGUAAUACUUAUGCUCUCGAGAGAAGCCUCUAGUGAAACCUAUGGCCCCCGGGCCUAUUUUCCAUCAUAUUAAUCUUCCAAUACUUAGUUAUUUCCUUUGCCAUUUAUUUUACUUGCAUCUUUAUUUCUCUUUAUCAUAAAAAUACCAAAAAUAUUAUCUUAUCAUAUCUAUCAGAUCUCACUCUCGUAGGUGACUGUGAAGGGAUUGACAACCCCUUUAUCGCAUUGGUUGCGAGGAGUUUAUUUGUUUGUGUAGGUGCGAUGGACUCGUGCGUGGCCUCCUACUGGAUUGAUACCUUGGUUCUCAAAAACUGAGGGAAAUACUUACGUUGCUCUACUGCAUCACCCUUUCCUCCUCAAGGGAAAACCAACGUAGUGCUCAAGAGGUAGCAAGAAGGAUUUCUGGCGCCGUUGCCGGGGAGUCUAUGCAAAAGUCAACAUACUAAGUACCCAUCACAAACCAUUAUCUCCGCAUUACAUUAUUUUCCAUUUGCCUCUCGUUUUCCUCUCCCCCACUUCAGCCUUGCCGUUUUAUUCGCCCUCUCUCUCUCCAUCCUCCCUCUCUUUCUCUAUUCGCCUCUUUUUGCUCCUUUCUUGUUUGCUUGUGUGUCGGAUUGCUUGCUUGUCACGAUUGCUCAAGACAAUAGCAAAUGUGUGACUUUACCAAUACCAACAACAAUGAUUUUAUUAGCACUCCGAUUGCUCCUCUUACCGAUGCUGAAUCUUGUGAAAUUAAUGCUGCUUUGCUGAAUCUUGUCAUGAAAGAUCCGUUUUCCGGCCUUCCUAGUGAAGAUGCCGCUACCCAUCUAAACAACUUCGUUAAUUUGUGUGAUAUGCAAAAUAAGAAAGAUGUGGACAAUGAUAUUGGUUAAAUUGAAGCUAUUUCCUUUUUCGCUUAGAGAUCGUGCUAAAGCUUGGUUUCGUCUUUGCCGAAAAAUAGUAUUGAUUCGUGGAAUAAGUGUAAAGAUGCUUUUAUCUCUAAGUAUUUUCCUCCCACUAAGAUCAUCUCUCUUAGAAACAAUAUUAUGAAUUUUAAGCAACUUGAUCAUGAACAUGUUGCACAAGCUUGGGAGAGGAUGAGAUUAAUGAUACGUAAUUGCCCUACACAUGGUUUGAAUUUGUGGAUGAUUAUACAAAAAAUUUAUGCCGGAUUGAAUUUUGCUUCUAGAAAUCUUUUAGGUUCGGCCGCGAGAGGCACUUUUAUGGAAAUCACUUUAGGAGAAGCUACUAAACUCUUAGAUAAUAUUAUGGUUAAUUAUUCUCAAUGGCACACUAAAAGAUCUACUAGUAAGAAAGUGCAUGUGAUAGAAGAAAUUAAUGUUUUGAGUGGUAAGAUGGAUGAACUUAUGAAAUUAUUUGCUAAUAAAAGUGUUUCUUCUGAUCCUAAUGACAUGCCUUUGUCUAGUUUGAUUGAGAAUAAUAAUGAAUCUUUGGAUGUGAAUUUUGUUGGUAGGAAUAAUUUUGGUAACAACGCGUAUAGAGGAAACUUUAAUCCUAGGCCAUAUCCUAGUAAUUCCUCUAAUAAUUAUGGUAAUUCCUACAACAAUCCUUAUGGAAAUUUUAAUAAGAUAUCCUCUAAUUUUGAAUCUAAUAUUAAAUAAUUUAUUACCUCGCAAAAGAAUUUCAAUGCUUUGAUUGAAGAAAAAUUGCUUAAGAUUGAUGAGUUGGCUAGGAACGUUGAUAGAAUUUCUCUUGAUGUUGAUUCUUUGAAACUUAGAUCUAUUCCUCCUAAGCAUGAUAUCAAUGAGUCUCCCAAAGCCAUGAGAAUUUCCAUUGAUGAGUGCAAAGAAAGAAUCGCUAGGAUGCGUGCUAAGAAAGAUUGCUUUAUAAAAGUGUGUUCUUCUAGUUUUCAUGAUAAUAAAGAUGAAGAUCUAAAAGUUAUUGAUGUGCCUCCUAUUAAAUAUUUGUUUUUUAAUAUGAAUCUUGAGAAUGACGGGACUGAAUAUGAUCCACCUUUACCUAUAAGGCGUUCCAAAAAUUCGGAGUCUUUAGAUCUUGAUGGUAAAAUUGUUAAAAGUGGGAUUGAAGAAGUCAAAACUUUAAAUAUUAAUGAACCCACUAUUUUGGAUUUCAAGGAAUUUAAUUAUGAUAAUUGCUCUUUGAUAAAUUUUAUUUCCUUGUUGCAAUCCGUGCUAAAUUCUCCUCAUGCUUAUAGUCAAAAUAAAGCCUUUACCAAACAUAUCGUUGGUGCUUUGAUGCAAUCUUAUGAAGAAAAACUUGAGUUGGAAGUUUCUAUCCCUAGAAAACUUUAUGAUGAGUGGGAACCUACUAUUAAAAUUAAGAUUAAAGAUCAUGAAUGCUAUGCUUUAUGUGAUUUGGGUGCUAGUGUUUCCACGAUUCCAAAGACUUUGUGUGAUUUGCUAGGUUUCCAUGAUUUCGAUGAUUGCUCUUUAAACUUGCACCUUGCGGAUUCCACUAUUAAGAAAACUAUGGGAAGAAUUAAUGAUGUUCUUAUUGUUACAAAUAGGAAUUAUGUGCCCGUGGAUUUUAUUGUUCUUGACAUAGAUUGCAAUCCUUCAUGUCCUAUUAUUCUUGGUAGACCUUUCCUUAGAACGAUUGGUGCAAUUAUUGAUAUGAAGGAAGGGAAUAUUAGAUUCCAAUUUCUGUUAAGGAAAGGCAUGGAACACUUCCCUAUAAAGAAAAUUAAAUUAACUUAUGAAUCUAUUAUGAGAGCCACUUAUGGAUUGCCUUCCAAAGAUGGCAAUACCUAGAUCUAUCUUCGCUUUUAUGCCUAGCUAGGGGCAUUAAACGAUAGCGUUUGUUGGGAGGCAACCCAAUUUUAUUUUCAUUCCUUGCUUUUUUCUCCUGUUUAGUAAUAAAUAAUUUAUCUAGACUCUGUUUUGUUUGUGUUUUUUUGUGUUUAAUUAGUGUUUGUGCCAAGUAGAACCGUUGGGAUGACUUGGGGAAAGUCUUGUUGAACUUGCUGUAACAAACAGAAACUUUAGUGCUCACGAGAAGUGCUUUAAUUUUUAUUUGGAAAGUUAUAUUUAGUUAAUUAAUUUUCCAGAUGAUUAAUAUAUAAAUUCCUCACGUGCAGCAAUUUAUUUUAGAAUUUUUGGGGUUCCAGAUCUUGCGCUAGCUACAGAUUACUACAGACUGUUCUGUUUUUGACAGAUUCUGUUUUGCGUGUGUUAUUUGCUUAUUUUGAUGAAUCUAUGGCUAAUAAAUUAGUUUAUAAACCAUAGAGAAGUUGGAAUACAGUAGGUAUAACACCAUAUAAAUAAAUAAUGAGUUCAUUACAGUACCUUGAAGUGGUCUUUUGUUUUCUUUCGCUAACGGAGCUCACGAGAUUUUCUACUUUAAGUUUUGUGUUGUGAAGUUUUCAAGUUUUGGGUAAGAUUUGAUGGAUUAUGGAACAAGGAGUGGCAAGAGCCUAAUAUUGAGGAUGCCCAUGUCACCCCCAAGAUAAUCUAAGGCCACCUAAAACCCAAAGCUUGGGAUGCCCCGGAAGGCAUCCGCUCUUUCGUCUACUUCUAUCGGUAACUUUACUUGGAGCUAUAUAUUUAUUUACCACAUGCUAUGUGUUUUGCUUGGAGCGUCUUGUAUUAUUUGAGUCUUUAUUUGUUAGUUUUCCACAAUAAUCCUUGCUGCACACACCUUUUUGAGAGAGACACUCAUGAUUCGGAAAUUGUUAGAAUACUCUAUGUGCUUCACUUAUAUCUUUUGAGUUAUAUAGUUUUUGCUCUAGUGCUUCACUUAUAUCUUUUAGAGCACGUUGUUUGAUGACCCACAAGUAUAGGGGAUCUAUCGUAGUCCUUUAUAUAAGUAAGAGUGUCAAACCCAACGUGGAGCAGAAGGAAAUGAUAAGCGAUUUUCAGCAAGGUAUUCUCUGCAAGCACUGAAAUAAUAGGUAACAAAUAGUUUUGUGAUAGGAUAAUUUGUAACGAGCAACAAGUAACAAAAGUAAAUAAAGUGCAGCAAGGUGGCCCAAUCCUUUUUGUAGCAAAGGACAAGCCUGGACAAACUCUUAUAUAGAGAAAAGCGCUCCCGAGGACACAUGGGAAUAUCGUCAAGCUAGUUUUCAUCAUGUUCAUAUGAUUCGCGUUCGGUACUUUGAUAAUUUGGUAUGUGGGUGGACCGGUGCUUGGGUGCUGUCCUUACUUGGACAAGCAUCCCACUUAUGAUUAACCUCUAUUGCAAGCAUCCGCAACUACAACAAAAGUAUUAAGGUAAACCUAACCAUAGCAUGAAACAUGUGGAUCCAAAUCAGCCCCUUACGAAGCAACGCAUAAACUAGGGUUUAAGCUUCUGUCACUCUAGCAACCCAUCAUCUACUUAUUACUUCCCAAUGCCUUCCUCUAGGCCCAAAUAAUGGUGAAGUGUCAUAUAGUCAACGUUCACAUAACACCACUAGAGGAGAGACAACAUACAUCUCAUCAAAAUAUUGAACGAAUACCAAAUUCACAUGACUACUAAUAGCAAGACUUCUCCCAUGUCCUCAGGAACAAACGUAACUACUCACAAAGCAUAUUCAUGUUCAUAAUCAGAGGGGUAUUAAUAUGCAUAAAGGAUCUGAACAUAUGAUUUUCCACCAAAUAAACCAACUAGCAUCAACUACAAGGAGUAAUUAACACUACUAGCAACCUACAGGUACCAAUCCCGGACUUGGAGACAAGAAUUGGAUACAAGAGAUGAACUAGGGUUUUGAGAGGAGAUGGUGCUGGUGAAGAUGUUAAUGGAGAUUGACCUCUCCCGAUGAGAGGAGCGUUGGUGAUGACGAUGGCGAUGAUUUCCCCCUCCCGGAGGGAAGUGUCCCUGACAGAACAGCUCCACCGGAGCCCUAGAUAGGUUCCGCCUCGUGGCGGCGGAGUCUCGUCCGGAAAGAUGGCUUAUGAUUUUUUCCUCAUUGAAAGACUCCAUAUAGCAGAAGGUGGCCAUCGGAGGGCCACCAAGGGGCCCACGAGGCAGGGGGCACACCCAGGGGCGCGCCCCCCACCCUCGUGGGCAGGGUGUGGCCCCCCUGGUGAACUUCUUAUGCUCGGUAUUUUUUAUAUAUUCUGAAAAUGACAUCUGUGAAGUUUCAGGACUUUUGGAGCUGUGUAGAAUAGGUCUCUAAUAUUUGCUCCUUUUCCAGCCCAGAAUCCCAGCUGCCGACAUUCUCCCUCUUUAUGUAAACCUUGUAAAAUAAGAGAGAAUAGGCAUAAGUAUUGUGACAUAAUGUAUAAUAACAGCCCAUAAUGCAAUAAAUAUCGAUAUAAAAGCAUGAUGCAAAAUGGACGUAUCAACUCCCCCAAGCUUAGACCUGCUUGUCCUCAAGCGAAAGCCAAAAUCGAAAAAUAUGUCCACAUGUUUAGAGAUAGAGGUGUCGAUAAAAAUAAAAUACAGACAUGAGGGCAUCAUGAUCAUUCUUAGAACAACAACUUAUAUAAUUCUUGUCAUAUGAUCUCUUAUGCUAGAGUAACAAUUCAAUCACAAUUUCAAGUAUGAAUCAUAAACUUCAUUGAAAACUAACAAACUACAAUCUCAGUCAUUGGAGCAAUUGCAACUUACCAUAACAUAGGAAAGAGUCAAUAUAUAAGAGCUUUUCAACAAGUCCACAUACUCAACUAUCAUAUAGUCUUUCACAAUUGCUAACACUCACGCAACACUUAUGGGUAUGGAGUUUUAAUCGGACACAGAGAAAGAUAGGGGCUUAUAGUUUUGCCUCCCAAUGUUUUACCUCAAGGGUAAUGUCAACAAUGAUAGUUCAUGAAAACUCACAUCCAAUUAGCCAUAUAUACCAGGAUCUUUCCAACAUGUUGUGCUUGCCAAAAGAUAAAAUUUAAAAAAGGAAGGGUGAAGAUCACCAUGACUCUUAUGUAAGGUAGGAGAUAAAAGUAAAAGAUAGGCCCUUCGCAGAGGGAAGCAGAGGUUGUCAUGCGCUUUUAUGGUUGGAUGCACAAAAUCUUAAUGCGAAAGAACAUCACUUUAUAUUGCCACUUGUGAUAUGGACCUUUAUUAUGCAGUCCAUCGCUUUUAUUUCUUCAAUAUCACACGAUCAUAUAAAGCUUAUUUUCUCCCACACUAAUAAGUCAUACAUAUUUAGAGAGCAAUUUUUAUUGCUUGCACCGAUGACAACUUACUUGAGGGAUCUUACUCAAUCCAUAGGUAGGUAUGGUGGACUCUCAUGGCAAAACUGGUUUAAGGGUGUUUGGAAGCACAAGUAGUAUCUCUACUUAGUGCAAAGAAUUUGGCUAGCAUGAGGGGGAAAGGUAAGCUCAAUCAUGUUGGAUGAUCCAUGACAAUAUAAUUUAUCUCAGAUGUAAGAAAACAUAACCAAUUAGGUCGUCUUCCUUGUCCAACGUCAACUCUUUAACAUGUCAUAUUUUGAUGAGUGCUCAUAAUCAUAAAAGAUGUCCAAGAUAGUGUAUUUAUAUGUGAAGACCUCUGUUUCUUUAUUACUUCCUAUUAAUUGCAACGAUGACCAAAACUAUGUUUUUCAACUCUCAACAACUUUUAUUCAUCAUACUCUUUCUAUGUGAGCUCAUUACUCUCCAUAAGAUCCAUAUGAUCUAUUUGUUCUACUAGAUCAUGGCAAAAUAAUCAAGCGCUUGAGUCAACACUAAUAUUUAUUAUAUAUAGCUCACGGACUCGAUUACAUAGAAGGAUCAUAAAGCAAAACUCACAACUGGAUCAUACUAAAACUUUAUUCUACUAGAUCAAGAUAUUACCAAAAGGAUCGAACUAAGAAAGAUGGUAAAGAUAGAAGUGAUGGUGAUACGAUACCGGGGCACUCCCCCAAGCUUGGCAGUUGCCAAGGGGAGUGCACAUACCCAUGUGAUUAUGUCUCCUUCUUCGGGGAUGGUGAUGUGAUAUUCUUGGCGAUGAUGCCCCUCAGGAUACGAUUCUCCUCCUCGAACUUAUUGACUUGCUGCUUGAGGUCCAUUAUUUCCUUUCGAAGUUUUCCUGUAACAGCCAAAGCUCCCUGCACCCAAGGGUGUUGCAUAGCUGCGGGAGAACAAGUGACACUCUUUUUCAUAUUCUCAUAAGAAAGAAAUCUAACAUUGGAAGGGAUAACCGAAUUUUGGGAUAGUCGAGCUCUGCAGUCCCCCCAUUGUGAAUCCAGCUCGGAAGCGAGAAGUGACUUCUUGAUCCUCCUCCAUGGCAUCUAUCCUCUUCAAAUCAGCCUCCAUCUCUUACUCCGUUGCUGGCCCAAAGUGGUCAACAUUGUUGUUUGUCAUUGAUCUCGGUGCCGGAUGAGACACCCGGCUCUCUCCGACUGACUCUUGCGAAGACGUCUUGCUCUAAUCUGCAGCAGCAACAACUCGAAACACAAACAGAGGAUAAUUGCGUGAUACGGGAGUCAAAACCUUUGGAAGAUUAUAUAAUGAAUUUUUACCGACCAAAAUACGUAACGUGUAAGAAAACGGAGUCCGGAGAGCACACGAGGUGCCCACGAGGUAGGUGGGCGCGCCCUACCCCACCCUCGUGGAGGCCUCGUGUCCUUUCCGGACUGCUUCUUAUUUUUCUAUUUCUCUAAAUAUUCCAAAACGGAGAAAUAUUGCCAUAAAAACUGUUUUGGAGUCGGUUUACUUACCGUACCACAUACCUAUUCCUUUUCGGAGUCUGAAAUGUUCUGGAAAGUGUCCCUUAUGUAUUCCUCCAGGGUUACGGUUUCAAUAACAUUGGUUUCAACAUUUAUAGGAUUACCUGAGAUAUACUGUUUAAUUCUUUGACCGUUCACCACCUUCGGAUUUGUGCCUUCGAAAUUGUUGAUUUUUAUGGCACCGGAACGAUAGACCUCCUCGAUAACGUAAGGACCUUCCCAUUUAGAGGGAAGUUUUCCUGCGAAAAAUCUUAAACGAGAGUUGUAUAGCAAUACAUAAUCACCUAAAUUAAACUCAUGCUUUUGUAUUCUUUUGCCAUGCCAUCUUUUAACUUUUUCUUUAAAUAAUUUGGCAUUCUCAUAGGCUUGGGUUCUCCAUUCAUCAAGUGAGCUAAUGUCAAAUAACCUCUUCUCACCGGCAAGUUUGAAAUCAUAAUUGAGCUCUUUAAUAGCCCAAUAAGCCUUAUGUUCUAGUUCGAGAGGUAAGUGACAUGCUUUUCCAUAAACCAUUUUAUACGGAGACAUACCCAUAGGAUUUUUAUAUGCAGUUCUAUAGGCCCGUAAUGCAUCAUCAAGUUUCUUGGACCAAUUCUUUCUAGAUCUAUUAACAGUCUUUUGCAAAAUUAAUUUGAGUUCUCUAUUACUCAAUUCUACUUGACCACUAGACUGAGGGUGAUAAGGAGAUGCAAUUCUAUGAUUAACAUCGUACUUAGCAAUCAUUUUACGGAAAGCACCAUGAAUAAAACGUGAACCACCAUCAGUCAUUAAAUAUCUAGGGACUCCAAACCUCGGAAAAAUAACUUCUUUAAGCAUUUUAAUAGAAGUGUUAUGAACAACACUACUAGUUGGAAUAGCUUCUACCCACUUAGUAACAUAAUCAACAGCAACUAAAAUAUGUGUUUAUCCAUUAGAGGCAGGAAAAGGUCCCAUAUAAUCAAAGCCCCAAACAUCAAAUGGUUCAAUAACAAGUGAAUAAUUCAUAGGCAUUUCUUGACGUCUACUAAUAUUACCAAUUCUUUGACAUCCAUCACAAGACAAGACAAACUUACGGGCAUCCUUGAAGAGAGUAGGCCAAUAAAAACCGGAUUGCAAUACCUUAUGUGCAGUUUUGUCUCCAGCAUGGUGUCCUCCAUAAGCUUCGGAGUACACUUGUGUAGGAUCUGUUCCUGUUCAUGCUCAGGUACACAACGUCUAAUAACACCAUAUACUCCUUCUUUAUAAAGAUGUGGGUCAUCCCAGAAGUAAUGUCCUAAAUCAUAGAAAAACUUUUUCUUUUGCUGGUAUGUGAAACUAGGUGGUAUAAAUUUAGCAACAAUAUAAUUAGCAUAAUCAGCAUGCCAUGGAGUAGUACGAGAAGCAUUUAUGACAUUUAGUUGUUCAACAGGAAAGCUAUCAUCAAUAGGUAGUGGGUCAUGAAGAAUAUUUUCUAACCUAGACAAGUUGUCUGCAACGGGGUUCUCAGCUCCCUUUCUAUCAAUAAUAUGCAAAUCAAAUUCUUGUAGCAAGAGAACCCAUCUAAUAAGUCCAGGUUUAGCAUCUUUCUUUUCCAUAAGAUAUUUAAUAGUAGCAUGAUCUGUGUGAAUAGUUACUUUAGAAUCAAUAAUAUAGGGUCUAAACUUAUCACAAGCAAAUACAACUACUAGGAAUUCCUUUUCAGUAGUAGCAUAAUUUCUCUGAGCAUUGUCCAGAGUUUUACUAGCAUAUUGAAUAACAUUUAAUUUCUUAUCAACUCUUUGCCCUAGAACAACACCUACGGCAUAAUCACUAGCAUCACACAUAAUGUCAAAGGGUAAAUUCAAAUCAGGUGGCUGAACAAUAGGUGCAGAGAUUAAUGCUUUCUUCAGUAUUUCAGAUGCUUCUACGCAAUCAUCAUCAAAAACAAAUGGUAUAUCUUUUUGUAAUAAAUUAGUGAGAGGCCGAGAAAUUUUUGAGAAGUCCUUAAUGAACCUCCUAUAAAAACCGGCAUGACCAAGGAAACUUCUUAUACCUUUGAUGUCCUUGGGACAUGGCAUCUUUUAAAUAGAAUCUACCUUGGCUUUAUCAACUUCAAUACCUCUUUCAGAAACUUUAUACCCCAAGACAAUACAUUCAUUAACCAUAAAGUGACAUUUCUCCCAAUUCAAGACAAGGUUAGUUUCUUCACAUCUCUACAAAACUCGAUCAAGGUUGCUUAAGCAAUCAUCAAAAGAGGAUCCAUAGACGGAGAAAUCAUCCAUGAAAACCUCACAAAUCUUUUCACAAAAGUCAGAGAAUAUAGCCAUCAUGCAUCUUUGAAAGGUAGCUGGUGCAUUACAUAAACCAAAAGGCAUACGUCUAUAAGCAAAAGUACCAAAAGGCCAAGUAAAAGUAGUCUUUGAUUGAUCAUUGGCUGACACAUGUAUUUGGGAGAAACCAGAAUAACCAUCUAGAAAGCAAAAAUGUGUAUGCUUGGAUAAUCUUUCUAGCAUUUGAUCGAUAAAAGGUAAGGGGUAAUGAUAUUUUUUAGUAGCUUUAUUUAAUUUGCGGAAAUAAAUUACCAUCCUAUAACCUGUAAUAAUUCUUUGCGGGAUCAACUCAUCUUUAUCAUUAGGAACGACAGUAAUACCUCCCUUCUUAGGGACACAAUGGACAGGACUUACCAACUGACUAUCAGCAACGGGAUAAAUUAUACUUGCCUCAAGGAGCUUUAGUAUUUCCUUUCUUACCACUUCCUUCAUCUUAUGAUUCAGCCGUCGUUGAUGAUCACAAACUGGUUUGGCAUCUUCCUCCAAAUUUAUUUUGUGUUGACACAGAGUGGGACUAAUGCCCUUAAGAUCAUCAAGAGUAUAUCCAAUAGCAGUGUGGUGCUUCCUCGGAGUUUUCAAUAAUCUCUCUUCUUCAUGCUCUGAAAGGUUAGCACUAAUAAUAACAGGAUAUAUCUUCUUUUCAUCAAGAUAAGCAUAUUUAAGAGUAUCAGGUAACAGUUUAAGCUCAAACACGGGAUCACCCUUGGGUGGAGGAGGACCCCCUAGGAUUUCAACAGGCAAAUUGUGUUUCAGGAUGGGUUCGUAUUUAAAGAAUACUUCAUCUAUUUCCGUUCUUUCAUUCAUAAACAUAUCAUUUUCAUGGUCUAGCAAAUAUUGUUCUAAAGGAUCUCUAGGAGGCACAACAAUAGAAGCAAGACCAAUAAUUUCAUCUUUACUAGGCAAUUCCUCUUCACGGUGUUGUCUACAAAAUUUAGAGAAAUUAAAUUCAUGAGACAAAUCACCCAAACCAAUAGUAACAACAUCCUUUUUGCAAUCUAUCUUAGCAUUAACUGUGUUCAAGAAGGGUCUACCAAAUAUAAUGGGACAAAAUCUAUCUUGUGGGGAACCAAGAACAAGAAAAUCAGUAGGAUAUUUAGUUUUCCCACACAAGACUUCAGCAUCUCUAACAAUCCCAAUUGGUGAAAUAGUGUCUCUAUUGGCAAGUUUAAUUGUAACAUCAAUAUCUUCUAACUCAGCAGGUGCAAUAUCAUGCAUAAUUUCUUUGUAUAAGUCAUGAGGUAUAGCACUAGCACUAGCAACCAUAUCACACAAGCCACGAUAACAAUGAUCUCCUAUUUUAACAACAUGCAUGCCUACCACAGGUCUAUGUUUAUCUUUAGCACAAGGUUUAGCAAUUCUAGCAGUUUCAUCACAGAAAUGAAUAACAUGCCCAUCAAUAUUAUCAGACAGGAGAUCUUUAACAAUAGCAAUAUUAGGUUCAACUUUAACUUGCUCAGGAGGUGUAUAAGUUCUAAUAUUGCUUUUAUGAACCACAGUUGAAACUUUAGCAUGAUCUUUUAUCCUAACAGGAAAAGGUGGUUUCUCAACAUAAGCAGUAGGAACAAUAGGAUCAUUAUAGGUGACAGUCUUUUCUUCAACUUUAAUAGGUGCAGCUACUUUUACUUCUAUGGGAGGAUGAUAUUUAAACCACUUCUCCCUAGGGAGAUCAACAUGAGUAGCAAAAGGUUCACAGAAAGAGGCUACUAUCUCAGAGUCAAGUCCAUAUUUAGUGCUAAACUUACGGAAAACAUCGGUAUACAUAAAAGAUUUAACACAAUCAAACUUAGGUGUCAUACCUGACUCCUUACCUUCGUCGAGGUCCCAAUCUUCAGAGUUGCAUUUAAUUAUUUCCAAUAAAUCCCAUUUGAAUUCAAUAGUCUUCAUCAUAAAAGAGCCAACACAAGAAGUAUCGAGCAUGGUGCGAUUAUUAUCAGAAAGCCGAGCAUAAAAAUUUUGAAUAGUCAUUUCUCUUGAGAGCUCAUGAUUGGGGCAUGAAUAUAACAUUGAUUUAAGCGUCCCCCAAGCUUGAGCGAUGCUUUCUCCUUCGCGAGGCCAGAAAUUAUAUAUAUAAUUGCGAUCACGAUGAACAAGAUGCAUAGGAUAAAACUUCUGAUGAAAUUCCAGUUUCAAUCGUUUGUAGUUCCAUGACCCCGUAUCAUCACAUAGCCUAUACCAUGUCAAUGCAUCUCCCUUCAAAGAUAAAGGGAAGACAUUCUUCUUAAUAACAUCUCCGGGCACACCUGCAAGCUUAAAUGAUCCACAAACUUCAUCCACAUAUAUUAGGUGCUCAUCAGGAUGCUUUGUUCCAUCUCCUGCAAAAGGAUUAGCUAGCAGUUUUUCUAACAUACCCGAAGGAAUUUCAAAGAAGACAUUUUCAUUUUCAGUAGGUUCAGUAGGUUGAGGAGCAACUCUUUGCUCUACUGGUCGGGGUGAAGAUACCCCGAACAAGCUCCUCAGAGGAUUACUUUCCAUAGUAACAAGUGACAGUAAAUUUCAGCACACUAUAUAAAUUCUUCCUAACCAAAUUCCACCUACCAAAGGCGCUUCACUCCUAGGCAACGGUGCCAGAAAAGAGUCUUGAUGACCCACAAGUAUAGGGGCUCUAUCAUAGUCCUUUCAAUAAGUAAGAGUGUCGAACCCAACGAGGAGCAGAAGGAAAUGAUAAGCGGUUUUCAGCAAGGUAUUUUCUGCAAGCACUGAAAUAAUAGGUAGCAGAUAGUUUUGUGAUAGGAUAAUUUGUAACGAGCAACAAGUAACAAAAGUAAAUAAAGUGCAGCAAGGUGGCCCAAUCCUUUUUGUAGCAAAGGAAAAGCCUGGACAAACUCUUAUAUAUAGAAAAGCGCUCCCGAGGACACAUGGGAAUAUCGUCAAGCUAGUUUUCAUCACGUUCAUAUGAUUCGAGUUCGGUACUUUGAUAAUUUGGUAUGUGGGUGGACCGGUGCAUGGGUGCUGUCCUUAAUUGGACAAGCAUUCCACUUAUGAAUAACCUCUAUUGAAAGCAUCCGCAACUACAACAAAAGUAUUAAGGUAAACCUAACCAUAGCAUGAAACAUGUGGAUCCAAAUCAGCCCCUUACGAAGCAACACAUAAACUAGGGUUUAAGCUUCUGUCACUCUAGCAACCCAUCAUCUACUUAUUACUCCCAAAUGCCUUCCUCUAGGCCCAAAUAAUGGAUAAGUGUCAUGUAGUCGACGUUCACAUAACACCACUAGAGGAGAGACAACAUACAUCUCAUCAAAAUAUCGAACGAAUAUCAAAUUCACAUGACUACUAAUAGCAAGACUUCUCCCAUGUCCUCAGGAACAAACGUAACUACUCAAAAAGCAUAUUCAUGUUCAUAAUCAGAGGGGUAUGAAUAUGCAUAAAGGAUCUGAACAUAUGAUCUUCCACCAAAUAAACCAACUAGCAUCAACUACAAGGAGUAAUUAACACUACUAGCAACCUACAGGUACCAAUCCUGGACUUGGAGACAAGAAUUGGAUACAAGAGAUGAACUAGGGUUUUGAGAGGAGAUGGUGAUGGUGAAGAUGUUGAUGGAGAUUGCCCUCUCCCGAUGAGAGGAGCGUUGUGAUGACGAUGGCGAUGAUUUCCCCCUCCCGGAGGGAAGUGUCCCCGGCAGAACAGCUCCACCGGAGCCCUAGAUUGGUUCCGCCAAGGUUCCGCCUCGUGGCGGCGGAGUCUCAUCCGGAAAGAUGGCUUAUGAUUUUUUACUCAUCGAAAGACUCCUUAUAGCAGAAGAUGGCCACCAGGGGGCCCCCGAGGUAGGGGGCGCGCCCAGGGGGGUAGGGCGUGAUACGUCUCCAACGUAUCUAUAAUUUUUGAUUGCUCCAUGCUAUAUUAUCUACUGUUUUGGACAUUAUUGGGCUUUAUUAUCCACUUUUAUAUUAUUUUUGGGACUAACCUAUUAACCGGAGGCCCAACCGAGAAUUGUUUUUUUUUUUGCCUAUUUCAGAGUUUCGCAGAAAAGGAAUAUCAAACGGAGUCCAAAUGGAAUGAAACCUUCGGGAACGUGAUUUUUAGGAAGAUUAUGAUCCAGGAGACUUGGACUCUACGUUAAGAAAUNNNNNNNNNNNNNNNNNNNNNNNNNNNNNNNNNNNNNNNNNNNNNNNNNNNNNNNNNNNNNNNNNNNNNNNNNNNNNNNNNNNNNNNNNNNNNNNNNNNNNNNNNNNNNNNNNNNNNNNNNNNNNNNNNNNNNNNNNNNNNNNNNNNNNNNNNNNNNNNNNNNNNNNNNNNNNNNNNNNNNNNNGACGUACUCCUUCCUCCUAUAUAUACCUACGUACCCCCAAAUGAUCAGAGACGGAUCCAAAAAACCUAAUUCCACCGCCGCAACCUUCUGUAUCCACGAGAUCCCAUCUUGCGGCCUGUUCCGGAGCUCCGCCGGAGGGGGCAUCCAUCACGGAGGGCUUCUACAUCAACACCAUAGCCUCUCCGAUGAAGUGUGAGUAGUUUACCUCAGACCUUCGGGUCCAUAGUUAUUAGCUAGAUGGCUUCUUCUCUCUUUUUGGAUCUCAAUACAAUGUUCUCCCCCUCUCUUGUGGAGAUCUAUUCGAUGUAAUCUUCUUUUUGCGGUGUCUUUGUUGAGAUCGAUGAAUUGUGGGUUUAUGAUCAAGAUUAUCUAUGAACAAUAUUUGAAUAUUCUCUGAAUUCUUUUAUGUAUGAUUGGUUAUCUUUGCAAGUCUCUUUGAAUUAUCAGUUUGGUUUGGCCUACUAGAUUGAUCUUUCUUGCAAUGGGAGAAGUGCUUAGCUUUGGGUUCAAUCUUGCGGUGUCCUUUCCAGUGACAGUAGGGGCAGCAAGGCACGUAUUGUAUUGUUGCCAUCGAGGAUAACAAGAUGGUUUUUUAUCAUAUUGCAUGAAUUUAUCCCUCUACAACAUGUCAUCUUGCUUAAGGUGUUACUCUGUUAUCAUGAACUUAACACUCUAGAUGCAUGCUGGAUAGCGGUCGAUGAGUGGAGUAAUAGUAGUAGAUGCAGGCAGGAGUCGGCCUACUUGUCUUGGACGUGAUGCCUAUAUACAUGAUCAUACCUAGAUAUUCUCAUAACUAUGCUCAAUUCUGUCAAUUGCUCAACAGUAAUUCGUUCACCCACCGUAAAAUACUUAUGCUCUUGAGAGAAGCCACUAGUGAAACCUAUGGCCCCCGGAUCUAUCUUCAUCAUAUUAAUCUUCCAAUACUUAGUUAUUUCCUUUGCUUUUAUUUUACUUUGCAUCUUUAUCACAAAAAUACCAAAAAUAUUAUUCUAUCAUAUCUCACUCUCGUAAGUGACCGUGAAGGGAUUGACAACCCCUUAUCGUGUUGGUUGCGAGGAGUUAUUUAUUUUGUGCAGGUACGAGGGACUCACGCAUAGCCUCCUACUGGAUUGAUACCUUGGUUCUCGAAAACUGAGGGAAAUACUUAUGCUACUUUGCUGCAUCAUCUUUUCCUCUUCAAGGAAAUCCAACGCAGUGCUCAAGAGGUAGCAAGAAGAUUUCUGGGGCAGUUGCCGGGGAGGUUCACGCAAGUCAAGAUUUGACUCACGAGCCAUUUCUGGCGUCGUUGCCGGGGAGUCUACGCAAAAGUCAACAUACCAAGUACCCAUCACAACCCUUAUCUCCCGCAUUACAUUAUUUGCCAUUUGCCUCUCAUUUUCCUCUCCCCCACUUCACCCUUGCCAUUUUAUUCGCCCUCUCUCUCUAUCCUCCCUCUCUUUCUCUAUUUGCCUCUUUUUGCCCGCUUGCUUUUUGCUUGCUGGUGUGUUGGAUUGCUUGCUUGUCACGAUGGCUCAAGAUAACACUAAAUUGUGUGACUUUACCAAUACCAACAACUAUGAUUUUAUUAGCACUCCGAUUGCUCCUCUUACCGAUGCUGAAUCUUGUGAAAUUAAUGCCGCUUUGCUGAAUCUUGUCAUGAAAGAUCCGUUUUCCGGCCUUCCUAGUGAAGAUGCCGCUACCCAUCUAAAUAGCUUCGUUGAUUUGUGUGAUAUGCAAAAGAAGAAAGAUGUGGACAGCGAUAUUGUUAAGUUGAAGCUAUUUCCUUUUUCACUUAGAGAUCGUGCUAAAGCUUGGUUUUUGUCUUUGCCUAAAACUAGUAUUGAUUCUUGGAACAAGUGCAAAGAUGCUUUUAUCUCUAAGUAUUUUCCUCCCGCUAAGAUAAUCUCCCUUAGAAACAAUAUUAUGAAUUUUAAGCAACUUGAUCAUGAACAUGUUGCACAAGCUUGGGAGAGGAUGAAAUUAAUGAUACAUAAUUGCCCUACUCAUGGUUUGAAUUUGUGGAUGAUUAUACAAAUUUUUUAUGCCGGAUUGAAUUUUGCUUCUAGAAAUCUAUUAGAUUCGGCCGCUGAAGGCACUUUUAUGGAAAUCACUUUAGGAGAAGCUACUAAACUCCUAGAUAAUAUUAUGGUUAAUUAUUCUCAAUGGCAUAUUGAAAGAUCUACUAAUAAGAAGGUGCAUGCGAUAGAAGAAAUUAAUGUUUUGAGUGGAAAGAUGGAUGAACUUAUGAAAUUAUCUACACUACUAUUAAACAAUCAAACAAGAUCUUUUUACGUGCACCCCGUAGUUAGUCCCACAACCCCGCACGAACCAAUUAGCACCACACAAUUAGGCCCACAAUUCUAAAUCUAACAACCAUGAUUGAUCUAAUAACUCUAUGGUGUGCACGUAGCAAUUUCCAAGGGCUGACCAUGCUUCACCAGGAGAGGAGUACUGGAACUACCAGCCCCGCGCCCCUACAAUCACGGAAAUCUGAUCGCACGCAACUCCACGCCCUUGUAUUGGAACUACCAGUCCCGCGGCCGCUACAAUCACGGAAAUCUGAUCGCAAACUAAGGCAACUCCACGCCCUUGACCUCGAGAUCAUCGUCUGGCAUGACGACAACCUGGUGUCGGACACUACCCACCAACGGCGUCUCCUGCCUGCACGAUGACCUCGCCGCACUGCACCGCUCCGUCGCCUCCCUGCAUGAUCGCCAUCGCCGAUUAUUGCCGCUCAUAGCGUGGCAUUCGUCCUGCGAGAUCGCCAACGCCCAGGAGAGAUAGAGCCUCCUGCCCCAGCACCGGCCCUGCUGCCGCGCCCGUGGCCACCCUGCACCCGUGCCCGCUCCCGCCGCGUCCCCCGAACCAGCCGACCACACAUAGCUGUGAUUCUCCCAUGCACUUCUUCAGGUUCAAUUUCUUCCUAGCUGUUGCAACAAUACUCAUGAUUAGUAGAUGUUUAAGAAUAGAGUUCUAACUAAUAAGCCUUUGCACCUUCAUCUGUCUUUCUAACAAAAUCAUGCACCCUAUCUCCUGCUCCUGGUGUCAAAAAAAAGUUGGCUUUCAGAAUUUACAAGAGUGACUUGUGCACAGUGUACAACUCUGCUGAAACACAAUAUCAACAAAUAGGACAAUGUGGUAUGUUUACAGAGAUGAAAUGGAUAUUGCUUAUCUGCCUGUUAGUAAUAUAAAGCCAACAUCUGAUGUUGAUGUUCAUGAUUAUAUGCACAAUAUCCAUGCUUGUAACAAUUUGAGACAUGAAUAUUCACAUGAAGGCGAGGUAUGUCAUCUCCCAGUCGUGCAGGGGUGCGCUCCCCAUUUCAGGAUUUAAGCAACAACCAGCCAUUGGGUGAGUAUCAUCAAGCAAUUCCUAAUUUGUGCUACUGUUUUUGUUGUUGCUCGUGUGCUAACUUGUGGAUAAAAUUUACUAUGAAUGCAGGCCCUCACAUCCAAAUCUCAGGGGUUAAGGUACCCCAACUCUGCAGAAUACGUGACCCAGAUUGCACCAUUUAAGAUGCGGGUUAGUUCGUCGAUUUAAUUAUGAUGCAAAUGUGUCAACAAUGUUUAUUUGACCAUAAAUCUGGGUUCUCUUUCCUUUGUUCAGGUAUAGAGCCUUUUAUCGGCUCCAAUCCACUUGAAAAUACGCCGUAUAAUGAUACAAGAGUCCUUGUCGAACCGUCUCUGCAUGGUACUCAAAACACUACAAAUCUGCUAAUUACUUUUGCCUAUCCUACGUCUACUAUAAUGCGUACAUUGUAUGGCUCUACUGUUCUUAUGAUUUUCCAUAAUGGGCAAUGACCAGACAAAUGAUCCAUAUGGAAUGUUUGAGCCCAUUGUUGAGCAAACCAAUUUAGAAGGUACAUUAUAUAUAAUUAUUCUUCACAUAUCAAGGUCUUCAUCUAUAAAUUUUCUACAUUUAUGAUUGGCAAAUAUAGUGCCUACAAGACUGCUUGGAGCCAUUGCAUAAUGGAGAAGCUGCAUACCAUGAACCUGAUGAAGAAGCUAGAAUAUUUGUGGAUCAAGGUAUGUCCAUUGUGUAAUUUCCUAUUUAGCACCCUCAAGUGUGCAUUUUAUGAUAUAGAUCAGGACUUGGUUCAUAGGGCUAAUAGGUCUCUAGAUCUUAAUUGACCUCAUACGGAAGAUUCUGCAAAUACUAGAGUGUAACCCUUAUGCGCAAGCUUUCAAGAGCCAUGGGUCUGUACCGAAUCUACAUGAGUACAAAAUCUCACUAAACACGGAUAUCAACUUGGAUCAACGAAGGUACAAUGCCCGGAUGACUUCUCAAGUGGCAAAGAUAUGGGUUGAAGGGAGCGACCCACAAAAUUACUUUGACAUGAGUGUUGUCGUGCAUGGAAUAAAGGGAGACCGACCCCUAUAUAUUAGAGCAGAUUAGGGGUGCUACAACCCAUUGUCAUAUCCACUAUUUUUCCCAUGUAGGGAGAUUGGUUGAAAUCAUUACAUGCCAUAUGUUGGGCCCCUGGCUGACAUGAUCAAAAAUUUAGUGAAUAUUUUGCACCACAAGGAAACCAAGCCUCUGAUUUCUAUACAGGUAUGAUGUUCACUAUUAAUCUAAAUCCUCACUAUUUAUGAAUGAAAACUUAUGUUUCCAUCUAUAUAUCAGAUCUAUCGGAUGAAAAUUUGAUUACUGAAAGAAAGUAUUGACGGGCACUGACUUUAAAAGACAAAUAUAGAACAUGACUGGAAUAACCAUAUAUGUAUGUACGGAAGAGAUCUAACUAUCAGGCGACGCAUUAGUAAUAGUGAAAUAAACAUAAUACCAGUCAGAGGUAUUCACAUCUGAAGUUUUCUUUUCUUUGUCGAUUUCACAUAUCCCUUGGUCCCUGCAGAGGAGAAAUACCAUAGAUCCCUAUCAUACUUCAAUACACAAGGUCCAGCAACAGAUUAAGCUAUAAUUUUGACAACAACACCUAAAAGGAAACCUAAAACCUUGUAAAGCAAACUGUUCUUUUUUUGACAAUGUAAUGCAAACAAAUACUCCCCCCGUAAAGAAAUAUAAGAGUGUUCUUGUAUUUCUCUAUAGAGGGAGUACCACUCUGCAAUGAGAACUACAACUAUCCAUUUCAGUUCAGACCUUUGUAUGUACCACUGUAUCUCGCUACUAAAAAGGUAAAAUAGGAACAACAUGGAGAAACGAGUUUACAGUACCAACAACAUGGAGAAAAGAGUUCAUUACAUAUGAUUAAUAGUAACGUAAGCAUCAGAUCUUAAAUUUCGUCUAUAUUCAUAACAAAAGAUAUCAUUGCUGCUACUCAUAGGAAUAGAUAUUGCAGUAUCAGCUAUAUGAUAUCUGCAAUUUUGUACUCCCUCUGUAACCAACUAAGUUACAGGCUGCUGGUCAGUACAACUCAUAGGAAGAAAUUUAGUUAGUACAACCAGAUACUAGAACUCACAGGAAGAAAUAUUAUAGUUAGUAGAACCAAUUCUGAAAUUUAGUAGUUACGCGUGGGCUCACCAGCUGCCAUUGGCGCGCGGAGUGGGAGUUCUCGCAGUCGGCAAAGGCGAUGAUGAGCGCGACGCCUGCGGUGGUCUGCACCGCCAGAACCAUCCAGCGCUUGCUUCUUCGACCCCUCCCCCUCCGCGGGCCAACGCGCAUAUGGGGUUUGGCAUGGGCAGCUCGCCGGUGAAAGCGAAGCAUCCGAACCGCUCAAGCUGGUGAGGCGUCGGGGCCUGCUCCCUGCUCGGGCAACGCCAGCACAGGAUGGCCACGGCCACCGAUGCAGAUGAGACGAAUCCCGGGCCACCGCGUCCGCCUCAGGCGGCCCCUUGCGCUCGGUCGCUCGUGAGCUUGCCGAGCUCGAGUGUUGUUACCUCUUUUAGCACUGCGUUGGUUUUCCCCGAAGAGGAAGGAAUGAUGCAGCAAAGUAGCGUAAGUAUUUCCUUCAGUUUUUGAGAACCAAGGUAUCAAUCCAGUAGGAGGCUACGCGCGAGUCCCUCGUACCUGCACAAAACAAAUAAAUCCUCGCAACCAACGAAAAUAGGGGUUGUCAAUCCCUAUAGGGCCACUUACGAGAGUGGGAUCUGAUAGAUAUGAUAAGAUAAUAUUUUUGGUAUUUUUAUGAUAAAGAUGCAAAGUAAAAUAAAGGCAAAGUAAAUAGCAAAAUAAAUAACUAAGUAGUAGGAGAUUAAUAUGAUAAAGAUAGACCCGGGGGCCAUAGGUUUCACUAGUGGCUUCUCUCGAGAGCAUAAGUAUUCUACGGUGGCUGAACAAAUUACUGUUGAGCAAUUGACAGAAUUGAGCAUAGUUAUGAGAAUAUCUAGGUAUGAUCAUGUAUAUAGGCAUCACGUCCGGUACAAGUAGACAGACUCCUGCCUGCAUCUACUACUAUUACUCCACUCAUCGACCGCUAUCCAGCAUGCAUCUAGAGUAUUAAGUUAAAAACAGAGUAACGCCUUAAGCAAGAUGACAUGAUGUAGAGGGAUAGACUCAUGCAAUAUGAAGAAAACCCCAUCUUGUUAUCCUCGAUGGCAACAAUACAAUACGUGCCUUGCUGCCCUUACUGUCACCGAGAAAGGACACCGCAAGAUUGAACCCAAAGCUAAGCACUUCUCCCAUUGCAAGAAAUAUCAAUCUAGUAGGCCAAACCAAACUUAUAAUUCGAAGAGACUUGCAAAGAUAACCAAUCAUACAUAAAAGAAUUCAGAGAAGAUUCAAAUAUUAUUCAUAGAUAGACUUGAUCAUAAACCCACAAUUCAUCGGUCUCAACAAACACACCGCAAAAAGAAGAUUACAUCGAAUAGAUCUCCACAAGAGAGGGGGAGAACAUUGUAUUGAGAUCCAAAAAGAGAGAAGAAGCCAUGUAGCUACUAACUAUGGACCCGUAGGUCUGAGGUAAACUACUCACACUUCAUUGGAGAGGCUAUGGUGUUGAUGUAGAAGCCCUCUGUGAUUGAUGCCCCCUCCGGGGGAGCUCGAGAACAGGCCCCAAGAUGGGAUCUCGUGGAUACAGAAAGUUACGGCGGUGGAAUUAGGGUUUUGGCUCCGUAUCUGAUCGUUUGGGGGUACGUGGGUAUAUAUAGGAGGAAGAAGUACGUCGGUGGAGCAACAGGGGGCCCACGAGGGUGGCGGGCGCGCCUGGGGGGGAGGGGCAGGCGCGCCCCCUACCUCGUGGCCUCAUGUUAGUUGGCUUGAUGUAGGGUCCAAGUCUCCUGAGUUGUAUUCGGUGAGAAAAUCACGUUCCCGAAGGUUUCAUUCCGUUUGGACUCCGUUUGAUAUUCCUUUUCUUCGAAACCCUAAAACAUGCAAAAAACAGCAAUUCUGGGCUGGGCCUUCGGUUAAUAGGUUAGUCCCAAAAAUAAUAUAAAAGUGGAUAAUAAAGCCCAAUAAUGUCCAAAAUAGUAGAUAAUAUAGCAUGGAGCAAUCAAAAAUUAUAGAUACGUUGGAGACGUAUCAAGCAUCCCCAAGCUUAAUUCCUGCUCGUCCUCGAGUAGGUAAAUGAUAAAAACGGAAUUUUUGAUGCGGAGUGCUACUUGGCAUAAUUUUAAUGUAAUUCUUCUUAAUUGUGGUAUGAAUAUUCAGAUCCGAAAGAUUCAAGACAAAAGUUUAUAUUGACAUAGAAAAUAAUAAUACUUCAAGCAUACUAACAAAGCAAUUAUGUCUUCUCAAAAUAACAUGGCUAAAGAAAGUUAUCCCUACAAAAUCAUAUAGUCUGGCUAUGCUCUAUCUUCACCAGACAAAAUAUUUAAAUCAUGCACAACCCCGAUGACAAGCCAAGCAAUUGUUUCAUACUUUUGACAUUCUCAAAACUUUUUCAAUCUUCACGCAAUACAUGAGCGUGAGCCAUGGAUAUAGCACUAUAGGUGGAAUAGAGUGGUGGUUGUGGAGAAGACAAAAAGGGGAAGAUAGUCUCACAUCAACUAGGCGUAUCAACGGGCUAUGGAGAUGCCCAUCAAUAGAUAGCAAUGUGAGUGAGUAGGGAUUGCCAUGCAACGGAUGCACUAGAGCUAUAAGUAUAUGAAAGAUAAAAAAGAAACUAACUGGGUGUUCACCCAACUUGCUUGCUCAUGAAGACCUAGGGCAUUUUUGAGGAAGCCCAUCAUUGGAAUAUACAAGCCAAGUUCUAUACUGUAAGAUUCCCACUAGUAUAUGAAAGUGAUAACAUGAGAGACUCUCUACUAUGAAGAUCAUGGUGCUACUUUGAAUCACAAGUGUGGUAAAAGGAUAGUAACAUUGUCCCUUCUCUCUUUUUCUCUCAUUUUUUUAUUUGGGCCUUUUCUCUUUUUUUUAUGGCCUCUUUUUUUUCGUCCGGAGUCUCAUCCUGAAUUGUGGGGGAAUCAUAGUCUCCAUCAUCCUUUCCUCACUGGGACAAUGCUCUAAUAAUGAUGAUCAUCACACUUUUAUUUUUCUUACAACUCAACAAUUACAACUUGAUACUUAGAACAAAAUAUGACUCUAUGUGAAUGCCUCCGGCGGUGUACCGGGAUAUGCAAUGAUGCAUGAGUGACAAGUGUGAAAGAAUUAUGAACGGUGGCUUUGCCACAAAUACUAUGUCAACUACAUGAUCAUGCUACGCAAUAUAACAAUGAUGGAGUGUGUCAUAAACGGAACGGUGGAAAGUUGCAUGGCAAUAUAUCUCGGAAUGGCUAUGGAAAUGACAUAAUAGGUAGGUAUGGUGGCUGUUUUGAGGAAGGUAUAUGGUGGGUGUAUGAUACCGGCGAAAGGUGCGCGGUAUCAGAGAGGCUAGCAAGGGUGGAAGGGUGAGAGUGCGUAUAAUCCAUGGACUCAACAUUAGUCAUAAAGAACUCAUAUACUUAUUGCAAAAAUCUACAAGUUAUCAAAGCAAAGUAUUACGCACAUGCUCCUAGGGGGAUAGAUUGGUAGGAAAAGACCAUUGCUCGUCCCCGACCGCCACUCAUAAGGAAGACAAUCAAUAAAUAAAUCAUGCUCUGACUUCAUCACAUAACGGUUCACCAUACGUGCAUGCUACGGGAAUCAUAAGAUUCAACACAAGUAUUUCUCAAAUUCACAACUACUCAACUAGCAUGACUUUAAUAUCACCAUCUCCAGAUCUCAAAACAAUUAUCAAGUAUCAAACUUAUCAUAGUAUUCAACACACUCAUAAGAAAGUUUUAUUAUUAAUCUUGUAUACCAAGCAUAUUAGGAUUUUAAGCAAAUUACCAUGCUAUUAAGACUCUCAAAAUAAUCUAAGUAAAGCAUGAGAUAUCAAUAUUUUCUAUGAAACAAAUCCACCACCGUGCUCUAAAAGAUAUAAGUGAAGCACUAGAGCAAAAUUAUAUGACUCAAAAGAUAUAAGCGAAGCACAUAGAGUAUUCUAACAAAUUCCAAAUCAUGUAUGGCUCUCUCAAAAGGUGUGUACAGCAAGGAUGAUUGUGGUAAACUAAUAAGCAAAGACUCAAAUCAUACAAGACGCUCCAAGUAAAACACAUAUCAUGUGGUAAAUAAAAAUAUAGCUCCAAGUAAAGUUACCGAUAGAAGUAGACGAAAGAGGGGAUGCCUUCCGGGGCAUCCCCAAGAUUUGGCUUUUAGGUGUCCUUAGAUUAUCUUGGGGGUCCCAUGGGAAUCCCCAAGCUUAGGCUCUUUCCACCCCUUGUUCCAUAAUCCAUCAAAUCUUUACCCAAAAUUAGAAAACUUCGCAACACAAAACUUAAAGUAGAAAAUCUCGUGAGCUCCGUUAGUAAAAGAAAACAAAAGACCACUUCAAGGUACUAUAAUGAAAUCAUUAUUUAUUUAUAUGGGUGUUAUACCUACUGUAUUCCAACUUCUCUAUGGUUUAUAAACUAAUUUACUAGCCAUAGAUUCAUCAAAAUAAGCAAACAACACACGCAAAACAGAAUCUGUCAAAAACAGAACAGUCUGUAGUAAUCUGUAGCUAGCGCAAGAUCUGGAACCCCAAAAAUUCUAAAAUAAAUUUCUGGACGUGAAGAAUUUAUCUAUUAAUCAUCUUCAAAAAGAAUUAACUAAAUAUCACUUUCCAAAUAAAAAUGACAGCAGUUCUCGUGAGCGCUAAAGUUUCUGUUUUUUACAGCAAGUUCAACAAGACUUUCCCCAAGUCUUCCCAACGGUUCUACUUGGCACAAACACUAGUUAAACACAAAAACACACAACCAAAACAGAGGCUAAAUAAAUUAUUUAUUGAAUAACAGCAAGGAUAAAUAUUGGGUUGUCUCCCAACAAGCGCUUUUCUUUAAAGCCUUAUAGCUAGGCAUAAGAUUUCAACGAUGCUCACAGGAAAGACAAGAAUUGAAGCACAAAGAGAGCAACAUAAAAUGCGUGACAAACACAUCUAAGUCUAACAUACUUCCUAUGCAUAGGCACCUUAUAGGUAAACAAAUUAUCAAGGCAAGCAAAAACUAGCAUAUGCAAGGAAGCGGAAAUAAACAAUAGCAAUGUCGACAUAAUGAGAGGUAAUUUAGUAACAUGAAAAUUUCUACCACCAUAUUUUCCUCUCUCAUAAUAAUUACAUGUGGGAUCAUAAGCAAAUUCAACAAAAUAGCUAUCACAUAAAAUAUUUUCAACACGAUCCACAUGCAUGCAAAGUUGACACUCUUUCAAAAUAGUGGGAUUAACAUUAACUAAAGUCAUGACCUCUUCAAACCCACUUUUAUCAAAAACUUCAUAAGAUUGAACAUUAUCCAAAUAUGUGGGAUCUAAAGUUGACACUCUUGCAAACCCAGUUUCAAUAAUAUUGCAAACACUAUUAUCAAUCUCAUAUUCAUCAUGGGGCUUAAAUAAAUUUUCAAGAUCAUAAGAAGAAUCACCCCAAUCAUGAUCAUUGCAACAAGUAGAGGACAUUGCAAAACUAGCAUCCCCAAGCUUAGGGCUUUGCAUAUUAUUAGCACAAUUUACAUAAACAGAAUUUAUAAUAAAAUCAUUGCAAUCAUGCUUUUUAUUCAAAGAUCUAUCGUGAAUCGCUUCAUAAAUUAAUUCAUUACACUUUUCAGAUCCACGAAUUUCAAGCAAAACCUCAUAAAGAUAAUCUAGUGCACAAAACUCACUAGCACUUGGUUCAUCAUAUUUGGAUCUCUUAAAAAGAUUAGCAAGCGGAUGAGGAUCCAUAGAUCUUAGGUUCACUGUUUAGUAAUAAAUAAACAACUAUUCCAAUCAAACGAGAAAAUGAGCCAACUAAGGCAUUAAAGAAAACAGAAAAGAGGGCGAAUAAAAAUGUCAAGGGUGAAGUGGGGAGAGGAAAACGAGAGGCAAAUGGCAAAUAAUGUAAUGCGGGAGAUAAGGGUAUGUGAUGGGUACUUGGUAUGUUGACUUUUGCGUAGACCUCCCCGGCAACGGCGCCAGAAAUCCUUCUUGCUACCUCUUUUAGCACUGCGUUGGUAUUCCCCGAAGAGGAAGGGAUGAUGCAGCAAAGUAGCGUAAGUAUUUCCCUCAGUUUUUGAGAACCAAGGUAUCAAUCCAGUAGGAGGCUACGCGCAAGUCCCUCGUACCUGCACAAAACAAAUAAAUCCUCGCAACCAACGCAAAUAGGGGUUGUCAAUCCCUAUAGGGCCACUUACGAGAGUGAGAUCUGAUGGAUAUGAUAAGAUAAUAUUUUUGGUAUUUUUAUGAUAAAGAUGCAAAGUAAAAAUAAAGGCAAAGUAAAUAGCAAAAUAAAUAACUAAGUAGUAGGAGAUUAAUAUGAUAAAGAUAGACCCGGGGGCCAUAGGUUUCACUAGUGGCUUCUCUCGAGAGCAAUAAGUAUUCUACGGUGGGUGAACAAAUUGCUAUUGUGCAAUUGACAGAAUUGAGCAUAGUUAUGAGAAUAUCUAGGUAUGAUCAUGUAUAUAGGCAUCACGUCCAAGACAAGUAGACCGAUUCCUGCCUGCAUCUACUACUAUUACUCCACUCAUCGACCGCUAUCCAGCAUGCAUCUAGAGUAUUAAGUUAAAAACAGAGUAACGCCUUAAGCAAGAUGACAUGAUGUAGAGGGAUAGACUCAUGCAAUAUGAAGAAAACCCCAUCUUGUUAUCCUCAAUGGCAACAAUACAAUACGUGCCUUGCUGCCCUUACUGUCACCGGGAAAGGACACCGCAAGAUUGAACCCAAAGCUAAGCACUUCUCCCAUUGCAAGAAAGAUCAAUCUAGUAGGCCAAACCAAACUUAUAAUUCGAAGAUACUUGCAAAGAUAACCAAUCAUACAUAAAAGAAUUCAGAGAGGAUUCAAAUAUUAUUCAUAGAUAGACUUGAUCAUAAACCCACAAUUCAUCGGUCUCAACAAACACAUCGCAAAAAGAAGAUUACAUCGAAUAGAUCUCCACAAGAGAGGGGGAGAACAUUGUAUUGAGAUCCAAAAAGAGAUAAGAAGCCAUCUAGCUACUAACUAUGGACCCGUAGGUCUGAGGUAAACUACUCACACUUCAUCGGAGAGGCUAUGGUGUUGAUGUAGAAGCCUUCUGUGAUUGAUGCCCCCUCUGGCGGAGCUCCGGAACAGGCCCCAAGAUGGGAUCUCAAGGAUAAAGAAAGUUACGAUGGUGGAAUUAGGGUUUUGGCUCCGUAUCUGAUCGUUUGGGGGUACGUGGGUAUAUAUAGGAGGAAGAAGUACGUCGGUGGAGCAACAGGGGGCCCACGAGGGUGGAGGGCGCGCCUGGGGGGAGGCGCACCCAACCUCGUGGCCUCCUAUUAGUUGGCUUGACGUAGGGUCCAAGUCUCCUGAGUUGUAUUCGGUGAGAAAAUCACGUCCCGAAGGUUUCAUUCCGUUUGGACUCCGUUUGAUAUUCCUUUUCUUCGAAACCCUAAAACAGGCAAAAAACAACAAUUCUGGGCUGGGCCUCCGGUUAAUAGGUUAGUCCCAAAAAUAAUAUAAAAGUGGAUAAUAAAUCCCAAUAAUGUCCAAAACAGUAGAUAAUAUAGCAUGGAGCAACCAAAAAUUAUAGAUAUGUUGGAGACGUAUCAAGUGCCUCCUCGGGGACUUCAGGGACCGGAUCAACGAGAAGGGGCAUGUGGACCUCGCGCCGACUGUGGGGACGAAGGGUAGGGGCUGCCUACGAGGUGGAAAGGGGGAGCCGGCGAUCAGGAGAAUGGGGAAUGGCGUGGACAAUUGAGCAUACCCCGCGGGGGCGAUGGAGAGACUCAGAGUGAGCAGCGUUGUUCAUUUUUAACGGGUGUGUUUAAUUUAUCUACAUGGGUCUGAUCUUUCUAGGGAAGGUCUGAUUUUUUUAUCAUCAGUCUUGUCACAAGGAUUUCACAAAGAAAAUUUUCGUCGUAAUCAUUUGAUGAUUUUGAAAAUCUUGUAAAACUAUUUGUAAAUAAUUGAAUAUAUUAAAAUCCUGUAAUCACACAUGUCAUGUUGUGGUCUGCGAACAUUAAAUUUUACGGAUGUAAAAUUAAAAAUAGAUAUUUUUAUUAUUGAUUACGUUACGUGCGUUGCACGUGCACGUUUACUAGUUUGCUAAGAGUGUUUCUUCUGAUCCUAAUGAUAUGCCCUUUGUCUACUUUGAUUGAGAACAAUAAUGAAUCUAUGGAUGUGAAUUUUGUUGGUAGUGAUAAUUUUGUUAACAACGCGUAUAGAAGCAAAUAGGAAUUAUGUGCCCGUAGAUUUUAUUGUUGUUGACAUAGAUUGCAAUCCUUCAUGUCCUAUUAUCCUUGGUAGACCUUUCCUUAGAACGAUUGGUGCAAUUAUUGAUAUGAAGGAAGGAAAUAUUAGAUUCCAAUUUCCGUUAAGGAAAGACAUGGAACACUUUCCUAGAAAGAAAAUUGAAUUACCUUAUGAAUCUAUUAUGAGAGCCACUUAUGGAUUGCCUACCAAAGAUGGCAAUACCUAGAUCUAUCCUUGCUUUUUAUGCCUAGCUAGGGGCGUUAAACGAUAGUGCUUGUUGGGAGGCAACCCAAUUUUAUUUUUAUUCCUUACUUUUUGCUCAUGUUUAGUAAUAUAAAUAAUUUACCUAGCCUCUGUCUUGGUUGUGUUGAAUUAGUGUUUGUGCCAAGUAGAACCGUUGGGAAGACUUGGGGAAAGUCUUGUUAUCUUGCUGUAAAAAACAGAAACUUUAGCGCUCACGAGAACUGCUUCCAUUUUUAUUUGGAAAGUGCUAUUUAGUUAAUUAUUUUUGAAGAUGAUUAAUAGAUAAAUUCCUCACGUCCAGAAAUUCAUUUUAGAAUUUUUGGGGUUCUAGAUCUUGCGCUAGUUACAGAUUACUACAGACUGUUCUGUUUUUGACAGAUUCUGUUUUACGUGUGUUGUUUGCUUAUUUUGAUGAAUCUAUGGCUAGUAAAAUAGUUUAUAAACCAUAGAGAAGUUGGAAUAAAGUAUGUUUAACACCAAUAUAAAUAAGGAAUGAUUUCAUUAUAGUACCUUGAAGUGGUCUUUUGUUUUGUCUCGCUAACUGUGCUCACGAGAUUUUCUACUUUAAGUUUUGUGUUGUGAAGUUUUCAAGUUUUGGGUAAAGAUUUGAUGGAUUAUGGAACAAGGAGUGUCAAGAGCCUAAGCUUGGGAAUUCCCAUGGAACCCCCAAGAUAAUCUAAGGACACCUAAAAGCAAAAGCUUGGGGAUGCCUCGGAAGGCAUCCCCUCUUUCGUCUACUUCCAUCGGUAACUUUACUUGGAGCUAUAUUUUUAUUCACCACAUGAUAUGUGUUUUGCUUGGAGCGUCUUGUAUGAUUUGAAUCUUUGCUUUUUAGUUUACCACAAUCAUCCUUGCUGUACACACCUUUUGAGAGAGCCAUACAUGAUUUGGAAUUUGUUAGAAUACUCUAUGUGCUUCACUUAUAUCUUUUGAGUUAUAUAGUUUUGCUCUAGUACUUCACUUAUAUCUUUUAGAGCACGGUGGUGGAUUUGUUUUAUAGAAAAUAUUGAUCUCUCAUGCUUCACUGAGAUUAUUUUGAGAGUCUUAAAUAGCAUGGUAAUUUGCUUAAAUAAUCCUAAUAUGCUAGGUAUUCAAGAUUAGUAAAAAAUUUCUUAUGAGUGUUUUGAAUAGUAAGAGAAGUUUGAUGCUUGAUGAUUGUUUUGAGAUAUGGAGGUAAUAAUAUCAAAGUCGUGCUAGUUGAGUAGUUGUGAAUUCGAGAAAUGCUUGUGUUGAAGUUUGCAAGUCCCGUAGCAAGCACGUAUGGCAAAUGUUAUGUAACAAAUUUGAAACCUGAGGUGUUCUUUGAUUGUCCUCCUUAUGAGUGGCGAUCGGGGACGAGCGAUGGUCUUUUCCUACCAAUCUAUCCCCCUAGGAGCAUGCGCGUAGUGCUUGGUUUUUGAUGACUUGUAGAUUUUUGCAAUAAGUAUGUGAGUUCUUUAUGACUAAUGUUGAGUCCAUGGAUUAUACGCACUCUCACCCUUCCAUCAUUGCUAGCCUCUUCGGUACUGUGCAUUGCCCUUUCUCACAUUGAGAGUUGGUGCAAACUUCACCGGUGCAUUCAAACCCCGUGAUAUGAUAAGCUCUUUCACACAUAAACCUCCUUAUAUAUUCCUCAAAACAGCCACCAUACCUACCUAUUAUGGCAUUUCCAUAGCCAUUCCGAGAUAUAUUGCCAUGCAACUUUACACCAUUCCGUUUAUCAUGACACAUUCAUCAUUGUAAUAUUUCUUAGCAUGAUCAUGAAGUUGACAUAGUAUUUGUGGCAAAGCCACCAUUCAUCAUUCUUUCAUACAUGUCACUCUUGGUUCAUUGCAUAUCCCGGUACACCGCCGGAGGCAUUCAUAUAGAGUCAUCUUUUGUUCUAGCAUCGAGUUGUAAGCAUUGAGUUGUAAAUAAAUAGAAGUGUGAUGAUCAUCAUUUUCUAGAGCAUUGUCCCAAGUGAGGAAUUAAAAAAAGGAGAGAGAAAAGGAGAGAAGGGACAAUGCUACUAUCCUUUGCCACACUUGUGCUUCAAAGUAGCACCAUAAUCUUCAUGAUAGAGAGUCUUUUGUUUUGUCACUUCCAUAUACUAGUGGGAAUUUUUCAUUGUAGAACUUGGCUUGUAUAUUCCAACAAUGGGCCUCCUCAAGUGCCCUAGGUCUUUGUGAGCAAGCAAGUUGGAUGUACACCUACUUAGUUUCUUUUGUUGAGCUUUCAUACAUUUAUAGCUCUAGUUCAUCCGUUGCAUGGCAAUCCCUACUCCUUGCAUUAACAUCAAUCGAUGGGCAUCUCCAUAGCCCAUUGAUUAGCCUCGUUGAUGUGAGACUUUCUCCUUUUUUGUCUUCUCCACAUAACCCCCAUCAUUAUAUUCUAUUCCACCCAUAGUGCCAUGUCCAUGGCUCGCACUCAUAUAUUGCGUGAAAGUUUAUAUGUUUGAGAUUACUAAAGUAUGAAACAAUUGCUUGGCUUGUCAUCGGGGUUGUGCAUGAUGAGAGCAUUCUUGUGUGACGAAAAUGGAGCAUGACUAAACUAUAUGAUUUUGUAGGGAUGAACUUUCUUUGGACAUGUUAUUAUGAGAAGACAUAAUUGCUUAGUUAGUAUGCUUGAAGUAUUAUUAUUUUCAUGUCAAUAUGAACUUUUAUCUUGAAUAUUUAGGAUCUGAAUAUUCAUACCACAAUUAAGAAGAAUUACAUUAAAAUUAUGCCAAGUAGCACUCCGCAUCAAAAUUAUCUUUUUUAUCAUUUACCUACUCGAGGACGAGCAGGAAUUAAGCUUGGGGAUGCUUGAUAUGUCUCCAACGUAUCUAUAAUUUUUGAUUGCUCCAUGUUAUAUUAUCUACUAUUUUGGACAUUAUUGGGCUUUAUUAUCCACUUUUAUAUUAUUUUUGGGACUAACCUAUUAACUGGAGGCCCAGCCCAGAAUUGUCGUUUUUUGCCUAUUUCAGAGUUUCGCGGAAAAGGAAUAUCAAAUAGAGUACAAAUGGAAUGAAACUUUCGGGAACGUGAUUUUUAGGAAGAUUAUGAUCUAGGAGACUUGGACCCUACAUCAAGAAAUAAAGGAGGAAGCCACGAGGUAGGGGGCGCGCCUACCCCCCAGGCGCGCCCUCCACCCUCGUGGGCCCCCUGUUGCUCCACCGACGUACUCCUUCCUCCUAUAUAUACCUACGUGCCCCCAAACGAUCAGAGACGGAGCCAAAAAAACCUAAUUCCACCGCCGCAACCUUCUGUAUCCACGAGAUCCCAUCUUGGGGCCUGUUUGGGACCUCCGCCGGAGGGGGCAUCCCUCACGGAGGGCUUCUACAUCAACACCAUAGCCUCUCCGAUGAAGUGUGAGUAGUUUACCUCAGACCUUCGGGUCCAUAGUUAUUAGCUAGAUGGCUUCUUCUCUCUUUUUGGAUCUCAAUACAAUGUUCUCCCUCUCUCUUGUGGAGAUCUAUUCGAUGUAAUCUUCUUUUUGCGAUGUGUUUGUUGAGAUCGAUGAAUUGUGGGUUUAUGAUCAAGAUUAUCUAUGAACAAUAUUUGAAUCUUCUCUAAAUUCUUUUAUGUAUGAUUGGUUAUCUUUGCAAGUCUCUUCGAAUUAUCAGUUUGAUUUGGCCUACUAGAUUGAUCUUUCUUGCAAUGGGAGAAGUGCUUAGCUUUGGGUUCAAUCUUGCGGUGUCCUUUCCCAGUGACAGUAGGGGCAGCAAGGCACGUAUUGUAUUGUUGCCAUCGAGGAUAACAAGAUGGGGUUUUUAUCAUAUUGCAUGAAUUUAUCCCUCUACAUCAUGUCAUCUUGCUUAAGGCGUUACUCUGUUAUCAUAACUUAAUACUCUAGAUGCAUGCUGGAUAGCGGUCGAUGAGUGGAGUAGUAGUAGAUGCAGGCAGCAGUCGAUCUACUUGUCUCGGACGUGAUGCCUAUAUACAUGAUCAUACCUAGAUAUUCUCAUAACUAUGCUCAAUUCUGUCAAUUGCUCAACAGUAAUUCGUUCACCCACCGUAAAAUACUUAUGCUCUUGAGAGAAGCCACUAGUGAAACCUAUGGCCCCCGGGUCUAUCUUCAUCAUAUUAAUAUUCCAAUACUUAGUUAUUUCCUUUGCUUUUUAAUUUGCUUUUAUUUUACUUUGCAUCUUUAUCACAAAAAUACCAAAAAUAUUAUUCUAUCAUAUCUAUCAGAUCUCACUCUCGUAAGUGACCGUGAAGGGAUUGACAACCCCUUAUCGCGUUGGUUGCGAGGAGUUAUUUGUUUUGUGCAGGUACGAGGGACUCUCGCAUAGCCUCCUACAGGAUUGAUACCUUGGUUCUCAAAAACUGAGGGAAAUACUUACGCUACUUUGAUGCAUCAUCCUUUCCUCUUCAAGGAAAUCCAACGCAGUGCUCAAGAGGUAGCAUGGCGCGCCCCCCACCCUCGUGGGCAGGGUGUGGCCCCCCUGGUGAACUUCUUGUGCUCGGUAUUUUUUAUAUAUUCUGAAAAUGACUUCCGUGAAGUUUCAGGACUUUUGGAGCUGUGCAGAAUAGGUCUCUAAUAUUUGCUCCUUUUCCAGCCCAGAAUCCCAGCUGCCGGCAUUCUCCCUCUUUAUGUAAACCUUGUAAAAUAAGAGAGAAUAGGCAUACAUAUUGUGACAUAAUGUGUAAUAACAUCCCACAAUGCAAUAAAUAUCGAUAUAAAAGCAUGAUGCAAAAUGGACGUAUCAUUGGUAGAUUUGUUUUAUAGAAACCAUUGUUCUCUCAUGCUUCACUUAUGGUAAUUUUCUUAAAUUAUGUUAGGCAUUCAAGAUUAAUAAUAAAAUUUUCUUAUGAGUGUGUUGAAUACUAUGAGAAGUUUGAAACUUGAUAAUUGUUUUUGAAAUAUGGAGAUGGUGAUAUUAGAGUCGUGCUAGUUGAGUAGUUGUGAAUUUGAGAAAUGCUUGUGUUGAAGUUUGUGAUUCUCGUAGCAUGCACGUAUGGUGAACCAUUAUGUUAAGAAGUCGGGGCACGAUGUAUUUAUUGAUUGUCCUCCUUAUGAGUGGAGGUCGGGGACGAGCGAUGGUCUUUUCCUACCAAUCUAUCCCCCUAGGAGCAUGUGCGUAAUACUUUGCUUCGAUAACUAAUAGAUUUUUGCAAGUAUGUGAGUUCUUUAUGACUAAUGUUGAGUCCAUGGAUUAUACGCACUCUCACCCUUCCACCAUUGCUAGCCUCUCUAAUACCGCGCACCUUUCGCCGGUAUCAUACACCCACCAUAUACCUUCCUCAAAACAGCCACCAUACCUACCUAUCGUGGCAUUUCCAUAGCCAUUCCGAGAUAUAUUGCCAUGCAACUUUCCACCGCUUCGUUUACUAUGACACGCUCCAUCAUUGUCAUAUUGCUUCGCAUGAUCAUGUAGUUGACAUUUUAGUUGUGGCAAAGCCACCCUUCAUAAUUGUUUCAUAUAAGUCACUCAUGCAUCAUUGCUAUCCUGGUACACCGCCAGAGGCAUUCAUAUAGAGUCAUACUUUGUUCUAGUAUCGAGUUGUAAUCAUUGAGUUGUAAACAAAUAGAAGUGUGAUGAUCAUCAUUCAUAGAGUAUUGUCCCCCAAAAAAGAGAAAGGCCAAAUAAAAAAAAGAAGGCCCAAAAAAUAUAAGUAAAAAGGGGCAAUACUACUAUCCUUUUUUCCACACUUGUGCUUCAAAGUAGCACCACGAUCUUCAUGAUAGAGAGUCUCUUAUGCUAUCACUUUCAUAUACUAGUGGGAAUUUUUCAUUAUAGAACUUGGCUUGUAUAUUCCAACGAUGGGCUUCCUCAAAUGCCCUAGGUCUUCAUGAGCAAGCAAGUUGGAUGCACACCCACUUAGUUUAUUUUGUUGAGCUUUCAUAUACUUAUAGCUCUAGUGCAUCCGUUGCAUGCCAAUCCCUACUCACUCACAUUGAUAUCUAUUGAUGGGCAUCUCCAUAGCCCGUUAAUACGCCUAGUUGAUGUGAGACUAUCUUCUCCCUUUUUGUCUUCUCCACAACCACCAUUCUAUUCCACCUGUAGUGCUAUGUCCAUGGCUCACGCUCAUGUAUUGCGUGAAGAUUGAAAAAGUUUGAGAACACCAAAAGUAUGAAACAAUUGCUUGGCUUGUCAUCGGGGUUGUGCAUGAUUUGAAUACUUUGUGUGGUGAAGAUGGAGCAUAGCCAGACUAUAUGAUUUUGUAGUUUGGCCAUGUUAUUUUGAAGAGACAUAAUUGCUUAGUUAGUAUGCUUGAAGUAUUAUUAUUUCUAUGUUAAUAUUAAACUUUAGUCUUGAAUCUUUCGGAUCUGAAUAUUCAUACCAAAAUCAAGAGAAUUACAUUGAAAUUAUGCCAAGUAGCAUUCCACAUCAAAAAUUCUGUUUUUAUCAUUUACCUACUCGAGGACGAGCAGGAAUUAAGCUUGGGGAUGCUUGAUACGUCUCCAACGUAUCUAUAAUUUUUUAUUGUUCCAUGCUAUACUAUAUCCUGUUUUGGACAUUAUUGGGUUUAUUAUACACUUUUAUAUUAUUUUUGGGACUAACCUAUUAACCGGAGGCCCAACCCAGAAUUGCUUUUUUUUUUGCCUAUUUUAGGGUUUCGCAGAAAAAGAAUAUCAAACGGAGUCCAAACGGAAUGAAACCUUCGGGNNNNNNNNNNNNNNNNNNNNNNNNNNNNNNNNNNNNNNNNNNNNNNNNNNNNNNNNNNNNNNNNNNNNNNNNNNNNNNNNNNNNNNNNNNNNNNNNNNNNNNNNNNNNNNNNNNNNNNNNNNNNNNNNNNNNNNNNNNNNNNNNNNNNNNNNNNNNNNNNNNNNNNNNNNNNNNNNNNNNNNNNNNNNNNNNNNNNNNNNNNNNNNNNNNNNNNNNNNNNNNNNNNNNNNNNNNNNNNNNNNNNNNNNNNNNNNNNNNNNNNNNNNNNNNNNNNNNNNNNNNNNNNNNNNNNNNNNNNNNNNNNNNNNNNNNNNNNNNNNNNNNNNNNNNNNNNNNNNNNNNNNNNNNNNNNNNNNNNNNNNNNNNNNNNNNNNNNNNNNNNNNNNNNNNNNNNNNNNNNNNNNNNNNNNNNNNNNNNNNNNNNNNNNNNNNNNNNNNNNNNNNNNNNNNNNNNNNNNNNNNNNNNNNNNNNNNNNNNNNNNNNNNNNNNNNNNNNNNNNNNNNNNNNNNNNNNNNNNNNNNNNNNNNNNNNNNNNNNNNNNNNNNNNNNNNNNNNNNNNNNNNNNNNNNNNNNNNNNNNNNNNNNNNNNNACCCUAAUUCCACCGCCGUAACUUUCUGUAUCCACGAGAUCCCAUCUUGGGGCCUUUUCCGGAGCUCCGCCGGAGGGGGUAUUGAUCAUGGAGGGCUUAUACAUCAACACCAUAGCCUCUCCGAUGAAGUGUGAGUAGUUUACUUCAGACCUACAGGUCCAUAGUUAUUAGCUAGAUGGCUUCUUCUCUCUUUUUGGAUCUCAAUACAAAGUUCUCCCCCUCUCUUGUGGAGAUCUAUUCGAUGUAAUCUUCUUUUGCAGUUUGUUUGUUGAGAUCGAUGGAUUGUGGGUUUAUGAUCAAGUUUAUCCAGGAACAAUAUUUGAAUCUUCUCUGAAUUCUUUUAUGUAUGAUUGGUUAUCUUUGCAAGUCUCUUCGAAUUAUCAGUUUGGUUUGGCCUACUAGAUUGAUCUUUCUUGCAAUGGGAGAAGUUCUUAGCUUUGGGUUCAAUCUUGCGGUGUCCUUUCCCAGUGACAGUAGGGGCAGCAAGGCACAUAUUGUAUUGUUGACAUCAAGGAUAACAAGAUGGGGUUUAUAUCAUAUUGCAUGAGUUUAUCCCUCUACAUCAUGUCAUCUUGCUUAAAGCGUUACUCUGUUCUCUUGAAUUUAAUACUCUAGAUGCAUGCUGGAUAGCGGUCGAUGUGUGGAGUAAUAGUAGUAGAUGCAGGCAGGAGUCGGUCUACUUGUUUUGGACGUGAUGCCUAUAUACAUGAUCAUACCUAGAUAUUCUCAUAACUAUGCUCAAUUCUGUCAAUUGCUCAACAGUAAUUUGUUCACCCACCGUAAUACUUAUGCUCUCGAGAGAAGCCUCUAGUGAAACCUAUGGCCCCCGGGUCUAUUUUCCAUCAAAUUAAUCUUCCAAUACUUAGUUAUUUCCUUUGCCAUUUAUUUUACUUGCAUAUUUAUUUCUCAUUAUCAUAAAAAUACCAAAAAUAUUAUCUUAUCAUAUCUAUCAGAUCUCACUCUCGUAGGUGACCGUGAAGGGAUUGACAACCCCUUUAUCGCGUUGGUUGCGAGGAGUUUAUUUGUUUGUGUAGUUGCGAGGGACUCGUGCGUGGCCUCCUACUGGAUUGAUACCUUGGUUCUCAAAAACUGAGGGAAAUACUUACGCUGCUCUACUGCAUCACCCUUUCCUCUUCAAGGGAAAACCAACGCAGUGCUCAAGAGGUAGCACGCUGCCGCCGGGCCCCCGCCCAAGAUUCCGACGAAAGCAGCCGGCAGGAGCUCGCCGAAAGGCCGCCACACGCACGAGGCCUCCCCUCUCCCACCCCCUGUAUCGGCGGGCCGCCGGAUUUGCGGAUCUGUGGACCUUCAUCGCGGGCCGCCGGAUUUGGCUUUUCCGGCCGCCGAUGGCUGCGCCGAGCGAUGGAGUGGUAAGGGAGCAUCUCCCGCAGCCCCGGAAAGGGCGCAUUGCCGCAUGCAGGUACGAGUUCGUCCCCUCGACUCCGCCGAUGAUUUGCGGUCAUGGAUUCGUCCGGCCGUCCACCGGGCUCGGCGCUCGCGUAACGGCUCUGUGGCUCGCCGAUGCCGCUCAUACAGUGCGAUGACUGCACACGGACAAAGCUGCGGCUAACUUCAGGCAUGCCGAAGCACCCCGGUUGGGUGUUCUUCAAAUGCGAAAACGAUGGGGUAUGUGCACUUGCAGUAGCUCAUUUUGAUAGCUCAUUCUUUGGUUCAAUUGCGGUAGCUCAUUUCGAACAUGCUCAUUCAUGUGUGUAGGAAGAUGGAUGCUCAUUUUGGUUUUGGGAAGGCGAAUACAUUGAUUUAUUGAUAGGAAGAAACUUAAUAGACGUUGACACACUCCUUAGAAGAAUCGAAGGCAAUGAUGCGGCUGCAUGUGCAACUAGAGGGGAAGCAACAUCUACUUCUUUCGAACCAAAGAUGAAGAAAGAAGAAUGCAAAAUCAAGAAUCCACAGAUAAACAAUGAAUGCAUGGAGAAGAUAUUAAUCCAACUAGUGGGAGCAGUUAUGGAAGUUGGAAAUCUUCUAAAAUGCAUACUUGUGGUUCUUGUUUUCUUUGGUCUUGCUAUUCUAGCAAAGAUUUGGUGAUGUCUUAUGUAUCCAAUGUUAUUGAAAAAGCAAAGAAAUGCAUUAUGUUGGAUCAAAUUAAGGUGCAAAUUUAGGUUUUCCGGGCCAGGAGGAGCUGCGGCAGAUCAGACCCCGCAAAGCCGACCUGUAAAAGAGCAUAUUCCACGAAUAUCCAUUUUUACGGGUCUGUUAUGUGGGGUCUGCAACUGGGGCCGUCCGCGCCGGCCCGCAAAGGCGUUUUUCCACGAACCGCAAGCACGUUUUGCGGGCCGGUGGGAUGCGGGGUGAGGGAGUCCUGGAUUAGGGGGUGUCCGGAUGGCCAGACUAUACCUUCAGCCGGACUCUUAGACUAUGAAGAUACAAGAUUGAAGACUUCGUCCCGUGUCCGGAAGGGACUUUCCUUGGCGUGGAAGGCAAGCUUGGCGAUACGGAUAUGCAGAUCUCCUACCAUUGUAACCGACUUUGUGUAACCCUAACCCUCUCCGGUGUUUAUAUAAACCGGAGGGUUUUAGUCUGUAGGACAACAUACAGAUUAACAAUCAUACCAUAGGCUAGCUUCUAGGGUUUAGCCUCUCUGAUCUCGUGGUAGAUCUACUCUUGUACUACCCAUAUCAUCAAUAUUAAUCAAGCAGGAUGUAGGGUUUUACCUCCAUCAAGAGGGCCCGAACCUGGGUAAAACUUUGUGUCCCUUGCCUCCUGUUACCAUCCGGCCUAGACGCACAGUUCGGGACCCCCUACCCGAGAUCCGCCGGUUUUGACACCGACAUUGGUGCUUUCAUUGAGAGUUCCUCUGUGUCGUCGCCAUCAGGAAGGAUGCCUUGCCCCGUCUUUAAAGAUGGCACUGUUGCUAAGGGAGCUUUGGCUGUCGGCCAAACCCUCCGGCUAGGUGGUUUUCUUAUGACCGCCUGUUCGGCUUCUGCGCCGACGAUGACCUCUUGAUCCAUCGAAAACAAUCUUCACGUCAGCUCGGAACUCGCCGAGCAGUUAGAUCCAAUGGAGCUCUCCUCCAUAAACGAGCUCUUGGAUCGCAUCGCCGCCCUGGGAGUCGCUACGGAUUACGACCAGAUUGGGCCUAAGCCCGAUCUGAGAGAGAUUAACUCUCCCCAAGUCACCCAUCACGUUGCCAUGGUAGAGGGACAGUGUGGCGACCCCUCAUCUAUCUUAAGGACUAGCUACGUCCGUAUUCCCGAUCCCUCCAAGCCGGAUACCUGCGGAGGGGAGGAUAUCACUCAAGACCUGAACCUAGAGUCAGGCGACGGACUGGAUUCAUUGGACAACAUCCAGGAAUCCAAAUUCUCGAGUUCGGAAAUUCCUCGGCCUCUGGGCCUCAGAUGGGGUGAGGCUUCGGAUUUAAUUCCACCCACCCACCCGAACAUAAGUGAUCUAUCCCAAAUUAGGCAAGAGCCCGAAGAAACAAUACAUCAUUACUGGGCCAAAUUCCUCCUGGUUAUGAACAGGAUAAAGGACUGCCGCGAGGAAGACGCAAUUUCAUUCUUCUGCAAUAAUUGCAAGGACAAGGGAAUCCUCAACGCCAUAAGUCGUCGUGAUAUUACAUGCUUCACUGACUUGGCGUCCAUAGUACGAAAGUACUGUGCGAUGGAAAGCGCCUGGAAAACCGAAAUAAAUUUUGGGACGAUCCGGCCCUGAAUACAAACCCAGUCCGAAAUAAAAGGGUGCACCAUCGCCAGACACCCGGGUCAAACACCAAAAAGCAAAAACCCUCUACAGGGCAUGGAACCGUAUUGGAAGGAUGGCUUAAUGAACCCUGUAAAAUUCACAGUACAGAGGACGCAACACCAACUCACAGCCUUAGAGCAUGUUGGAUACUCCGGCAAGUGGCCAAAAUUGGCGAAGAUCUCCUAAUUCUGGAGGCCACAGAAAGCCACCCUAGAGACACCAAUACGGUAUUAACAGUCUUCGAGACUUUCGCAUCAAAUAACAUGCGAAAAAGGACACUCCGCAGCCAUGCCGAAAUCUACCAAGUGGCAACAAUAAACCCAUGGAGUGACACGGCUAUUACCUUUAACGCCAGUGAUGAACCUAAAUUCCGAACAGCCCGAGUACCAGCUGCAUUGGUCCUCAGUCCAAUAGUGGACGGCUUUCAUCUUACCAAGGUACUCAUGGACGGCGGCAGCGGAUUGAACCUCAUUUAUGAGGAAACCCUUCAAAAAAUGGAAAUAGACUGGAACCGCAUUGAGCGAAGCAGCACAACCUUUAGAGGAAUAAUCCCCAGUCGGGAAGCGCGCUGUACAGGAAAAAUCACACUAGAUGUGGUGUUCGGCACGCCAGAUAAUUACAGGUCCGAAGAGGUCACAUUCCAUGUGGCUCCGUUCAGCAGCGGUUAUCACGCUCUGCUAGGGCGGGAAGCGUUUACAAUCUUCCAAGCAAUACCCCAUUACGGGUACAUGAAGCUCAAGAUAACCGGGCCCAACGGGAUCAUCACUCUCGCUAGUGAUCCGGACAUAGCACUCCGCGCCGAAAACAAGACAGCCGCACUGGCCCUCGAGGCACUAUCCGAAGCCCUAGCGGCUGAGGAACUGACUGCGCUGCGCUCCACGGUGAAUAGAGACGAUGUGGUACUCGACAAAAGAUCCAAGUCCACCUCCUUUAAACCGGCGGACGAAAUAGUCAAAUUCCAGGUCCAUCCAACGGACCCCAAUAAAAUAGAUUCCAUCGGGGCAUAGUUAAACCCGGAUGUAGAUGCCGCACUGCAAGAGUUCCUACGAGAGAACUGGGACAUUUUCGCCUGGCACCCUUCAGACAUGUCAGGAAUCCCAUGCAGGUUGGCCGAGCACAGCUUAAAUAUCCUAAAAGAAUUCAAACCUGUCAAGCAAGCUCUUCGGCGUUUUUCUGAACCUAAGAGACAGGACAUGGGAGAGGAGCUAGCAAAGCUAUUGGAGGCCGGAUUCAUCAGAGAUAUAAAACAUCUGGACUGGCUAGCAAAUCUGGUUAUGGUACCAAAGAAGGACAAAUCCUGGCGCCUGUGCGUUGAUUUUAAAGACCUUAACAAGGCUUGCCCAAAGGAUCCCUUCCCCCUCCCCCGCAUCGAUCAAAUUAUCGACGCUACCACAGGACACGAUUCAUUGUGUUUCAUCGAUGCAUAUUCCGGCUACCAUCAAAUCAAGAUGGCAGAAUCAAACCAAGCCGCAGCGGCAUUUAUCACACCAUACGGCCCAUUCUGCUUCAACACAAUGCCCUCCGGGCUCAAAAACGCCGGCGCAACAUAUCAGUGCAUGAUUUAGACAUGUCUGGCAAACCAGAUCGACAAAACAGUGGGGGCAUAUGUAGAUGAUGUGGUCGUCAAAACAAGACAUGUCGAAUCUCUAGUAGACGACUUGAGGCUCACAUUUGAUAACCUCUGAACAUACGACAUCAAGCUCAACCCGGAAAAAUGCGUUUUCGGCGUCCCAGCCGGAAAGCUCUUGGGCUUCAUUGUAUCCGGUAGAGGAAUUGAAGCAAAUCUAGCCAAGAUCCGAGCUCUGUCACAAUUGGAUAUCCCAAAGAACCUCAAACAAAUAAAAAAGUUAACCGGAUGCGUGGCGGCUCUAAGCCGCUUUAUCUCCCGCUUGGGAGAAAAGGCCCUACCCCUUUACCGCCUCCUUCGGCGCACCGAACACUUCGAAUGGAUGGAUGCAGCCACGGCCGGACUCCACGAAAUAAAAGCCAUAUUGGCAACAAACCCAGUCCUGGCCGCGCCAAACAUUGGCGAACCAAUGCUAUUGUACAUUGCAGCAACACAUCAGGUGGUAAGCGCAGUGCUCGUCGUCAAACGAGGAACGGACGGACACAAAUCCCCCUUCAAAAGCCGGUCUAUUAUGUGUCCACUGUCCUCACUCCGUGCAAAUCAUGGUACCCGCAUUAUCAAAAGAUUGCUUACACGGUAUUCAUGGCAUCCCGGAAGCUACGACACUACUUUCAAGAGUGUUCAAUAAUAGUAGCCUCGGAAGUACCACUUAACGAUAUUAUAAACAACCGUGACGCAACGGGCCGGAUUGCAAAAUGGGCCAUUGAGCUCUUCCCGUUCGACAUAACUUAUAAGCCACGGCGAGCCAUCAAGUCGCAAGUUUUGGCCGACUUUGUCGCAGAAUGGACGGAGGCCGAACUCCCUAAAGAGUACGGCACAUAUUCAAAUUGGAUCAUGCAUUUCGACGGCUCCAAGAUGUUGGCCGGACUAGGGGCUGGCGUCGUUUUGACGUCCCCCACAGGAGACACAGUUCAAUACGUACUCCAGAUUAUGUACAAAGACUCCAACAAUGCAGCCGAAUAUGAGGCCCUUUUACAUGGUCUCCGGAUGGCAGUAUCCAUGGACAUUCAACGCCUAGAAGUGCGCGGGGACUCGAACCUCGCAAUAUCCCAAAUAAAUGGAGACUUUGAUGCCAAGGAUCCAAAAAUGGCAGCUUACCGCAACGUCGUCCUAAAAAUGUCAGCUCGGUUCGAAGGGCUUGAAUUUCACCAUAUAGCCCGGGAAAAUAAUCAGGCGGCAGAUGUCCUGGCACGCAUCGGCGCAAAACGCGAUAUAGUCCCUCCCAACAUCUUCUUGGAAAGGCUGUUCAAGCCAUCUGUAGUAUGGGAAGGGGAGCCGAACAAUAACAGCCCGGACCCAACCGCACUGCCCGACACCUAACAUUCUGACACAAUCGGAGGCUCUGCCAAUGAAAUAACACCUUCAGCCCACGUAAGAAUGGCCGUCAUCGCCCCGUGGAUAGAACCAUUCAUCGCCUACCUUACUAGGCAGGAACUCCCCGAGGACCAAAAUGAGGCACGCUACAUAGUGCGGCGAUCCAAAGCCUACAGAGUCCACGAGGGAGAGCUUUAUAAGAAAAGCACUACCGGAGUCCUUCAAAGGUGCAUCUCCGAAGAGGAAGGGCGGAACCUCCUGGCUGAAAUUCAUGCCGGACUCGGCGGUCAUCACGCUGCAGCUCGGUCCCUUGUAAGCAAGGCCUUCUGUACAGGCUUUUAUUGGUCGACGGCCCGGGCAGACGCCCAGGACUUAGUCCAACGAUGCACCGGUUGCCAGCUCUUUGCAAACCAAAGCCAUAUGCCACCCACCGCCCUCCAAACUAUCCCCAUUACUUGGCCCUUCGCGGUUUGGGGGCUUGACAUGGUUGGACCCCUUAAAGGCGGAACCCACAAGCAAAAAUACUUACUGGUCAUGGUGGAUAAGUUCACCAAAUGGAUAGAAGCCAAACCUGUUAAGACGGUCGAAUCCGGACCGGUGAUAGACUUUAUAUCCGGGGUUGUACACCGUUACGGAGUCCCCCACAGCAUCAUCACUGAUAACGACACGAGCUUUAUGGCUGACGAGGUAAAACUCUGGUGCAAAAACAUGGGCAUCAAGCUCGAUUAUGCUUCCGUCUAUCACCCACAAACUAACAGCCAGGUCGAACGUGCAAAUGGUCUUAUCAUGAGCGGCAUCAAACCUAGAUUAGUGUGGUCCCUCAAGGAAUCUACCACGCACUGGGUAGAGGAGCUCGACUCCGUACUCUGGGGGCUGCGGAACAUGCCGAAUCGCACCACCAGAUACACACCAUUCUUUAUGGUGUACGGCGCAGAGGCAGUUUUGCCUUGCGACAUAAUUCAUGACUCACCUCGAGUGCGCAUGUACGAAGAAAGAGAAGCCGAGCUCGACCGACAGGACAGUUUGGACGCAUUGGAGGAGGAGUGCAACGUGGCAAAAGCCCGUUCCGCAUUCUAUCAACAGCAGGCUCGAAGAUACCAAAGCAGAGAAGUACGGGCCAAAAAUUACAACGUUGGCGAAUUAGUUCUACGCCUGCCGGACAAGAAAAAGGACAAACUCAAGCCCAAGUGGGAAGGUCCCUUCAUAAUUGACCAAGUCCUGACUGGUGGAGCAUACCGCCUGCGAGAUGCAUCGGAUAACCGACUCGAGACGAACCCAUGGAACGCAACCCGUCUCCGAAGAUUCUAUGCCUAGCACCGGACUCUAUGUUCGUCUCCUUCCUCUGUCCAUUUUUUAUAUAUACUGUUUGUCUUACAUUUCUCUCCUUCACCCCUUCCUUUCUCUUAUAGCCUCUAAAGGCUCAUCAAAUGACGUGCUAUUCGCACUCAUUAAACUUGGGGGCUUCUUUUACCAGAAGCUUAUUUAUACGGGCUUCAUGCCCAGCACAUGUGUUACACUUCCGCACGUACCAUUUAUUUCACCAUUAUAUGCAUCGAUAUGACUUAAGUUUUGGCCAAGCUGGGUUGUCUGGCUCUUGUGCUUACCCCUACGUUCCCGAUUAUUCGGCUAGGCGGUAAAGGGAGCACCUCUGCGAUUGUUACUGCCGGAUCAGCCGGAUGUGUACCUCAGACUGGGUGAAGCCGAAAGCUAGCGUUCUUAAGGGAAUAUUCGGUCGGUGACCUAAAAGAUGAUCUUUUCACUUAUUUAUGCGCCCCCAGAUGCUUUUUCCUGCGUCUUUCUCGCAGAAUGGGCAUGCACUUUAGGGCAUGCCUCCCAGGGAAAGGAACCCCUAACGGAACUAUUCUCCCUGGAAGAUGUUUCUUACUAACCAUGUAAUAUAACAUAACUAGUCGGGCACUUGUCUGUUCACGCACUAAUGACCCCUACGCCUGGUCUCCACUCAUUCCCCGGUUCUUAUAUAGCCGCACGGGAAUUCGGACACACUCCGGACCGUCGGGUCCCGAGGCUGAAGCGAAAAGGUCGGCCAUGACAAACGAUCUACAAUCCGGCUAGAAGGAAUUAUAAAUGUCAAUUAAAUUACAUAGUCAUUCUGACUGAUUGUAUUCCUCUUCAAUACCAUCUAACAGGCUGUCUAAUUUACAGUCCUGCUGGGAAUACUUUGCGGCCAAUUCUACUUGGUCGUAUACUAAGCUUACAGGGAUCUCCUUCGCAUCGGGCCCCACAGGGCUGACCUCGGCCAUG